rnacentral:lncRNA from 1 species
AACUGCAUGCCAAACUAAUAAUUGUCCAUAAAUACCGCCCUCAAAACACCUAUUUUCACCACUCAUACUUACAAUUUCUCAGCAUAUAUUUUCAUUGCAAUAUUCUUAGCAGAAUCAAACCUGGCAUGGAGUUUUCAAAGGUUUCUACCCUAGCUCUUACUUGUCUCGUGGGGUUAGUCUUGGUCCUUCCCUCCCAUGCCCAAGACUCACAACAAGACUACCUCAACGNNNNNNNNNNNNNNNNNNNNNNNNNNNNNNNNNNNNNNNNNNNNNNNNNNNNNNNNNNNNNNNNNNNNNNNNNNNNNNNNNNNNNNNNNNNNNNNNNNNNACACAGCUCGAGCGGCUGUCGGCGUUGGUCCCAUGACUUGGGACAACACCGUAGCUGCCUAUGCAGAGAACUAUGCUAAGCAGCGCAUCGCUGAUUGCAACCUUGUGCACUCCGGUGGACCUUAUGGUGAGAACAUUGCUUGGGGCAGUGCUGACCUAUCGGGAACCGAUGCUGUAAAUAUGUGGGUUAAUGAGAAGGCCAACUACAAUUACAACUCUAACAGGUGCGCAGCAGGUAAGGUUUGCGGGCAUUAUACUCAAGUGGUUUGGCGCAACUCUGUCCAUCUUGGUUGUGCUAAGGUGAAGUGCAACAAUGGCGGUACUUUCAUUGUUUGCAACUAUUCUCCUCGAGGCAAUAUCGUCGGUCAAAAACCUUACUAAAAACCUUCCUUAAUUUGCUUAAAGCCCUUCCAAAUAAAAACUUAUUUAUCUGCAACAAAAAUGCUAUAUAUAUGUACUGAUUUGCCUACUGAAUGGCAAAUAAUAAAUAAGGAAUGAAUUUCUUAUCAUUUGCUAUUAUAGUUUCGCUAUAAUGAUGUCUCCCAUACAUCCUAUAAUCAUAUAUAAUUGAUUCUACAAGACCAACUUGCGGAAAAAAGUAACCAUGCAUUGCAAUCAACCAAAACAACAAGCUACACAAGGCUUUAUUUUAAUAUAUACUAAUAAUAAAAUCAUUCACUAAGUUAAUGUCAUGAAUCAACCGAUCACUAACUCGGUUAGAAAAAUUACAAAAAUAUCUUUUUGUAUUUAAAAUAAGUUAUAUUUGAAGGUACUUUAGUACUUUUUAUUUAAAAAUAAUAAUAAAUAUGCAAAUGAUGAGAUUUUAACCUAUGUCAAUUACAUUAGAAAAACCUUAAACCUACCUCUUAACCAAAGUUUUAUUUUAAAUUAAUCUAUUUUUUUCAAUUUAAUACGGUGAUAUUGUAUGUAUUAUUAUUAAUUAAUUUCAAACCUUAUGUUUUAAUUAUUUAUUGUAUCUUACAUUCAAAAGCACACAUGUAUUCUAAAUACAUGGUUUCCACACACCGACAUAUGUAUGUAUGUGAUAUACUAGUUGAUAUUUAAAAUUUUUACAGAAUUGAUGUUACUCUUCAAUCGAGUCUCAUCUCAAUAAAAAGAUUUACCUAAAAUUUCUUAUUUUUACAUAAUGCAAUAAAUAUUUGGAAAAAAAUUUCAAAUGACAAUACAACAUAAAUUAAGUUUACCAACACUAUUUUCAUGAGGGUUUAUGAAAAUGGCAGUAUUUCCCUUCUAUAUUUUAUUUAUUUUUUAAGACGCAAAAUAAAUUGUCUCAAUUUGGCUUAAUAAAAGUUUCAGCCCAACCCAAAUUAAUCAAAUGCCUCAACAUUCUCUCUUUGAUUUUAGUCCAAUAGAAAUUUCUUUAAAAAUAAAAAAAAACGUAAAAUUGUCUCUUUGACUGAGAGAUUGAUUUUUUUUUCUUUGUUGACUCCUUACAAUCAUUCAACCAAUCACAAAGUAAUAAGAAAGAAAAAUAAGAAUAUAUAGAUUUUACGUGAAAAAUUUUUAUCAAUAAAAAAUUACGAAUAGAGAAGAAAAACUUCACUAAUGUUAAAAAAUAAUAAAUACAAUAAAGUUUCGACUACACACGUUUUAAAGGUUAAACAACCCUUUUAUAGUCAACGCAUAAUAGAUUCAACUUGUGCGGCAAGGUCCAUAAUGUGGGGGCUCAAACCUUCGCCCCCACAUAUCUCCAAUUUUGCGCCUCCGUUUUAUUUUUUUAACAAAUGAGUUGCACUUAAACUUUUCAAGCUAAAUUAAACGAGAUUUAGAAUAAACAACUCUAACAAAUGAAAAUUAAUUUUCUGUAGGCAAUCAGGUACUUUAUUGUCAUUCUCAAAUUUAAAAUUAAUCAAAUCCUUAACUUUUUAGUAUUUGCUUUCAGUUUAUUUUCCUUAGUCAUGGAGUUCUCCACUUUUUCUACUUCUGAAAGCGUUUGUGAUGUGUUGCUGCCAUUGGUUUAGCUCUUCCAGUGAGUUUUUUUUUUUUUUUAUCAAUUUUGUGCUAAUUUAGCUUUACGAUUUUCUCUUUUAAUGCUAAUGGAUGAAACUGCUGCUGCAAUUGUAAAUAUGGAUGAUGGAUACCCUCAAUCACUUUGUUUUUGCCACUCCCAUUUAUCUUCAUACUAUAUUGUAGGGCCUGACUCACCAGACAAGACGACACCUACAUUUCCUAGUUCAUUUUUUUUCUUUUAAAUUCAUUGUUGAAAGUGAUGGUACCCUGAAUCAGUUUCGAAAAGGAAAUAAGAAAGGCAUGGCUAAGUUAAAAUCCGUUUUCACUCAAGUUUCUACCCUAUUAUGUUAUUGUUAACGUUAAUUAUUUCCUCACUAAUUUUUCAUUCUUUUGAAUUUAACCUUGUUCCGAGUUAGUGAUGUUGAAAAUUUCAUUUGUUAAAGUACGUUGGCUUUUCAUGCUAGUAUUUGAUCCAUAUAGAGAUAAUUUUCCUUGUUGUUUGGAGAAGCAAGUGAAUAUGUGAUGAACCACCAAUCUCACAACCAUACAUAGAUUCGACUUGGACACAGUUGUGGUGGUAAUUCUCAGAUACUAAUCUUAUUCCGCUAGACAACUUUAACAGGCUAGAUCAGCUAUGUUUCACAAUGCCAUCACCAUCACAGCUGCUUCACCAUCUUUAUAUAGUACAAGCUUCCAGUUCCUUCUUGAGUAAAUAAUUAAUUGUUGUUAGAGUGAUACCGGAAAACUAUUAUGCACCUCCAGUUUUGGUGUCAAAGUUGAUAAUACCAAGGCAUACAUCUUUGCACGGUACUUUAUUUUAGUUUCUGAAACUUGGAUUUUGUCAAUAGAAAUUCAGUAAACUGGUUUUCCCUAUACUCAGCUGGGAUGCAAUGCUUUUAGAAGGGAUCAUGGAAAAUGCUAAAAAUGCAAACUUAAAAGCUUUAAUAUUCAAGAAUUUUCUCUCUGUCAGUACCUUUGCAAAUUUCGAUAUGUCUCUAUACAAGUAAACAUCAAGAGUGAGUUCUAAUAUAAAAUUGAUCUGCAUGUGUGUGCUUGUGCAUGAUCAAGUAUCAUUUGAAUAAAGAUUGACCAUCACUGAUCUCAAUAAAACAUAGAUUGUUUUAUUCCUUUUCUAUAUAAUUGUUACAUAAAAUUUUCAAUAUGCCAUAAUCUAGCAUGUAUAACCAUCCAUAUGCAAAUAACUUGGUUGUUAAUUACAAUAUAACUGUCUAAAAGAAUAUAUUACAAUAUAGUUAUACAUAUAUCGAUUGAUCUAAGGGUCCUUAUAGUUCCAUUAACAAAUUACAAUAUUGUAAUUUAAAGUAACUGUCUUAGUAGAUAUAUAUUUGCACCACAUAGUAGGCAAAUUUCACUAGCUUUCUUGAAAAGCCCAUUCCUACGCUUGGAAAAAGUCACUUGGCGACUACUUUCCUUUUGUAGUUUCUUCAUCUCAACUUUUUGGCGGCCUCUUGUGGCAUUGCAAUGAGAAAUAAUAAUAAAAAAUGAAGUUAGGAGAUAUCAUUAAAAUGUAAAUUUUGGUAUUAAUUUAUGAUUGGGUAGGUUGUAAAUAUUGUAGUUAAAUUUGAGAAUUUAAUUUUGUAAUAUUGAAAAAGAAAAUUCUAAUAUAUUUUUGGUAAGUCAACCAGAGUUUAUCUCCAUUUACCUAAAAAUAAGUAAUUGGUUUCAACUUUACAUUUAUUAAUGACUCUAAUUAGCCAAGCAAAUUGAUCGGAAAAAAUGGAAGAAGUAAUGAAUAUAAUAUGGUUGACAAAUUAUGGAUUAUCAAGGAAUUGCUAGGACCUCCAUUUUUGCACCAUAUGUAUAAUCCAGACUUUUAUGCUAAUUGUACUUCCCUUUUUCUCGCAGGGAUUAGAGGAAUGGGCAUCAAAUCAGUCAUUUUAUUUUUUUCUUUUCGUUUUGAAUAAUACUAUUUGGGAGUGGUGGAUAACUUAGUCAACGGUAGCUGCAUACACACAAUUCCAACCAAUGGCAAACUUGAUUCAUAGCUCAUAAUUUCAAAUUUUGAUAGGGCCUUCCAUCUUAAUUUCUCAAUCCCAUAUUCAUUGACUGGAGAAAAAAUCUCUAAGGCUGCUCAAGAGAUAAUGGCCGUUCUUUUCCAUACCAAUGGUAUAACAUUAUAUAACAAAUUGAUAUAAAAUUAAAUUAGACUUAAUUAAAAUGCUAAAAUUAACUUAAAAAUGUAUUCUGAAACCCAAUCAACAGGUGCUGUCAAUCCAAGCACAUUAUAAUAAUAUAGAUAAACAAAAGAGUAGUCAUCUAAAAUAACCAUAAUUUAGAGUUGUGAAGAUAGCCUAAAACUGGCACUAAUUGAGGCCAGUAAUCAAUCAAAUUGCUCUUCCAGAAUAACAGUCAACUUUGAGUUAAAACUACUCUUUGUAGUUCUUGUUUUCCUUCUCACUCGGAAACCUUCACCUCCACCUCCACCGCCGUGGGUCACCAAGAAACUAGACUUUUGGAGGUUGUUGUUAAGAAGCAAGGGAGGAUCCAUCUUUUUAUUAAUCCCACACCCGCACAAGUUGUUUGCAAUACCAGUAGCGUGACCUAGGUUAAGAGCUUGAGUUGCCUUGACAGCCAAGGCUCUCAUCUCCUGGGUUCCAAGAGGGCUAUUUAACAAACGCAAAGGCAAAACAAAGUAGAGCUCACCUGGUUGAAGCUGAUCAUCGGCGUCAAUGGCGCAAAGGGUGGUAUCGAAGUCCAUAUCAUCUGAACUGCACACGAAACAGUGAGGGUUUCUCUGUAAUACAUGUGAAACCCUAACCGGGUUUGAGAAUUCUUGAAGGCUACCGUCUUGGAGGAUUAGCUUUGCUGUUAAAACUGAUGAAGUUGAGUGGCAUAUGCCCAUUUGGCUUUUUAACAGAAGUUGAGAUUUGGGUUUCACUGGCAAACUUAAUCCAGUUACAGUUUUAAAAGAAUAAUAAUAAAUUCCACGAGAUGCAUACAUGCUUUGUCUUCACAUCAUUCCGUGUGAGAUUCUUCCCCCAUUUUCCGUACUUGCCAUGUUUAUUUUAUUGACGAUAUCCUUUUACAUCAUAAAUUGGGUCUUCUUUAACCUUGGAAUUUCACAUCAUUCAAAAUAUCUACGAAACUGAUAAAAAUAUACAUAAAUUCAACAUCAUUCCCAAUUAAAUUAUAUAUUUUAAAAUUAGCUUCUUUUUUUUAUAAAAUUGUUAUUAUUUAAAAGGUAAAUUAUAUAUUCCCGACUUUAAAAAAUUACAGAAUAAUUAUUUGACUUAAUUUUAUAUUAUCCUGUCACAUAAUAAUUAACAAGAAUAUUAACCCAAAUCACCCUAUCCCAGUUCCCUUCCCUCACUCACUUACCCCCCAACCCCACACAUCUUGCAUUAAAAAACAAAAAGCAUGGCCUGACUUAAAGUAGCACUGCUAAUUUGGCAUUGAUAUUCAUCAAUCUCUCUCUGUUUCUAAUUGAAAAGACAAAUUAUGGGUUUACACAUUUCCUUGUUUUAAAAGAAAGAGACAAGCAGCAAAAUGACGAGCGCAUAAAUUCUUCAGUUUCUACACAAGGAAAUAGCUUUAAAAAGCAAAAUUAACAGUAUUAGAGUACUGCAGUUUUUAUUAAAAAAACAAACCAAGAUAGGAAAAUUUAUUUAAUAAAAAAAAACAGAAGAUAAAGUUGCAAUGAAAAUUUACCUUCUAAUAUUACAUGUAUUACAUGAUAUUUUACGUAUUUAAUAUUUAACCAAUUAUUAUUCCUAAAAAUAUUUUUUAAACACUAAGCGUAAUUGAACCAUAAUAUAUCAGUUAAUAUUUUAAUGACUCAAAUAUUACCAUAACUAAAGAUUUACCAAUCAUAAUUAAAAUACUUGUACAAUAUUAAAAAAUUGAUGUAUUAUAAAUUAAUAUCCUUCCUUCUUUAUCAAUAAAUUUAAUAAAUAUAAGUUGUGGAUAAUUAAAAUUAUUAUAAAAAUAAGAGUUGUUGGAUGUAAAUGUAUUAUUUAUAAAAUUUUAUGUAUAUUAUAUAAAUGAUUACAAGUUGAUUUUAAAAUUAAAUUAAUAUAGAUUUUUUUUAAAUUUCGGUUAAUAAAAAAUUUUAAUACUUCAAACAUAUAUCAAAUAUAGUCAAAUUAAUCAAGUUAACAACAGAGAACAAAUUGAAUAGAUUUGAAAACAUGUUUAAGAACUAAAUUGAAUAGAUCAAAAAAUUUUAUCUAGAGAUUUAAUUGAAUAACUCGAAAACUGUGACCAAGGACUAAAUUGAGCAGACUAGAAAAUGCCUCGAGGGGAUUAAUUAAUGACUUAGAAAACACACUCAUUUACUAAAUUGAACAAACCGAAAAAUGCAUCUAGGGACUAAAUUAAAAAAUAAAGUAGGAAAUAAUUUUAAAAUUAUAAAAAGAAAACAUAAAACUCCCUCAAUCUGUAACACCCCUUGCCCGACCCUAUCGCCGGGUUUGAGCUACAAGAUGCCACAUUCGUUGCCAGAGCAACUACAAUCAAUCAAAAAAUAUACAAGCAUUUAUACAUAUGAUCAAGUGUUAAUAAAACAUGUUAAACAAUCAUUUUCGGAUCUUAAUCGAGCCUACGAAAUCUCAAAACCAACCCGAGGUCUAAUUAGGACUAAACUAAAAAUUUACAAAAUAUGAUAAGAGGGCAUUGCGAUAUCCAAAGCUUGUAUCAUGAUCCCGAAGACAGUAGCCAAACAUCAAAAUAUGUUCGGUGGGUAUCGCAAUAUCGAGGGCUUGAUAUCGCAAUCUCAAAGACAGUAGCCAAACUUCCCAACAUAAGGACUAGAAAGUUUACAAAAUAAUUCAAGGCCAAAAUUGCGAUAUCCAAGGUGUGGUAUCGCAAUACUGAAAACAGUCCACUAAGUCCCCAUUUUAGGUAAAAUAUCAUUUGGUACCUAUUUCAAAGCUUUCCUCAAACCUACACAUUUAAUUUAAUAAUUCACCAUUUUAACUUGAAUCAACCAUCCCAAAAACAUGCCAAAACAAACCAUUAAAUCAUUUCUAAUCAACCAAUGGAUUAUAGCUUCAUUUUAGCACAAAUUAUACCAUUUUAAAUUGUUCAACUAUAAACAUUCAUCUAACCAACUAACCAUUCAUCAAUCAACUUCUCAUCUUUGCAAUUUAUGUUCAACCAUGAUAAUUUAAGUGUCAUACAUAACUUAAUCACAUUAUUGAAAACAUACCAUUUUAUAUAGGCUUUAUCCUUACCAAAAUCAAGCAUUAUAAAGGUUGCAAGCUAAAACUUAUCAUUUCAAAUUAACAUAUACAAAUACUUAUGUACAUGCCACAAAAUUGGAUUUAAAACGAUUCAAAAGCAACUGAAUCAGUAACGGGAUAGUGUGAGCUUCUCGACAAUUCGAUAGACAUGUUUCACAAGUUGGCAAUCUACAAGGAAAAACGGAGGCAAAAAAGUAAGCAUAUUGAAUGCUUAGUAAGUCCAUAUGAAAUUUACUUAGCUUACCUUGACAUUGCAACAAACUAAAAUUUAAAACACACUGGUAUUCAAUAUGGCAUCCUUUAGCAUACUUUCAGGUAACUAUUUCAUAACAUCAAAUACACCAUAUAGAUUACUCCAUUUGCAUUUCAUAAUCACUGAGUAAGAAAUCAUAUACUUUCAUUCAAUUUGAAUUCAUAACUCAUUCAAUCUUAAUUCAAGUCAAUUCAACAUUUUCAUUACGUUAAGUUAAGGUUUCGCCCGAGAGAACUAUAGCAAAUUGAACUUAGAUGUAAGACCCUUAAUCUCUAUCUGUCACUAGAAUAAGGUUAUGGAGCAUUAUCGAAGUUUACAGAUCAAUUAUAGAAAAAUCCAUAUCAUUUACUAUUCAUAUACGAAAUCAAUCAUAUUGUCCCUUAAAUGCAUUUAGAUCAAAUUGGGACUAAACCAGGAACUUAGAGAAUUUUUUACGAAAUUUCAAAAUUUUUCUUAGAUGCAAGGGAUACACGCCCGUGUAGCCAAGUCGUGUGGCUCACUCGGCCAAGUGACACGUCCGUGUCCCAAAUCGUGUGGGCAUUCGAUGUGAGGCACACAGCCGUGUCCCAUCUCGUGUUCAAAUUAAGGUAUCUACUGACUUGGGUCACAUGGCCAAGCCACACGCCUGUGUGCUAGGCCGUGUGAACAAUUUAUUUUACAUUAAUUAGGUGCAGGGGUUACACGGCCAAGUCAUACGUCUGUGUCUCUACCCAUGUGAAAAUACCUAGGCAUUCUAUUUCUAAAUUUUAAGGAUGCAGGGGACACAUGUCCAAACCAUACGCCCGUGCUCAUGGUCGUAUACCACACAUAGUUGGGACGCACUCCCGUGUGUCUACCCGUGUAGACGAAAAUAGGUCAUUUUCAAGGCCACUUUUCUCACCCAAAUUUGCCUUCAACCUACAACAACACUUGAAUACAUUUACCAACCAAUUCAAGGCAUUAAAACCAAGCCCAAAGCCAAUCUUAUACGUGAUAUAUCAUCACAUGUAUUUAAGUAUUCAAACUUACCUAUUUGUAUAAUCAUAUAAGUUUAUCAAAAUUCAAUCUAUCAUGCCAAGCACAUAUAUAUUAAACAUGAUAUAACCUCCUACAUAUACAUCAAACAUACCAUCACUAGCCAUUUCAAUGACUAGUUACAACCAACCAUAUACAUGCCAUCAUUGACCAAUUUAACCUAUACAUGUCAUUAUACCAAAAUAAGUUUGCUAUUUACCAUAAUGAGCUAAAGGAUACUGUGAUGUUGCUCCGACCGCGUCCAACCUUCACGAGUUUCCAAGUACUAUAAAACAGAGAAAAGAAAACUGAGUAAACAUUUAAUGGUUAGUAAGUUCGUGUAAUAAGAAUUUAACUUACCAAUCAUGUUCAUUUAAAAUAAGCAUACAUAACACACCCAAAUCAAUGUAAUUAAUAACCUAAAUACACAUAAUCCUCAAUAAGCAUGUUAGUUAUGUAAUUCAUAUAAAUACCAAGAAAUGUGGAUGAGCUCAUCAAUAUUCCAUUUCCAUAUACAUAUAUUUGUUAUUUCAAAUCUCCAAUGAACAUAUACAUAUCAUAUCUUUGUAUAUCAAGUAUUUCUCACAAUCAUUCAUCUAUAAUUCAUAUUAUCUCAUACUUGAAAAUUUACCCGUUGAAUUAUUUAAAAUAUCGAUGAAUACUUGGGCAAUACACACGAAGUGUACAAUACAGUAAAUCCGUCAACUCAUAUCUAGGAGUGCUCAUAAAAGCUCAUAAACGGGAAGCUUAUCCGUGCUAAAAUAGGAAGCUCAUAAAAGCAAUAUUCAGGAAGCUCAUACGAGCUUAUAACGGGUAGCUUGGAAGAGCCAUUAAUUGGGGAGCUCUGGAUAGCCAUAUAUCGAGAAGUUCAAGCGAGCCAUAUCGAGAAGCUCUAGAGAGCCAUUAAUCAGGAAACUCACAAAGAGUCUUUAAUCGGGAAGCUCAAAAGAGCUAAGGUGUGCCCACAACACAUGUAGGAUCACAGCCUAUCGGGAUGUCCAAAGAGCUAUAACAAGAAGCUCGCAAGAACCAUUUAACAUGAAGCUUAUGAGAGCUAAUAACGGGAUGCUCUUUCGAGCUAUGGUGUGUUUGCAACAUAUGCAAGACCACAACCAAUACGGGAGCCUUGUAUCCAAUCGAUUUUUAUGUAUUCAAACGGGAUUUAAUAUUUAUCGGGCAUUAUCAGAUUUUAUGAUUAAUUUUAUAAACAUACCAAUUUCACAAUUCAGCAUUCAUAAAUACAAAAUUUAAUUCAAAUAUGUAAUAUACAAAAUCUAGUUACACGAACUUACCUCGACACUAGCUCGUGUACGAAAAUCUACUAAUCCGAUACUUUUUGUUUUUCUCGAUCCAAUUUCAUACUAGGUCUAUCCAGAUCUAUAUGAGUAAAUUUAACAUCAAUUUAAUACAUUUCAUAUUCAAUUCAAUUCAAUUUACAUCCUAGGCAAAAGAAUCAUUUUGCCUCUAUAUUUUUUAAUUAAUUCCAAUUUUGUCCCUAGACUUCGAAGAUGAAAUUCAUGAUAUUUAAUCUUCAUUCCAAGCCUAGAAAUUUCCUACAUAAUAAUAGCAAUCCCAUGAAUUCCAUAAAAUUCAAAAUUUUCCAUGAAUUCAACAUCUUUUCAAUUUAAUCCAUAAAUCAUGUUUUCUUUAAAAUUCUUUAAUAAAACACUUUUAAAUAACCAUUAACACUUCAAAUUCAUCAUCUAAUAACUGAAAUCAUAUAAACUCAUCAAUAGUAACUCCCAAAAUUUUCAAUGAAAUCAAAAACCAAGGUAAAGGUUACUUAAACCUAAUUGUAACAAUCACAAAAACAUAAAAUUUUCAAGAAACGGGUGAGGAUUUGACUUACCUGAAGAAAAAAUUGAAAAACCAGCUUAAACCCUCUUCAAUGUCUGUUUUUAGAACUAAAAAUGAUGAUGAUUUCUCUAGAAUUCUUUAAUUUCUCAUUUAUUUCAUUAAAUUGUGCCCUUAGUUCACACCAUUUUAUCAUCUUUUUAAGGCUUAUGCCGCCCCAGCCAUAUGCUUUUGGCAUAUUUAUGCCUUAAAUCCCUCCUUAUUUAUUGGUUAAACUAUUUAAUCACCAUUUCUUUUAAUUAACAAGUUUUGCACCUUUUUCAAAUAAUCCUUUUUAACAAAUUAGAUACAUGAGACUAUAUUGCUCACACAAGAUGACAUUUAUGAAUUUGUGACCGCUCCCUUGUUGUUCUCGCGUGCUACGAGGGAAAUCAACACAAAAACAUGUAAAUAAUCAGGGAAUACUAAUGUACGGUGUUUGUAAGUGUGACAAGUCAGAUGUAAUAUUUGUAGUGUUAUAAUGGAACACCGGAGUAUUCCAAGGAUCAAACCUAAGACAGUCAGCAAUUUAGUGAUUUCUAUUAAAAAAUGCAUGCAAGAAAAGAGUCUAGCUAGCUAUUUGCUAAGCACUAUAUUACGGCAGGCCAUAAAUGAAAUUAAUUAAAACUUAUUAACUACCUAUAAUAGAAAAUGACUGAAUUGUAAAUAAGGCAAAAUAUAAAACUACCGAAUAAAAUAUAACAGGGAGUGGUUGGUUGAUUUCCAUGUUGUUAAUAACCUUUGAAUUAAGGAUCUAAAUUGUUAACACUUCUAAAUUGGUUUCAUUUUACCUCUCGAUCUCAACUUUACCAAAUUAGACAAAUUAGUCUGGUUUAUCUCUCGACCUCACCCGACUAACCCAGGACUAAUGAAUUGGUGCCCAAUAAGAUUACCUCUCAGUUUCACUUAUCUUGAUAUUCCCUUAGGGGCAUCAAUACUAAGUUUCGAAGUUUAUUCAAUUUAGUCUCAGUUUACCAUUUAUUCCAUAAAACCUAAAAUCAACUGCCUAACAUUUCCAUCAAUCAACCACCAAAGGUUUAACUACCCAUUACGAUAUUAAAGCUAACAAAUAUGAAAGAAACAACCAUGAAAGCCAUUAACAUAAAACUCAAUAAAAAAAUGAAAGAUUGGAUUUUUACUUGAGAAAUGUAAAAGCAAGUAAACUAACAACAAGGUAAACAACAAAGAGCAAUAAAGUUAAGAUUUUUGGUAAAUGAUCAGACCAAAUUUGAACGUGAGGGACGUCGCUCGAAUCUCAGUGAAAGGUGUGUGUUCUUUUACAAGUGAAUCGGGCCAAAACCGUGCUUAGGAUAGGGCCACACGGUCUGCCACAAGGGCGCGUAGGCCACCCAUAUGGACCACACGACCCCUCACACAGCCAUGUCCCCAUUGAAACCUUAGGUUUUUCGAUUCUCACACAGCUUAGGACCUUCCAUACGGCCGUGCCCCCUGUUUUUAAGAUUUUAUAGCUUUGCCCCUCUUUUUCAAAUUUUACAAUUUUGCCAUUAUUUUUCAAAUUUUAUAGUUUUGCCCCUCUUUUUUAUAUUUUGCAAUUUUGCCCAUUUCUUUACAAAUUUUACAAUUUUGCCUAGAAUUUUAUGAUUUGUUCAGUUUAGUCCCUAAUUGAUUCCUGAACUAUUUUAGUAUAUUAUAUUAUUCAAUUAAUUCCCCGAUACUAUGAAUUAUUUUAGAACCCAUGAAUUGACUAACCAUAUUAAUAUAAUGAUUAUAUAAUUGAAUGAAUUGUAAACAAUACAUAUGAUUAUUGCUUCGGUGUUUGCGAUUGUACAUAUAGUAUGCUUUAUGACACUAUUAAAUCAAACACUUAAUAAGCAUGACUUUUUCUAUUGAGUUGAACUAUUAUGAGCAUAUUAAUUGCUACUGUAUUGAACUAUUAUAAGCAUAUUGAUUGCUACCAUAUUAUUCUGAUAAAAGCAUAAUUAAAUACUAAAGUAUUAAUCUGUUUGAGUUGGCCUUAUUGCAUUGCAUAGGGUGUGACUAUAUGUACAAAGAAAGUGUUAGCAGCUUGUUUGUACCGUUUAGUGGUUUAUCCACAUCAUAUUAACAGCUUUUAUCUGCACCGAUUAGUGGUUUACCCUCACCAUAUUAUCGAAUAUUUAACCAUUCUAAAGAACUUUGGUACAAAAUAAAAAGAGCAUGUGCACGAUGAUGGAUAAAAGGAAGCUUACUCCAAAAAUUAAAUAGGGAGCCGAGUCAAAUAAAUAUGUUGUCGGUAUGGCUAGUAAAGUACUAAAAAUUGAUGUGUUUUAAAAUAUUAAAAAAUUGAUAUAAUAAUUUAUUCAAAUUUUAUUAAAAUAUUUUGGAAAUAUAAUUUUUACAAAAGUUGAUCAAAUUAUGAUAUAUAAUGUUUAUGUCAAAUUUUUAAUAUUUUAAAUGUGAUUAGCGAAUGUAUACUUUAUUUCAAGAUACAACAGUUUUUAUUAGUUUUUAAAUUUGAUGAUUUUUUUUUACAAUCUUAUAGAUCUUAUGAUAAUUUCUAUAAUUUUUACAAUAUUUUACACUUUCUAAUAUUUUUUUUAUAAUUUUUAUAGCUUUUUUAAUAAUUUUUAAAAAAAUGAAAAAAAUACUUUUUAAAAUAUAUAUUUAUAAUUUUAUUCAUAUAUUUAUAUAUUUAUAAUUUUUUUAUGUUUUUUAAAAUAUAAUUUUAGAUUUUUUUUUCGAAAGAUGAUAUCACUAUGAUGUCAGUGUAUGCCAUGUGAUAAUUUAUGAUUCAUUGAAUAUCUCAUAGAGAAUAAUGGUUAAAAACUAAACUAAGCCUUAGAUUAAUAUAAUUGGAAGGAUAUUUUUACUGAUUAAAUUUCUGCCCCUUUUAUAUGAGGAAAACUGUUGGAGUUUUGACAACGUCAAACAAAGAAAGAAAAAAAGAAGGAAAGAAUUUGAAGAAAAUAGAAUUUAUUCACAACAGAAACUAAAAUAAACAUUGUGGAUGUCAUAUUUGGUUUUAGUUUUACAGGCACCAACAUUAUAGUGCAUCAACCAGACAAUGUUUUCAGGCUCUAGACAUCAAAGUUCCAAUAACCCCAGCAAUAAGAGCGGUUGGAUCACCAAGUACAGCUGAGAUUAUGAAUUGCAAAGCCAAAGCAGCCAUUUCACAACAUUUCUUAACCUUACCUUUACUCCUUUUAUGAGGGGUUUGAAGUGUGUUCUUCAAGCUCGGAAUUUGGCUCUGCAAUUUCCUGGAACCUUUACCACCUCCGAAGUAUAAUUCAUGCCAAUUCUCCACUAACAUUUCUCUAACACACGCCACAUGCAAGUUAUACUUUUUGCAAGCUGACUGGUAACUCCAACUCCUCCCUUUUCGACCACAUCUAUGACAUGGUGAUCUUACCUUCCUAUACAGAUAUAGUUUCACUUCUCCAUCAUCUAACACCAUUGGUAGCUUUGCACAACAUGGAUGUAGAUCGAAUCCACACGUUUUGCAAUGAUAAACGAAGCCAGUAACGUCCUUUUCGCAGGCAUUGCAGUAACGAGGGGUGUCACCAGGGGGCCUUGAGAGGAACUGAAAGGAACAUUUUGUGUAGAAAGGGUGAGAAAUCGAAAGGGAUGGUACGGUACAGUGCAUGUGGAGAUCGAAAUCGCAGAAGGAACAACGAUAACGUGAGCCUAUGCCAACUUCUUUGCACCCAUCACAUUUGAAUGGAACUUCAGUGUACUCAAAUUUUAGAAUGUGUUGGGGGUGGCUGAAAUGGGAAAUCUCAUUGUAUUUCAUGGUUCUUUUUUUUUUUUCCCUCUUCAGUGGUCUCUAAAGAAAUUAUGGUAAGGUUUGUAGUAAGGAUUAUGAGAAUUUGGCUUGAAACUGAAGCUAAGUAGGGAAUUAAAUGCUUGAAGAUGGUGGUAAGUGAUUGAAGGGAAAGAGCAAACAUAAGGCAUCUUUGGUGAUGUCCCACAAAAGAAUAGGAAUUUUCACUUUUAUGUGAUCCACUUAAUCAAGUAAUAUUAUUGAAAUGGUUACGCAAAAAGAUAACAAGUAUGAAUUAAUUAGGUAAGUAAUGAAGGGGUUGAGUGGAAGAUUUAUCUAGAGGGAUCAUAUACUUGCUGAAAACCUAAGGAUCCAAUAAAGAAAUAAAGAAUUUUAGCAUCUUAAAAAGAUGAUUUUAAGACAUAAGCAACAUUAUCAUCAAGGCAUUAUUUUUGGGAUUUUUAAUCUCUCCAACAUAAGCUAAAGCAUCUAACAGCAUUGUGUAGAAGUAACCUAGGAAUGUUUCAAUCCUAAAACCCAGUUAAUAUUGUUUUAUUUUUAUGGAUAUGGGCAGGAUACCAUAUAAUCUAAUGCUAGAAGGCAUAGAAUCAUGGUCUUGAAAAAAUAUUUCUGUUUGAAAUUCAAGAUUUGGAGGAUAAUGAUAUCUUCUUUUCUGCACCUUUUUCUUAUUUGAUAGAAUUUAUGCCCAUUUCUAUGAUUGGAAUCUGUUUGCAAACUGAUGUGGCAAGUGAUUAUAUGGAAUUUAUUCUUAGAUUAAUUAAUGAUUAAGAUAAUAAUAAGUUGACAAUUAACUAUGUUCUUCAUUGUUCUCUCACAGCCUAUUCGGCGGAGGGAAUAUUAAAGUGAUCUGUUGAAACUUGAGAGAGCUUCUAUUUCUAUCUUCCUCAAUUAUUUAUAAUUUUUGCUCAGGAACUUGCCUGAACAUUCCAAUAACAACUUAUUGAAAACUAGCCAAGUGGUAUGGGAAUAGAGUUAUCUCUCAGCCACUUGCAACACUAGACGACCCGAUCAGCUUCAUUCAUUACCAAAGAGAUAGAGAGUAGUUGGGUUUUUUAGUUUGUAUACUUUUGUUGCAUUAAAAGGAAAACCCCUUUUCCAUGAAAUGUAGAAUUUGGUGAAGAAUCCAAUACCGUUUUGGUCAACAAUGAAUCGUUGCGUCGUGGUAGCUUCUUAUGUCUCAUUGUUGUUUUGGUUGAAUGAUUUCUUAUAUGAGGAAUGCUGGAAUACCUGCUCAUGAUUAGUAAGUCAAUAGUUCCAUCAAGGUGUUCCAGCAUUUUACUUGCCUGCAACAAUGGAGAAUGGAUGUUGUUCCACCACGGGACUGAAACCAGAGAUUGUUUAGGUAAAUUCCCCAUCUUAUUCAAUUUUACAGUAUUAGGUAAGUUAUAUAAAAUAUAAAAAAAAUCUCAUAAAAGAAAUUAAUAAUUACAUUUUUUUACAAAUCUUUAAAAAUAUAGUAACAUAACUUAUUACUGUUCCAAAGUCUUUUAAAUAAGGUAUGGUUACAAAUUCAGAACAAGCAAGCAGAGUAAAACAGUGUUAUGGAACAACAAUAACAAUGAAUUUUGGUAAGUCUCAACAAAUUAAUGGUGCAGAAAAAACAAAUCAUGAACUUGACGAAACUAAAACACACACAAUCCAGAAGCUGAGCUGAAUCUAGAGGAUGUCAGUGACCAAAGCCCAAGCAGGGUAAACCAACAGAAUAAUUAUGCCAAUUGUGUUGGAUAUUCCAUUGGCUUUGGUGAAUGAAUUUCGAAACCCACCCGAUGCUCUGAUGUGCUCCUGAAGUAGAUAACAAGCUAUGCCUAGGCAUAUCACCACACCAAUCCAGUCGUUCCUUAUUGUGCUUGAAAAUAAGCUCGGUGCCACCACUAUUAGAAGUAUCAAUGCUCCAGGAAGUUCCAGCCAAUCUGCACCAGUUCCGGUUUCAAAGGGUUACUGCAACUUUUCUUCAUAUUUUCAAUCAAUUUGAAGAAUCGUAGGUUUAUUACUUAUGUUCAAAUACGUGCUAUGCGGGGUUAUCAGAUUAAAUAUUAUACCUGGGAAACGUGUAGGGAAGAACAAGCGCAAGACGACUGCAAUAAAAGCAAUCCAUUUCCCAACUUCUCCCCUGAAGGAGGACCAAACCAUAUGUAUUUAGAAAAUGGAAGGAAAAGAGAUGGCUUGAGUGAUGCCCACAGAUUGGAUUUACCUCAAGAUGUUGAACAGGAAGGAAGGCAGACUCAAGAAGAUGUAUGGGAUUAACAGUGCUGUAAGAAUAUUGGUUUUCCAGUUUGUACGGUCCAAUAUCAAUAGAUAACUGCAUCAACCACAAGGUUGUAGUAGAACAUUGUAAAGCAAUCCAAUUCUUCAACUGCUUGCCAAAAUCAUGAUAAAGAGACCUAUAUACUAUAUACUAUAACACUAUAGUUAUUAAGUAUAGUCUAUAUCAAACAAGAAACCUUUCAGACAAAAGGAAGAACUCACGAGAAACAGAGUCAUGAUAAAGAAUCAGAAAAGGAAAACAUGCAGAACCAAUGAAUGGAAUCCUAAAAAAAUAUAAAGUUUAUAUCCGCAACCAUUCUAAUUGGGAAAAAAAAAAGAAGAAAAGGCUUCAAAUUUCAAUCUAAUUCAACGAGUAUACUAUCAAAAAUUCAAAUCUCUUCACUCAUAAAUUGGAUCAACAUAGGUUCGUUAAGCUAGUAAAAAUGUGAAAAUGAAGAGGUGAAGAAAGAAAGGGUGGCAUACAUUGCAGCGAAGGAAGCGAUCCAUUCAAGAAGGGUGGUCCCAAAUCCCCAAGAACCCAAUUUGAUAGCAUGGUUAGCAAGCUUCUUAGUAGCAAAGAUUAGAUCUUGGAAGUCGGAUGCGAUGAGAUCAGUUGCUUCUCGCUCACUCCUCAUUGCCAAAUAACUCUUCUUUCCCACCAUUAUUUUCCUCUCCUCUCUUCAGCUUCUUGAUUACUAAUUGUUUACCAAAAUGCCCAAAUAAAAAAGACUUUUUGGGGGGAGAAAACAACAGGAAGCAGACAAUGCCACAGAUGAACAGUUGACUGUGUGGGUUGGAGCCUAGAAAGUAGUAACCAAUGGGAAGGCUCCAGUGUUAAUUUUAGGAACCAUAUUUUUGGAUUUUGUGACACGUGCAAGAAUAUACUGCGCUUAGAUACUUACAAAAGUUGCACUCCAAAUACGUGUCCUUCCUCUAGUCUUUUGGAGGUUUAAUUUUAAAAUUAAAAUAUAUUAUUAGUGACUAAUUUUUUUAUUUUAAUUAUUUAAUUAAAAAAUUAUAAUGCAGUUAUUCAAUUAUUUAAAAAAAUUUAUUUAAAUUAUUGGGUUAUUAUUUUUUUAAAAAAUUUACCAACGAUCUUCAAGUAAUAAUUUGAUAACUGAUAUGGUGGAUCAAUAACCAUGAACAUAUCUUAAAUCUAAAUCAAUCUAAAAGUUAGUGUCGUAGAUCGAAAAAAAGUUAUUUAAAUUUUGAUUUGUAAAUUCGUGAUAUCCAAAACUAUUUUUUGAAAAAAACUGAACUGUAAAAAAAGAAAAAAAAUAAGGCUUCUAAUUGGUAUAGAUAGUGUGAACAUAGACUGUCAUAUAUCACGGGUUUUAACAAUUCAAUAAUAUAAAUAAAAAUUUUAAAUAAUUUAAUGAUCAGAUUGUAACGUUUUUAAUUAAGUGAUCAAAAUAAAAAUUUACCUAUAAUUUAAUCACUUAUUUUUAAUUAUUAUGAGGUAGAUUAAGAUGCACCAUUAAAUGUAAAUAUUUUUCUUUUUACUGAUUAAAUAAUAUAAUUAUUUCCUAUUUGCCACCUGUUGAUGAUAUUAUCUAUGGGUUCAUCCGGUCAUUGUCUACACGUCAUCUAUGCCAACUCACCUCUUUCAUUUUUCUUCUCCCUCUUAUCCUUAGUAGGUUAAGUCCAUUACGUGGCCCGCUUGACAACAGAAUUAUUGAAACCAAAAAGAAAUUCUAGAACUGUGUUUAUAUUAAUUUGACAAAUAUCUUUUAUUUAAUAUAUUAUUUUUAAAAUUGAUUUAUUAAUUAUAUUUUAUAGAACAUCAGUUUUUCUGAAUAUAUAAAAUAUCAGUUCAAUUCACCUCAUAAACUAUUUAUUAAUAUUUUUUUUUAAAGAGUAUUUGUUAAUAUUUACUUGUAAAAUAUAUACAGCACAUUCAUAGACUUAUUCAUAGACCGGGCCAUCCAUCCAGACUUAAAGACCCACUCAGAAAAUGAGAAUGUUUGGACAAAAAUAUGAGGCUCAAAAAAUAGGUUUAAAUAAAAUUUAAGGUCCAUUUUUCUAUAAGAGCUGAGCCUUGGACAAUUUUUUUUACUCGAACCCGGCCGGGUAUAUUAUGUUAUCAAAAAUAUUAUAUUAAUUAUAUAUUAUAUUUAUAUUAAAUCACUAACCCAAUAACAAUUAAAUUCAUUACCCAAAAUCUAAAAAAAACACCCAACUAAAUAACCCAACCCAAAAUAUAAAAUUUUGAAAAUUAUAUUUAAUACAAUAAAAUAUUUAUUAUAUUUAUUUGUGUUUUUAAUAUAAUAAACACUUGUUAUAUUUAUGGUAGUAUUUUUUAAUAUAAAUAUAUUUUUAUGUAUUUUUAAUGUGAGAAAAUUUUUAUUUUAGCAUCUUUUUAGUGCAUUUAGUGUAUUAUAUAUAUAUUUUUUAAAUUAAAUAAAAUUUAGUCUAAAAAUCAAAUUUGGGUCAGUCAGGUCUUACUCGAGUUUACCUUUCUUAAAUUGUGUCAAGCUUGGGCAAAAAAGUAAGCUCAUUUUUUGGGUUAGACCCAAGCUUAAAAAUUUGAUUUAGAUACCUUGCAUGGGCCCAACUUGAACCCGGCACAUGAGCACCUCUAUAGAUCCACUAUGUGUAAGUAAAAAGACUUUGUCUAAUAAAUUUAUAAAAACUUGAAAUAAAAAUUGAACAGUAAUUAUUUGAUACACCGUCAGUAGAGUUUUUUAGAUUCCAUAAGUGGAUUAAUGGCAUGCCAAGUGUCAUAUUUAUUUAGGCUUAAGGGUGUAAAAUGCCCUCAAACUUUUUUCAAAAAAGCAAUCAAGCCCUUACUUUUUUUUUUUUGCACUCAAUUGGAUACUUGAACUGUCAAUAUGCAUCAAAAAGACCCUUUGACUGUUAACUUAAUGAUUAACCGUUAAAGUUAACUGCCUCUACUUUUUUUCCAAUUAAAACCACCAUGUGUCACAACCACGGCAUGUGACGAAAAAUGAUAAAAAAAUAAAAACUAAUAAAAUUUAUACAAAUUAUAAAAAUUAUUAAGUUUUAAUAAAAAAUAUUUAAAAGUUAUUAAAAAUUAGAAAAAAAUUGUAAAAAAUUGUAAACUUUUAUAAAAAUAAUAAAAAUUAUAAAAUAUAUAGAAAUAUAAAAAAAAUUAUAAAAUUUUAUAAAGUCAUAAGAAAAUUAUAAAAAUAUAAAAAAAAUAUAAAAUUCAUAAAAAAAAAAUUAUCAAACCAAUUUCUACCCAAACUUUAGAAAUACAAGAAAAAGUGGGUGUCCUCGUAGCUAUUGCAACAUUUUGCUACACCAUAGCAUGCACCAUUUGAUUCCUUAUGUUGUUUCCUUGUCAAUGUUUGUUAUGAUGUGUAGUGCACGUGUGUAUCCAAAAGUUAUUCGAUUUCGUAUGUUUGUAAUGAUCUAUAGUGAGUAUGUACGUAUGUAUGUAUGUAACACUCCCCAUGGAAGCAACUCCUACAACAAUUCCGAUGCAAAGCACUUCAUCAAGUUCUAUCAAUUUAUUCAAUGGCAUAGCUCUUUCCUCUACUUGAUUUUAUUUUUUUUUAUAAUAUUUUUUACAAUUUUAUAUUUUUACUAUUAUAAUUUUUUAUUAAUAUAUAUUUUAUAAUUUUUUACAGUUUUUAUAAAAAAAUUAUAUAUUUUUUUAUAAAUUCUUUACUAUUUUUGUGAUUUUUAUAUUUUUCUAUAACUUUAUUGAUUUUUAUUUUUAUCAUUUUUCACCUCAUGUCAUGUUGUGUUGCGACACGUGAUGGCUUUAAUUGAAAAAAAAUUUUGGGAGUUGUUAACUUUAACAGUCAAAUGACCUUUUUUUUUAUGCAUUUUGGUAGUUCAAGUACUCAAUUGAGUGAAAAAAAAAAGUAAGGGCUUAAUUGCUUUUCUUGAAAAAGUUCAAGGGCUUUUUACACCCUUAAGCCAUUUAUUUAUAUAAUUAAUUUUUUUAAUUUUUUUAAUACACUCUAUAAUAUAUUGCCAAACCUUAAACCCACUUACAGAGUCUAAAAAACUCAACAAACAAUAUAUCAAAUAAUUUUCCAAAAUGGAAUAGGAUCUUCGUUGAAAUGAUAAAGUUGAGUUUAUAAGUAUAAUGAGGUCUUAGGUUCAAAUCUCGUCAUGCAUAUAUAUUUUUUCUAUAAUACUAAAAAUAUAAAAAGAUGACACUACCCUCGAAAUAAUAUAUGUUGCUUUAUAAAAAUAAAAAGGGUUUUGAUAAUUCCACAACUGAGUUAAGAUUUCGUUAAUGGGUGACACUAACUUUGCAAAACAUUUAGGUAGUGUUUGGAAAACCACCUAAUAAUUAGAUUUAGGUGUAAUUGCAUAUAAUUACACAAUGGUGGCAUGUUUGGUUAACCAUUUUAAUUGGUAGGUCUCACCGAUCAGGUGUAAUUGGAACACUCUAAUUACAUUUUCCAUUCCUUAGGGGAGGGUGAGAAUUGGAGUAAUUACAUAGAUAAUUACUUCCAAAACCAAUUUUAAAAAAUUAUUUUUAUAGAAGUUAUAAAAAUUAUAUUAUAAGUAUGAACACGUAUGAAUGUUUGGGAUGAUUAUGAAAAAAUAUUUAUUAUAUUAUAAAUACUUAAAAAUUAUAUUUUAAAAAUAAUUUGUGUAUUUUAUGAAGUUAUAAAAAAAAUCAUAUUAUUAAAAUCUUAAAAAUUUUUCUAAAGAUGUGACAAAAAAUUACUAUAAAAAAUAAUGUACAUGUUAUAAAGAUGUUAUAAUAUAUUUAUUUAUAAAAAGUUAUGAAUAAGUAUAGACAUAAUUUAUUUAUGUGUCUAUGCUAUAUAAUAUACUUAUUCAUAACAAAAUGUUAUAGUUUUUUUUUUAUCAUAGCUUAUUUAUAAACAAAUAAUUUUCUAGAAGUAUGGUAAAAAAUUAUGCUAUUUAUAAGAAAUGAAAUUUUUGGGUAAUUUAUAAAACCUUUUUUUAUAAAGGUUAUAUAUUAUAAAUUUAACAGUAUUUUUAUUUAAUUUAUGUAUUAUAAAAAGAGAUAUAAUCUAGUAUAAGUUUUUCUCUAAAUUGAGUUUAUAUACGUUUUUGUAAUUAAAGCUACAAACAAUUUAGAAUGUGAAUCCAAAUAUUAUAAGGUUGAUGAUAAUUAUGCAGAUGGAAAAAUUUUCUUACACCAUAUCGUGGGGUAUGAUACCAUUGAGAGAAUGGUGUCGGACACAAGCACUAGGGGUGUUCAAAUUUCGGUUAAAACCGAAUUAAUCGACCGAAUCGACCUAAUUCGGUUAAUCAGUCGGUGGCUGAACUUAGUUCGAUCGGAGUUCGGUUAAUGAUUUUUUGAAAUUUCAGUUAUCGAUUGAUUUGGUUCGAAAUCGGGAAUAGGGUUGGUGAAACGGGGUUAAUGGUCGGUUGAAGGAGUUUUGUUCACGUUCUAUUUAUGCUAAUAUUCUUUGGAAUAUGGUGUGUUGGUUGGGAUUUGGAAGUUUGUUAUCAUAGUUCUGUUAAAGGUCAGGAGUUCUAUUUUGACCUAAGACUCUUGGAGUUUUGUUACCGAAAUUCUGAUUAUGAUCACAAUCUGUUAAUUAUUCAUGUAAUAUAUGCGAACAUGAAGGUAACUAUAUGAUUAAAUAAUAGAAAUGAAUAAUGAAUUUAGUUUAAUAAUUUGUUUAUUAUUUAGCGAAAAUGCAUGAGUUAAUUAAUUUAUAGAUAGUAUAAAUAACUUGCUAAUUUGAUUUAAUUUUAAUAUUAUAAUUAUGUUUGAAUAAAUGGAUGGUAAGUUUCUAAAUUCAAUUAGGUACUUAUUAAACUAUUCACGUAACUUAAUGCGUAGGCGAAAGAAAGUAGAUAAAAGAUACAAGGAGUACUUAUUCAUGAGGAUAACAUCAACUCUCAAAGCUUCAAGACUCUUUUGAUAUAUGAUUUUGAAUUUAGAAAAUGACAUGUACAUCAGUUAACUUAAAGUUUAUGUUUAAGUUCUCUAGUAGUGGCACCGAGCAAGACUUAGAGAUUGAAAUUGGAAAUUUUAAUGUGACAUUCCUUACUUUAAUAUGUUAAUAGGUUAGGUAAGCAAUGUUACAUUAGGUUGUGUCACAAGUCAAUCGGGCAUCAAUUUAGUUAGAGAAACUGUAAAAAUGUCCUUUUGAAUUUAAAAUAAUUUAUAUUUUUCGAAGGUACUUUAGUUUUUUUUUUUUAAAAAAAACUAAUAAAAAUAUGCACAUAGUGAGAUUUGAUCUCAUGCUAAUUGCAUUAGAAAAACUUUAAAUUUACCCUUCAACCAAAGCUUUAUUUUGUUAUUUUAAUACAUUUUUAUUUUAGUAUCUAUACUAUUAUUUAAACCCUUACCAAGUUGGUGUCACAAGUCAACCGGGCAACAAAUCGGUUAGGAAAAUUACAAAAAUAUCCUUUUGAAUUUAAAAUAAGUCAUAUUAUUUGAGAGCACUAUAGUCUUUUUAUUUAAAAAACUAAUAAAAAUAUGCAUAUGGUGGGAUUUGAGCUCAUAUCAAUUGCAUAAACAAAACUUUAAAUUUAUCAUUCAACCAAAACUUUAUUUUGUUAUUUUAAUACAUUUUUAUUUUAGUAUCUAUACUAUUAUUUAAACUCCUGACUGAGUUGUAUCAUGAGUCAACCAGACACCAACUCGGUUAGAAAAAUUACAAAAAUAUCAUUUUGAAUUUCAAAUAAUUUAUAUUAUUUAAGGAUAUCUUUUUUAUUUUUAAAAAAUAAUAAAAACAUCCGUGAGAUUUGAACCUAUAUUAAUUACAUUAGUACUCAACCAAAACUUUAUUAUAUUAUUUCAAAAUAAAUUAUCCAUCCAAUAACCGGGAGGAGAAGAGUUUGUGUUAUUUAAGAACUCUAUCCUUAUGGUGAUUUUAUUAGACCUUAAGUCAGGGUUAAUAAUAUAAAACUCAAGUCCUCUUGGACUGACAAAUAUGACGCAAGUAACCAUUUAUUCAAUUUUUUUUAGAGAACCACUUGUUAUUAUUAAUAUUUCCUGUUGAAUUUUGACUUUUUUUUUAUACUUUUAUUAAUGCAAAUGUAAAUUGAUAAUGCAUCACUUCAAUCUCCUAUACUUGCAAUUUGUUAAUAGAAUUUCAAUUUAAAACAUUUAUGAUUGUUUUGGUUGUACACACCAAUGCAUUGCAAUAAUCCAUUGAGUUGUUAGAAUGAUUCCUAUGAUCCAUACUUCAUGUUGAGGUAAUUAUUUAUUUUUUUAUUAAAUAAUAGAGUCAAAAUUUAGGUUCUAUACUUCUAUUUUAAGGGAUUUAAUUCCUCUAUUUUUCAAAUCUAAAAAUUUAGGUCCAUUAGUUGAAAUUGUUAAAAUUCUUCUCUUAAAUUUUUUUAGUGUAACAUUUUGAAAUUAAAAAAAAAAACCUCACUUAAUAUACAUCUACCAAAAAAAAAAAAAAGACAUUGUAAUGUAUAUGAAAUUAAUAGAAAAUUUUAGUUGGGUUAAUAAUUUUAAAAAAUUCACAUCACCAUUUUAAUUAGAAUAAAGUACUUAGGCUAACUAAUGAGCAAAAUACAAAGAAUAAAUUUAAAAUUUAAUCAUUCUUAUAUAAUCUCAAAAAAAGUAAAGGGAUUAGAAUUGAUAUUUAUCCAUUAACUUCUCAUAUAUAUAUAUAUAUAUAUAUAUAUAUAUAUAUAUAUAUAUAUAAAGAAAAUAAUUGACGUUCGGCAUUUGUCACACCUUCCUUUUAUAUAUAAUAGUAUAAGCACAAAUUUUUAGUACUUCCAAUUAAAAGAAAAGAACCAAUUUUACAGGUUCCAUUUAGACCUAGGUCGAGUUUGGACCAGGUCAAUAUAAAAUUUUAGUUGUUUUCUAGGUUUGGAUUCGGUCCGACCUGAAAAAUGGAUCUAAAAUUUUGUUCAAACCCGGUCCAGAUAAAAAAAAUAGUUAAUUUUAUGCUUCUAAUCCUUUAAAUUCAUGUUUCUAUACUUAGGAGAGUAUUUGGGAGCAAAAGGAACGAAAAACGAGCGAGAAUCGAAAAAUCGGAGCAAGUUUCAAGAACCAUGUCAAUUUCGCAAAUUACACUCCAAACACACGGAAAAAUAUAUUUUUUAGGUUUUUCAGGCAUUCUAGGACCUAUAUAUGACAAAGAUAAUAAGAGGGAGUGAGCCGUCAUAGAAUACUCAAGAAAACAACUCGGAAAACACCAUUGAAGACGACUCUAAAGCAGAUUUCCAUCAAGAUUGGUGAUCUCCUUUUGAUUUUUUGAAGUUUAUUAUGAGUUUCUUUGUUUCUUAUGGUUAAUUAUACUGUCUUUGAGAUGUUUUUAUUUGCUAUUAUGAACUAAUUUUCUAAAUACCUAAGGGAGAUGAAUCCUAUGAUGAAUUUUGUUUUUUGAGUUCUAUUUUAUGCAAUAAAUAUUUGAAUCUUGUUCUCAAUUAUGUGUGCUUAAUUCUUGGUUUAAUAUUUUCGGGCUAUUAAUCCAUGUUUUAUGUGCUUAUCAAAGAAGGAAAAGUCCCUGUUUAAGAGUAGAUCUAGUAUAAUUGAGUGGAGUUGCAUGCAAUCUUAGAAAUAGGAUAACAAAAAUCUACCAGAUUAGAGUCAAAUCUAAUAGGGAAAUUUAUAGAUCGAGUUAAUGUGAAAAUAGAGGUUUUAAUUAGAAAGAAAUUUCAAUUAAUCGACUUACUAUUGAUCGAGAUAUAAGCAUAAUUUAGGGAUUUCUACGAAUCAAUAUACUAAGUGAAGAAAUUGUUUAAUUCAGAUUGAUAAUAAUAGAUUAAAUCUAGGUGGAUUCUUUCUUGGGUAUUGUUUUGCUUCUUGGUUGUUAAUCAUUUGUUUUCCUGAUUCGUUCUUUGUCGUAUUCUUUAGUUAAUUAAUUUAGUUAAUUUUAGUUUUAAUCAAUCACUCUAAUUUGUCGGUUAAAUAAUCAAAGGAUAGUAAUUACUAGUACUUUUAGUCUUCGUGGGAACGAUAUCUUUGCUUAUCGUAGCUAUACUAUUAAUUGAUAGGUGCACUUGCCUUAGUCAGAUUUUUAGUUAGUUUACGACUGCAAUCGAGUGACCCGACCCAUGAUCAAGCUUAGUUUCAUUUGUAAAUAAUCAAUUUUCAUAUGAUAAAAAUGACAUACAUGAUCAUAAAUCAUAUCAACUAGUAAUUUAUUAAAAUUAUAUCUAAUUUUGAAUUACUUUUAUUUCAUAUUUUAAUAAAUUUUUUUCUUCUCUCGAUCGUUUUAAAGAUAGAAUAUUUUACCAACAAACAGUUGAGUGCAAUAAUAAGACACAUUACAUUCCCAAGGGUAGGAUGCAUGUUCUAAACUUGGAGAUGAUAUUAUUGAGAGAGGUAGCCACAGACCCCAAACAUAAAUAAUAAAAUGGACAUAAAAAAUACAAAAAAGAAAAAAAAAAAUUUAGUGCCGCGUGAAUAGUUGCCUAGAUAGUAAGUUGCACCGCUUGCUUUCCACCAUCUUCAAUCUUCAUGUUGUUUCUUUUCUUUCCUUUUAUUUCACGUUCUUUCCCUCUCUUCAAUCUGUUGAUAUAUUUUGUGAUAUUUUUGUUGACUUCAUGAGCUGUGAUAGAUAGACACCAAUGCCUGAUAUUAUUGAACCUCCACUGACCAUCAAAAAAUACUCUUGAAAAGUGGGUUGGUUGUAGAUCCUUGAAUGGUGAAUUUUCGUUAGCUUAUUGAUCUCAUUUUGUUUUCAUGAUAUUUUGAAAUAAUAAAUAAUUUUACGAGCCAAUUCGGACUCAUGCUGCUUUAAAGUCUUAUGUGUUUUUGUAUUGUUUUCCUUUGUUUAAUAAUUCUCAUUAAAGUUUUUGCCUUAUCUUGUACAAGUAUUAUUUUUGCUUAUGCAAGUGUUAGGUAUGGAUUUGUUGUUAUCCUUUUCAGUUUGGUGGAUGUUUGGUUUUUUUUAUUGAUUCUACUCGUCGCCUUGGACUAUCUGGGGAUAAUUCCCUUGAUACUUACAAGUCUUUUAAAUAUGUUAUGUUUAAGUUGUGACAAAAGCGAUUGUGAAGAUAUUAUAAUGUUAUCUAAUUCCCAAAAAUAGAUCUAAAAAUAAUGUGAGGUGUGUGAGUUCUUGAUUGGGGAUGGCGUUUCUUCACAUCUGUCGGUACCCAUAGCUAUAUUAUAUUAUUAUGACCAUUAAAAAGAUACGACAUAUCUCACAGUAUCUUCUACAGUGAUUUCCCCUUUUGUCGUUCGCAAAUGACGCCACCCGUAUCUCCUCCAUAUUGUUUGUAUGCAUUAAAAUAUUGGGUUCGUAUCCCUCGACAUCUCCAAUUCCAAACUUAUCCAAUAUUUUAUGUAAUCUUUUAUAAACAUAUCUAUUAUAUAGUUUUGUUUUACCCACCUCAUGAUAAAUUUAUAUACAUAUAUUAUAAAAUUUUGAUUAUCUUGUGAUUUAGGGUUCUAAUUAUCAAGUUAACAUUUUACACUUAUAACUUUAUAUUAAUUACUUUUAUAUUAAAUAUUGAUAAGUUGUAAACGUUAAUUUAGCUUUACUUUUAAAAAAGCAUAGUAAAAUAUUAUUUUUAAAUUAUAGAUUUAACAUUGUUUUCAAAAAGAGUUAAAAAGAAAAUUAAAAUGUUUAAUAUAAACGCAAUGAUAUUUAAAUUCAAAUACUCUUUAAGCAAUUAAUAUGAAUUAUUAAAGUGAGAAAAAACCCUAUUACUCCAAUGAGUAAAUCUAGUGAACCAAUUCUCUUUCUCUAAUUAAUCUAAAUUAUCUUAGGCGACAAGUAAUUCAAUCGCCUUAAGACCCACAUAUGUAUUUUUUUACGUUUAUUUAAUUUUUAUUUAGUUAAUUUGGUCACAUUCCAAAUAAUUAGACAACAUAAUCUCUUAUUUUAGCUCCAAUUCAGAUUCAUAUCUAAUUAAAUAGAUAUCUAAUGUGACUAAAUUGACCCUAGAUUAAUCUAAUCAUUAAACUGGGAAAACACCUAUUACUCCAAUGAGUGGACCCUUUCUCAUUGUUUAAUUGUUUGCGGUUCCAUGCAAGUUUUCGUGUUAAACAUAAUUUGUUAAAGAUAUGUGUUGAGCUAAUGGAUGGAUCAAUUGGAUGUAUAUAAUUAGGGCUAAAUUAACAGAUAAUUAAGUUUCAAUUCUUCGCCUAUUAAUUGCAUUGUUAUUUUAGUGUAAAUUAGCCAAUAAAAAACCCACAUCAUCUUUUCUUCACUCAUCUAACAACAGCUAAUGGGAAAAUGACCAAAAUAUUUGAUUUCGAAAAAUUUAGUGACUAAAUCGAAAAAUUAAUAAUUGAGUGACCAAAAUAGAAUGAAGUCAAUAUUUCAGUGAUAUUUUUGUACUUUACCUAAAAAAAUUAAAUGUUAAACAAGUUUUUGAGAAGCAAAUGUUAGACAUUUUCAUUUUGAAUAAAAUAAAAAAAUUUAAUAAUUUAUCAAAGGAAUAAGAUUUGACACAUUAUUAAUGGAGUUUUUAAACUCCACAGUUGAUAAGUAUUAAAAAUAAAUAUUUAAAAAUAAGAAAAAUAGAGGUACUAAAUUUUAACCAUUUUAUCAAAUACACCCUUGUGUGUUUUUCAACACUUUCAACCUCAAAUUAAUGAGCUAAAAAUCAAAAUGAACUCAAAUUAAGAAUGUUAACAUUUAAUGGCUUAACAAGUCUCAAUUUCAAUUUCUAUUAUUAUAAGACCUGAAACACAAUCCUACAAAUAUCUUGUUUUCAUUGGAUCUAUAAAUACAAAGUUUAUUUUGGCACAUGCAUCACCUACCACUCAUGUGAAUGACGCAACACUUGGCUAUAAACAGUCUCUUUUUUUUUUUACUAAAAUAAAUAAUUAAUUACAAAAAUAAACAAAUUGAACCGUUUCUCUCAGUGACACCACCCUACUUUUCCUAUCAUCAUUAGUUAUUUGGUGUCGCCGUUGUAUCAGACAAGUCAAUAUAUAUAUUUAAAAUAUUUGAGAAAAUACAAGUAUGCUAAAAAAUAAAAAAUAUAUAAUUUUAAUGGUGUCAAUAAAAAUAAAAAGGAUUUGAUUGAAAAUGAAAAAAAAUAAAGUAAAAUUCAAAAAAUAACCCUAAAAAGGGAACAAGAGUAAAAAAAGAGAAUUAAAAGCUUUGGGUCUUCACUUUUUGUUGUCACCUUGAGAGAACAAAAUAUCAGAUAAAAUGUUUUUAAUAAUACAAAGAAGAAAGGUUGAUAAAUGUAUAGAGAGAGACCUUUAAAACUUUUAAUUAUUUUUCAAUAAAAAAAAUUAAAAGUAGUUUCGAUUCCGAGUAAUAAAUUUGAAGGAGUAAAAAAAAUCAAUUUAAAACACUUAAUCGAGAAUUUAAUCAACUAAGGGUAAAAGAUCGUGGACUCAAUGUGUAAGUAAUUUUAUCCUAUCCUAAAUGAGUUUUCUUUUUUACUCUUCUUCUUUUCUUUUAGGAUUUUUUUUCCAAUCAUUUUUUUAAAAUUUUCACCAAUGUCGCGCCUGACACACUAACAGCAUUAUUAAAAAAUAUCUUUUUGUUCUUUGGCAUAUUCGUAUUUUCUCGAGUAUUUAAAAAAAAUACAUAAGCAAAAAAAAAAAAAAGAAGACUAAUGAUGAUGGCAUGAUUGGGGGAAAGUGGUUGGAUUUACAAAUUUAAAAACGAAAGACGAAACCUUGUUUGUAAUUUGUAAAUGUUGGACUUAAGAAAUUAACAGGAAAGAUGACAAUCAAUACAACCAAUCUUGGAAUCAUGGUGACGAGACUUUAGUCAGUGACUUGAACGUCACUGAUGGAGCGAACAUAAACGUCCCACUCUCAACCUCAAACGUCUCAUAACGAAGGAAAAGCUCCACCACCAUUACUCUACACAACAGUACCACCAGAUCUUUCCCAGCGCAAUGCUUGUUCCCCGCCCUCGUCUCCUCCGUCUCACGCCCAUUCGACCAAUAAACAUACUUUAACAGCUUCUCUCCUUCCCCAACAAAUCUAUCACCCACAAAUUCCUCAGGGUUCUCAAAAACCUUGGGAUCUUUAGUUGCAAACGGUUGANNNNNNNNNNNNNNNNNNNNNNNNNNNNNNNNNNNNNNNNNNNNNNNNNNNNNNNNNNNNNNNNNNNNNNNNNNNNNNNNNNNNNGAAAGGAACUGGAGGAUCGAUCCUUAGGUAUUCAUAAACCACUGAUUUGGUCAAAACCAUUUUGUUCAAGGCAGAUAAAGUAACCCCACCUUCCACUUCGACGGUAGUCCUGAUUUCAUCAGCUAAUUUCUUGUGUACCUUUUGUCCCGCUAAUGCAACCCAUUUAAUCAGCCCAGGGAAGAGGACUUUCAUACCACCAUAAGCAUUAAAACCAGCAAGGAAAACUAGGUUAUGGCAAGCUUCAUCUCUUUCAAUCCCGAACUUACUUUCAGCUUCAUCCAACACUGAGCUUCCGAACUCAUAAAACACAUCGUACAGUUUUUUAUAAUCAGAUUUAACGAGAAAAAAAGGGAAAGUGAAUGUGCGCAACAAAAUAUCUUCGAAAUAACAUAGAAGAUUUGGUAACAACCCUAGUGAUCCAAGUGGUGCAAGCUGAAACAAUAACCAUUUGUCAACAAGUUUUGGUCCUUUAAAACCUAUCCCUGUUUCACUAGGGCUUUUGUCACAGAAGAGGCGAAAAACGUAGUUAAAAGACAUGGUAUCGCUCAAGGUGUUAAAAUAAGCUUCUUUUUUGCUAGAAAUUUGAGCUUCAAGCUCAUUAAAAAUCUCUGAUAAGCCUGUUUGAAAGAGUGGUAUGAACUUAUGAUGUCGGGCUGAGAGAGUAGACAAAAUGAAGGAUUUCAAAGAAGUGUGCUUUGGCUCGGAAGGGUCGAGGUAGGCGCAAACACGAUGGCCACCAGUGUAGGCCAGGGAAGGCAAGAAAGUUCCGUCAAGAACAUCACGUUUUUCAACUUUUGAAGUGUCGAAAAGGACAGGAAAGGAGACAGCAUCCAGAAGACAAACAACACGAGGGCAAGAGGCAAUUAAAGGUCCAGGAGGCAUAUUAGUUUUGAUGAUUGUGGAUUUGUGCUUUUGGAUUCGGUUCUCAAAGAACUUGUCUCUACCUUCAUGGUAAAAGUAUGCUAAACGAUCUCGAAAUGGACCAAAGAACGUAUGUCCGCAGUCACCAGGAAUUGGUUUCAUUGGUAGCUGCAGCGGCGACAACAAAGAAGAAGAAGAAGAAGAAGAAGAAGAAGAAGAAGAAGAAGAAGAAGAAGAAGAAGAAGACAUUGUUUAAUUAUCAGCUCAGGUAAAUUAUUAGUUUGGAGAGCUAUGUCUCUAUUUCCUAUAUCUAUAUAUAAUAUAUAAAUCCAGCUCCAUAAAUAUGGAUAAAAUAAGUGUAGCAAUUAAAGGACAAAAUCGAAUAAGAUUACAUUGGUUUUUAAUAUAAAGCAAGCUUUUAAAGCGACUUAUGAAAUAAAUAGGGGUAAAAUAGAUAUAGCACAAAAUAAGAAUAGGAUUACAUUGUUAAAUAUAAUUAAGUAAAUAAGGUAAAUUAUUUAAUAUAAUUUUAAUAUAUUUCUAAAGCCAUAUAAAAAUAAAUGGAUAUUUACCAAAAAUACGGAGAUAUAAAGAUUUUAAUAAUUAUAUUUUUAUUAACCAAUAAUUGUUAGUUGUAAUGGUAAAUCACGUGGUAUUGUUGGUUCAAACUUGGAGGUAGGAUUCAUGAAUUGGGUUGGGUUCAUAUAAGGUAUCUAGAUUAAUUUUUCAAACUUGAAAAAUGGACUUAUUUUUUUUGCCCAACUCGGCCCUCCCUUAUUUGAUUUUUUUUAUAUUAGUUUUCAUUAAUUUUUUUAAAUAUAAUACAUUAAGUGCACAUAAACACUAAAAUAAAAGUUUUCUAACACAUUAAAAAAUAUUUAUAUUAAAAAUUUUGACUAAACUAUCUUAACCAGCCACAAUUAAAAUGUUUUAUUUACUAGUAAAUAAAAUUAUUCCCAAAAACCCUAGUAGUCGCCAAGAGUGCUUUGUUAAAAAAUCCUAGAGAGUGCAGUAGAUGCUGUAGUUUGGGAUGGAGGAAAGUGGUGGUGAUGAUAGAGGGGGGAGGGAUGAGAUUUCCCUUUUGGCAGAAGAACUUAUUCAAUUAUCGGUAAAGGAAUCGAUGGUGGUGCCAACUGAUAAGCCGACUCUGAUUUGUACAAUAUGGACAGAGAAGUUUUACAAUCCUGAAAGUUUUAAAGCGCAGAUGAGAAGUAUAUGGAAGACAAAGAAAAACUUUGAGAUUAUGAUUGUAGGGCAGAAUUUAUUUUUGUUGGAGUUUGAUCUAGAUGAGGAUCUGAAGGCAAUUAUGGAAGGGAGACCAUGGUUUUUUCGAAAGAGUGUUAUUCUGUUUGACAGGUUAACUAAACAGAUAGAAAGGGCUCAGAUCCGUCUGACGUCUUCACCGUUUUGGAUAAAAAUAGGUUCGUGCUUACCAGAGUUUGAUAAGAAGGAUCUUCUACAUGCCAUUGGUGUUACGUUUGGUGGGGUUAUCAGAUCUGAAAUCAAUGAGAAUUUAUGUCGAUUGAAGAUUAAUUUAGAUGUACAGAAACCCCUACGAAGAGGUAUUUUUGUUUCAACCGAAAAUUUUAAUAAAUCAUGGAUUUCUUUUAAGCAUGAGAAACUUCCUAUGUUUUGUUUUGGCUGUGGAAGAAUCGGACACAAUCUCAAAGAAUGUCAAGUGCUAAACCCAGUUGAAAAAGAGAAAAUAAAAAAAGAUCCAAAUUACACGUUGGCCUUAAAAGCAGAAUCGAAUUUAAUUGGGAAGGAGAAUAUGAAAUUUAAUCUUUUUCAAAUAAGGUGAGGGUUCAGAGCUCCUAUACAGGUGGUAUAGAGUUGCUGUCAACCAAUUUUAUAACAUCUAUGGACGAAAAUAAUAAGGUUCGGAGAGCACAAAGGACAUCGAAAGAGACUGAUGUAGCGGAGCCCAUUGAAAAGCAAGAGGAAGCUUCUAUAACAAGAGAAGAUGACGAGCUGGGUGAAAGCAAAUAUAAGACGGUUAAUUUUUCAAAUAUUACUAAGAAGACAAGCUGGAAAAGAAGAGCUCAAAUUUUCAUGUUGAAUCAAGAGAAGAGUGAUAAUGGUACAAGGAAGAGGAAAAUCCCCGAAAAAGAAACUGAUAACUGUUGUAUGGGGUUGGUGUAUGAUGAAAGGAAAAAAAGAUUGAAACAAGGGAAAGAGGGUCGUGAGAACGUUCUAUCUGAAGUAACGUUGGAUACUAUGGUACAGGAAGAUGGUCCACAAUUUAUAGGAUCGACGAUUGCCAGUAGGCAAGCCGACCGAAUACAAUGAAAAGCAUAAGCUGGAAUGUCCGUGGAUUGGGGAGUUCACGGGCAGUGAAAAGGCUGCGGUACUUUUUACAGCAGUAUAAUCCCCACAUGGUCUUCUUAAUGGAGACAAAAAUUGAUAAGCAAUGUAUGGAUAAAGUCAGAAGGAGAUGUGGAUAUCUGAAUGGGAUUGACGUUGAAGCAGAGGGAUCGUGAGGUGGUCUAUGUUUAGCCUGGAAAGAUGAUAUAGAAGUGGCUCUAAGGAGUUUCUCUAAAAAUCACAUUGAUGUCAUGAUAAAAGACACAAGGGAUAAAAAAGAAUGGAGGUUUACAGGUUUCUAUGGUAUACCUUACGCUAACAACAAAAACGCUUCGUGGAAUUUGCUGAAGAAAUUAGGGGAAGAUAAAAUUCAUCCAUGGUUGGUGAGUGGGGACUUCAAUGAAAUUAUGUAUUCUUUUGAAAAGAAGGGAGGGGCACCAAGGGAGGAGAAGAGAAUGGCAGCAUUCCGUGAAUCUCUUGAAGAAUGUCAGUUAGAAGACAUGGGAUAUUCAGGGGCUUGGUUUACAUGGGAAAGAGGUAACUUGCCUGAAACAAAUAUAAGGGAAAGACUUAACAGGGGAGUUGUGAAUGAUAAAUGGUGGCAACUUUUCCCAACGAGUUUUAUUCAACAUUUACCUCAGUCAAUGUCUGAUCAUUGCCCUCUUCUUCUAAACACAAAUAGCGAAAACUCUCACGUGGUGAAUUUAGAUUUCAAAUUUGAAGCAUGGUAGAUCAUGGAAGAAACAUUGGAAGGAAAAAUUAAGGCAUCAUGGGGAUCAUCGGCAAACACAAUAACGGAGAAACUCAAAAGAUUACAACCUGAUCUAUUGGCAUGGGCUAGAUUAAUCAAAAAAGGAAGACAGAGAUUAAAGAAAAAACUCACAAAGGAUCUUGAUAUCUUAAUAGAGGAGGAGAGGGACGAGGAUACAUUAAGCAAAAUUAUUGACACAAGGGUUCUUCUAAAUAUGGAAAUUGAUAAAGAUGAACUCUACUGGGAGCAAAGGGCUAGAGCAAAUUGGCUUAAAGUAGGUGAUAAGAAUUCAGCUUUUUUCCAUAAGUUUGCCUCCUCCAGAAGGCGAAUUAAUACGAUUUCUUGGCUGAAGAUUGAAGGAGGAAGAGAGAUUACCGAGUCAAGUCUGAUCAACGAAACUGCUACCUCAUUUUUUCAAAAGUUAUUCACAUCAAAUGGAGUUGGGAAUCUAUCACAUCUCUUAAAUGGCAUUGAAAAUCGUAUCUCUCCAGAUGUUAAUCGGGCAUUACUAUCAGCUUAUUCUGAAGAAGAAGUGCAUUCAGCUUGAAAAGGAAUGGGGCCUACUAAAGCACCAGGACCUGACGGUUUCCCUCCUAUAUUUUUUCAAAAAUUUUGGCAUAUAGUAGGGAAGGAGGUUACAAAGUUUUGUUUGGGAAUUUUAAAUAGUAAUCAGAAUUUGGAUUCUAUCAACCAAACAGAUAUUGUGUUGAUUCCAAAAAUCCCAAAUCCUACAAGUCUGUCCAAUUUUAGACCUAUAAGUUUGUGUUCGGUCCUUUAUAAAAUGGUGGCAAAAACAAUUGCUAAUCGACUUCAAGGAGCAAUUGAGAAAUGUAUUGAUGAAGCUCAAAGUGCUUUUGUUCCAGGCAGAUUGAUUUCAGAUAAUGUACUUUUAGCUCAUGAGAUUUUGCAUGCUUUUCGGAAUAAGCGAACAGGGAAAAGGGAUAUAUGGCAGUCAAGCUUGAUAUGAGCAAAGCCUAUGAUAGAGUUGAGUGGGUUUUUCUUAAAGAAGUAAUGUUGAAGAUGGGCUUUGCAGGGGAAUGGGUGGAGUUAAUCAUGAAAUGUAUUAGUACAACGUCUUUUGCAGUGAAUACAAAUGGGGAAAGAGGAAGAAUUUUUCAAUCGACUAGGGGUUUACGUCAAGGAGAUCCCCUCAGUCCCUUUCUUUUUUUAUUUUGCAGUGAGGGUGUGUCAUCCUUAAUGCGUUUGGCAAUGAAGGAAGGUUUGAUGAAAUGUGCAAAGGUUAGUAGAAGAGGCCUAAAGAUUUCAUAUCUUCUGUUUGCAGACAAUUGUAUACUGUUCGGGGAAGCAUCGGAUAGGGGGGCGAGAAUUUUAAAAGGAAUGCUACAGGAGUACGAAAGGUGUUCAGGUCAAUGUGUCAAUUUUGAUAAAUCUACUAUUUUCUAUAGUUCGAACACAUCAGAAGAGAAGGAAAGCAAAGUCUUAACAAUAUUAGGGAUAAGAAGAUCAACAAAUAUGGAAAAGUACCUAGGCCUUCCUAAUAUGAUUGGCAGAUGGAAGAAGGAGUCCUUUCAAAAUCUAAGAGAGAAGAUUCAGUCUAGAAUUAAAGGAUGGAGCACAAGAUUCUUAUCCCAAGGGGGAAAGGAAGUUUUCAUAAUAUCAGUACUUCAAGCUAUUCCAACCUAUGCUAUGUCCUGUUUUCUUUUACCAAAAUCUCUUUGUGGGGAGUUUGAAAGCAUUUUUGCUAAUUUCUGGUGGCAGAAAGCACAUGGGAAAAAGGGUAUCCAUUGGUGUCAGUGGAAGUAUUUAUGCCGAUCUAAGGAAGAAGGGGGAAUGGGUUUUAGGAACAUGGCACAAUUUAAUGUCUCACUACUAGCUAAGCAAGGAUGGAGAAUUUCGAAUAAUCCAAACUCUUUGGUUGCGCAAGUUUUAAAAGCAAAAUAUUUUCCGAGUGAAAAUUUUUUUGAUUCGCGUUUGAAAUACAACUGUUCGUAUACAUGGAAGGGUAUAUGGGCUACGAAAGGCAUUUUAGAGAAGGGGCUAUAUUGGAAGGUGGGAAGGGGUACAAAUGUAUCAGUUGUAAAUGACGUUUGGAUUCCUGAUUUAAGUUUCACCAAAUUAUCAUCUUUAGUUUAUAAUUUGAGUGAUGUUAAAGUUGCUGAGUUAAUUAACACUAAUAGUAGACUGUGGAAAAAAGAGUUGAUUGAGUCUACCUUUCCAGAAGAAGUAGCUGAUAGGAUUCUUCGCAUUCCACUGGCAGUUGAGCCUCACGAUGAUCUUCUGGCAUGGAGCGGUGAGCCUUCGGGUGAGUAUACAGUUCGCAACGCCUAUAAACUAUUACAAAGUUUGGUUGAAAAUCCUAGAGCUUAUGAGUUACAAACCGAUUACAAGGGCUUCUAUAAAAAACUAUGGCUAUUUAACCUACCUUCAAAAAUAAAAAUAACAGUAUGGAAAGUAACAUGGAACUAUCUUCCUUUACGGGCAAACAUGCAACAAAGGAGAUUGACAAACAUUACAAUCUGCCCGAGGUGUGGGAGUGGGACAGAGACGAUGAAUCACUUAUUUAGAGGAUGCCCGGUUUCAGUAUCAGUAUGGGGAGAAUUAGCAUGCCAGAUUUUUCUAUCUGAAUAUAAUUUGGAGUUCCCAAAGUGGCUAGUCUGGGUCUUUGAACAGAGUAAUCCAGUCCAGUGUAGGAUUUUCUGUUGCACUUUAUGGGCAAUCUGGGGAGAUAGAAACGCAAGAGUGCAUAAGAAGGUCAGUAAAUCUGGAAAAGAGAUAGUAAAAUUUGUGAACAGUUAUAUUCUUGAAUUAAAUGAGAUCGAAACAAGAAGGCCAAAAGUUUUUCCAGUUGUCAGUAAAUGGAAGCACCCACCUGAUCAGUUUGUGAAGAUCAACUUUGAUGUUGCAUAUGAUGUGAGAUCUUCUCAUGCGGCGCUCGAAAUUGUGGCCAGGAACAACGAAGGAAAGGUUCUCCUGGCAUGCUCAGAAAUCCACAAUCAAGUCGCUUCAGCCUUUGCUGCUGAGGCAAUCGCGUGUAGAAGUGCAACUCAACUCGGCAUUGACAUGAAAUGGGGAAACAUUAUCAUCGAAGGGGAUUCAUUAACAAUAAUCAAGAAGUGCAGAACAAAGAGCCAAGAUAAGUCAUUGAUAGGGGCGUAUAUACAUGAUAUUCAACAGAUCUCGCUUAAAACUCAAAAAUACAGUUUCGAAUAUACUCUACGAACAGCAAAUCGUCUAGCACAUUCUAUUGCAAUCGAAACAAUGAAAAGUAAGAAGGAAGUUUACCUCAUAGAAAGAGUCCCCGAAUAUGCAGAAAAAUUGAAGGAGGGGGAUAGUGUGAGAGAACUAGACUGAAGGAAAUGAAAGGUGAAGAUGGAAAAUGGAGAGGUUAGAGUGGAUAAUCAAUAGGCUCGGCUAAGAAGCUCUCCUUGGGAAUCUGGAAUCGUCUUUAACAAGUAAUGUCAGAUGAUAAGAAAAGACGAUUUUUCCAAAGCGUUUUCAGAUUGGGAAUAGUGAUAAAUAAUGAAUGCGUUUUACAGAACUUUAUUGUUUAGUUUUUCUAGAAUUUUUCUGUUUAUUUAUUGUUUAGUUUUUUCUCUUUUUUUGGGGGGGCUUUUGUUUAUUAGGUCUCUGGUUGGUUUCUAGGUCAUUGUUUUUCUGGGCUGUGAGUUAAGGCCUGUUUUUUCCUGUUUCUUAAAUAAAAUCCAAUCUGAUUAUUGUUUUCAAAAAAAAAAAUAUUUAUAUUAAAAAAUAUCAUAAAUAUUUUAUUAAAUAUAAUUUUAAAAUUUUAUAUUUUGAGUUGGGUGAUGGAUUUAACAGUUAUUGGAUUAGUUAUUUAAUAAAAAUAAAAAAUAUAUAAUAAUUAUUUAACAUAUAUAAUUAAUAUAAUAAAUUUUAUAAUAUAAUAUAUUUGGGCCGAGCCAUAGGCCUUAAAUUUUUAAUGAUCACCCACCACUGCCUUCUACAAAAUUCAAGAAUUCUCGAAAUAAUAUCCCUAUACAAUUACCCACACGACCUAUCUAAAAUGAUUUUCACAACUUUUUAUUUUUAAUUAUCAUAAAAUUUACAAUUUUCUUUUUCACAAAGAUAUUGCUUUCAAUUCUCAUGCUUUCAAAAUAGUUUUUAAUUUUGUAGUUAAAUCACAUGAUUUCCUUAAAACAAAAUGGAUUCUAUCAUUUUGGACAUUAUAUUGGAGAACUUAAAGUAUGUUGAUGCUUGGUAUUUUUACUUUUAAAUCACUAAUCUAUUUGACUAAUUAUUUUCCCUGUCUACCUCAAUGUUCAUACUACAUAAUGGAGAAAAUCUGGAACAGACACCCAUGAGCGUUUUAACAUAACAAAAGAUGUUAAGAAAUAAAACUUAAAGUCAUUCAUUGGUAUGACAUCUUAAGUUUAAGCUCAAUAACAUGCUUUUUAAGCUAUGAUUGGAACAUUCAUUCUUUGUUCAGUGUAUUUUGUUGAAAAAAUAGUAUAAAGAAUAUUAGAGCUAGUAAAAUAGGCCCGAGUUUGAAAGUUCAUUCGUGCUCAUUUGAAUUUAUACCAAUUUGAGUUUGAGAAUAUUCGAGCCCGUAAUAAAUCCAAGCCCAAAAAGUUCCAAGUUUGAAAAAGCCUAAGCCCGAGCUCGUAAGAAUCUGGGUUCAAAAUCAAUCUGACCUAGCUCGAGAUAAAUUCAACCCAAAACUCGAAAAAGCCUUAAUUUAUAGUUGAACAACCAUAAUAAGCAUUAUUACUAAAACUAUUAAUACAUAUACAACAAUUACUUUAUUUUAUACUAAAUGAUAUAAUAUUAUAUAAUAUUGUAGGAGGAUUAACUUUCAAAUAUAUGAAAAAUAUAGGGACUUCAAGCAUAUUUCAACCAGUUAAUAAUAAACAAUAAUAUAUAAUAAAAAUUAGGGAAAACUUCGUAAUUAGUCACCCAACUAUUAGCAUGUUUUUAUUUUGGUCAUCCAGCUAUGAAAGUUUUCAAUUUAGUCACUAAUGUUUUAGAUAAUUUCUAUUUUGGUCACUUACAUUUUAGAUCGUUUCUAUUUGGGUCACACUCCAUUAAAUGGUAAACGAAUCUGAUGAUGUGACAUUUUUCUAACCAGUAUAAUAACACAUUUAGUUCUCAAUACAUACAUAUACUAUCAAUUUGACUCUAAUUCUAAAUAAUUCAAUAAAUAUAACCUUCCACAUUUACAAAUUCUAUCAUUUGAUACUCAAACACAUAUCAUUAAAAUCUAAUUAAAUAAAAAAUUUCACCCCUUCCCCAAACCUCCCCCCGUGCCUCUCCCUCCCUCUCCUACAGCUUCCCCCUGCCCUCCUUAAUAAAAUAUUAUUAAAUACAUGUUUAUAAUUAUAAUUGGCAAUUCAUAAAAUUUAAUUAAAAAUUUAAUAUCUUAUUAAAAUAUUAUUUUUAUUAAAUUAGAUUUUGAGUUGGGCUUUAAUUUUUAACAAUUAUAUUUUGGUAUUGGAUCUUUUUUUUUUUAAUUUUGGACUUGAGAUUUGGGCUAUAAUUAGUUUAUUUUGAUUUUGGACUAAAUAUUUUAGAAUAUGGGUAUUAUGUUUAUGAAUUUAGUAAGAAUGAUAAAAAGUUAGUCAAUUGUCAAUAUAAUAUAAUAAUGAACACUAAAUGAGUAUAUUAUUUAGGUUUGGGCUUAGUAUAAUAUAUUUUGAUUUUGGACUAAACAUUUUAGAAUAUGGGUAUUAUGUUUAUGAAUUUAGUAAGAAUGAUAAAAAGCUAGUCAAUUGUCAAUAUAAUAUAAUAAUGAACACUAAAAAAAUAUUUUUUUAAUUUAAAUAAUAUCAUAGAAUAAUAAAUUUUACAUAAGCAUUUUAAUUGUUUUAUAUAAAAUAUCUUUAUUAAAUAGAUAUUAUUUAUGUUUUUUAUAAGACAAAAUUAAAUUGUGUUGUCAUCGUAUAAAAGUACAAUAAAUUAUUACAUUCAAAAAUAAAAUAUUUAUAACUUAUACAAUUUAAAAUUAUUUGAAUCGGUCAGACGUAACUUGGCUCAAUUCGAGCCCGAAUUCAAAAAAAUCUAAGCCCAUAAUAGAUUCGAGCUUAAAAAAAUCCAAGAUCAAAAAAACCUUCUUUAAAAUGAAAUUAACUGAACAAAACAAGAUGGUAAUCAAAUUAAACACCCUUUAAAUACAAUUAUUUUUCUCAUCAUUAGUCAUGGACAGUCAAGUAAUUGAUGAGGCUUUAGUCAAAGUCUUGAACAUCACUGAUGGUGCAAUCAUAAAUGCCCAGCGGAAAAGCUCUACCAACAACACUCUACACAAUAACACCACCGAAUCUUUCCUAGCACAAGCCUUGUUCUCCGUCGUGGAAUCCUCUGUCUCACGCUCAUUCGACCAAUAAACAUACUUCAAAAGCUUAUCUCUGUCCUCCCUAACAAAUCUAUAAGUGAAAAACACCUCAGGGUUCUCAAAAACCUUGGGAUCUUUAUUUGCAAACGAUUGAAACCAAAUAGCAUCUUGCCUUUCUUGAUCUCAAAGGUUGCAUCGUGGCUUUGGACAACAACAUCAACCUUGGCUUCACUGUAUUGGAAAGGAACUGGUGAAUUAAUCCUUAAGUAUUCAUAAACCACUAAUUUGGUCAAAACCAUCUUGUUCAAGGCAAAUAAAGUGAUCCCGCCUUUAGCCUUAACGACGGUCCUAAUUUCAUCAGCUAGUCUCUUUUGUAACUUUUGUCCGACUAAUGCAACCCACUUGAUCAGCCUUGGGAAAAGGACUUUCAUGCCACCAUAAGCAUUAAACCAACAAGGAAAAUCAUGUUAUGGCAAGCUUUGUCUCUUUCAAUCCCAAAUUGAUUUUCGACUUCAUCCAACAUUGUGUUUCUGAACUCAAAAAACACAUCGUACAAAUUUUUGUAAUCAGAUUUAACGAGAAAAAAAUGGAAACUAAAUGUAAGAACAAAAUAUCUUCGAAAUAACCUAGAAUUUUAAGUGAUAACCCUAAUGAUCCUAGUGGUUCAAGUUGAAACAAUAAACAUUUGUCAACUAGUUUCGGUCCUUUAAAACCUAUCUUUGUUUCAUUAGGGUUUUGCUAAAGAACAGGUGAAAAACGUAGUUGAAUGACAUGGUAUCGCUUAGGGUGUUAAAAUAAGCUUCUUUUUUUUGGUAGAAAUUUGAGCUUCAACCUCGUUAAAAAGCUUUGAUAAGCCUAUUUCAAAAAAUGGUAUGAACUUAUGAUGAUGGGCUAUUAGGGGUGAGCAUUCGAUCGAGUCGAGUAAAAAAAUUUCGAGUUAGUUAAGUUAACGAAUCUUAUUUUAGCAACAAACUCAAUUUGAAUUUUUCGAAUCGAGUAAAAAAAUUUCAAGCCAAGUCGAGUCGAGUUAACGAAUCCUAUUAUUUAUACUCAAUAUGGCGUUUACAUGGACCGAUUAUUUAACUAAUAGAUGAAGUACAAGAUUAUUUAACUACAUAAAUAAUAUAAUGGUUUUGCGUUUUAACUUAAUGGUUUUGACUUUUAAAUUUAGAAAAGGUAAACAUUUAUCAAAACGAUGUAGUUUUACCUUUUCUUAUUCGGAUUUUUUGAUAACUCGAAUCUCAUAUUUGAGUUAAACCGAAAAACUUUAUUUUUUUAUUUGAGUUGAUUUGAAUAACUCGAUUAACUCAACAACUCAAACUAUUUAAUUCAAAAUUUGAUUUUUUAUUGAGUUUUUCGAAUCGAAUCAGAUUUUACUCACCCAUAUAGGCUACAAUAGUAGAUGAAACAAAGGAUUUUAAAAAAAGUGUGGUUUGGCACAGAAGGAUCGAGGUAGACACAAACAUAAUGACCACCGUUGUAGGCCAAGGAAGGAAUGAAAGUUCCAUCAAGAACAGUACGUUUAUCGACUUUUAAAGUGUUGAAAAGGAUAAAGAAGAGAUAACAUCGAGAAGAUAAAAAAUGUGAGGUCAAAGGGCAAUUGGAGGUUCGAGAUGCAUAUUAGAUUUUUAUAAUAUGGAUUGGUACUUUUAGAUUCGAUUCUCAAAGUACUUGUAUAACAUCCCUUCCCCGACUCGAUCGUCGGGUCCAAACUAUAGGAUGCCAUGUUUGUUGCCGGAGAAACUAUAAUCAAUUACAACAUAAUUUCUAUCGAUUCAACAUUUUAUAUUCAUUAACAUGUUCAUUACAUCAUUAUAUUAUAAUAUAUAAUUUUUUUCGAGGUUUAUCCGAGCUUGCGAAAGCUCUUUUCAUAACCUAAGAUCGUUGGAGGACUAAACUGCAAAGUUUCAAAAUGUUCUGGGUUGGCGUCACUACUUCAGGGGUGCAAUGUCACUACUUCCAAAAUAGUAAGUUGGCAUCGCAACUUGAGGACUAAAAUGUAAGCUUUCCAAACAUUACCGAGUUGGCGUUGCAACAUCAAGGGUACAAUGUCACAACAUUGAAAACAGUGAAAUGAUGUCGCGACCUCAAAUAGGGGACAUUGUGACAUUAAGGGCUGGUGUCACGACAUCUAUAGAGUGGUGUUGCGACUUUGAUAACAGUCUACUACAAGUUCAAUCCAUUUUUUGUUUCACCCUAUCAAUCACAUAAUAUGACCAAUUUUAGGACCUAUAAUGGCAAGCAUAACAAGUAAAUGUUCAUCCCAACUUCCCAAUUCAUCAUAUCAUGCCGACUUAUAACCAAAAACUAAAUAUCACUAGGCUAUAUGUCAAGUAGUGCCAGCCCCCCCUAAAAUGGAAAAUUUCUAUUUAAGCCCCUUAAAAUUUUAAAUUUGUAAUAGUAAAAUUGUACUUUGGCUUCCCCAAAAAUGAUAAAUUUUUUGAUUUAAUCCUUUAAAAAUUAUAAAAGAUAUAGGCUAUUAAAUAGUAAAUUUGCAUUUUUACUAUCGUGAAAAUAUACAAUUUAAUUUCAGCCCCCUUAAAAAAUUUCCUGGUUUCAUGCCUGAUAUCAAGCUUAACAUACACAUACCCAUAAGCACAAAUCCAACAUUGGCAUUCAUAAAUAAUGAUGACCAUUUACAUAUCAAAGACCCUAUAUACAUGCCACGACAUUAGAUAUCAAAAUGAACAUAUUUCUGCCAUCUUGAUAAUAGUGUGAUAUCCGCAAAGGUCCGACUUCGCGUGUUCCGCAAUCUAGGGAUCUACAUGUAAUAAAAACAAUCAUAGGUAAGCAUUCAAUGCUUAGUAAGAAAAACAAUUGGGUUGUUACAACUUGUCCCUGCCUUUAUGGUAAAUUAUGCUAAUUGAUCUUGAAUUAGACCAAAGAAGGGAUGGCCAUAGUCACCGGGAAAUGGUUUCACUGGCAGCUUUGGUGGUAAUAGUGAAGAAGGUGAAGAAGAAAAAGAAGAAGAAGAAGAAGAAGACAUUUUUUAAGGGCUUAAGUCAAGUAAGUGAUUAAUUUCUCUUUGUCAUAGUAUAUAUAGAAGCAACCACUCAAAAGCUAUAGGGAUAAAUAUUAAAACUAUACAUGAACUUUGUCCAAUGUACAAUAUCAUACAUGAACUUUAAUUUUGUGCAAUUUCAUACAUAAAAAUUUGAUUUGAUUCAAUUUUCACAAGUCAUUGGAAAUAUUAUCGAAUUAGCACCAUUUAUGUUGAUGUUGAUAUAUUGCAUGCAUAAACAAUUAUAUUAAUCCAAUAUGAAAAUAAAUGUAUGUACUUAUUUCUUUAAAUGCGUACAAUUGAAUCAAAAUUAAAGCUUCAUGUAUACAUAUGAAUUAUAAUUUAAGUUCCAUGUAUAUAAUUGUUCCAAAUUGAAGUUCAUGUAUCAAAUUGCACAUUGGAUGAAAGUUCAUGUAUAAAUUUAAUAUUUAUCCCAAAACUAUUACCUAAUAUUAAUAAUAAGUAUUUAUGUGUCGUUUGAUUACUCAAGUAAUAACAUAAGGGAAAAACUUAUUUAUUACAUAAAAUAAAGAAUAAUCAGUACAAAUUUAAACUUGAAAUUAGAAAGAUGAGUAAAAAUUGUUGUAAAAAAUAAGUGAAAAAUUUUCCUUCACUUUGUUAAAAAUAAGUCAUGAGAGGAGCUAAAUAUUACCAAUUAAAUUAAUUUAUUGCUAACUUAUAACUAAAAUAUGUAGAAAAAAAUAAUCCUCUUACCAAACGUGAAAUUAAAAUUAUUUUAUCUCAAAAAAAAUCUAAAUUGUAACCUAUUAAUCGGGUUUUCACCUACUUCAAUGAUAAUAAGUUACUGAAGUUAUUAAGAGUUUGGUAAAUAGUUUAAGCUUGGAAAAUGAUUCGCUAUGAAGUGAUUGUUGACUGUGUGGGGGUGGUCCUAACUCCUAAGAAAGUUUGGUAAUAUUGUCCGACGGGAAAUAAAAAUCUUAUAAAUUUUAAAAUUAUACAUAAAUUUUAAUUUAAUGUGUAAUUAUAUAUACGAAUUUUAAUUUGGUACAAUUAUACAAAUAAAAUUCUAAUUGUGGUUCAAAUGUAUACUUGAAAUUUUAAUUUUGAUUUAAUCAUGCACAUUUAAAGAAAUAUAUACAUCAAUUUAUUUUUGUAUUGGAUAAAUAUAAUUAUUUAUGUAUGUAAUAUAUAAACAUAAAAUGAUGUUAUAUCGAUAAUUGCCAAGAAUUGGAUCAAAUCAAAAUUUCAUGGAAGCAAUUGCACAUUAAGCCAUAAUUUAUGUAUAGUUUUAGGAUUUAUCUCUAAAAAAAAAAGGAAAAACUCCAAUAAUUCAUAUAUACAAUUACAUAUUAAGCUAUAAUUCAUGUAUAUUAUUUUAUAUAAUAAAAUUUUUAUAGAUACAUAAUAUCUUAAAAAUAAUUAUUAUAUCAAUACUAACACGAUAACAUAAGACAUGAGUAUUUAUUCUAUACAAAUAAUUUCAUUUUAAAAAAAAUCAUAUAUUUCCAUCCUAAGGUUUUUAGGUUAACUAUCUUUAACGGGUCUUUUACAAAAAAUAUUACAAAAAAAUAAAAAAAACCAAAAUAAUAUUAAAUUUUUAUUUCCCAAAAUAAUACAAAAAAACAAAAAAGUUUUAAAAAAAGCUAUUGGAGGAUGUGACAACACCCUAGUGGAGGGGCUGCCAGAGGCGACACCAGUGGUGCUAGUGGCAGAGGCAGCACCGAUGGUGCCACUGCCACAGGCGGCUCCACCCCCUUAUAAUGGGGGGACCAUUCGGCUAGUGGGUGGAGAAGAAAAUGAGAGGGACAAGAGAAGAAAGAAAGAAAGAAAAAGAAAGAAAAGGAAAGGAGAAGAAAGAAAGAAAAAGAAAGGAGAAGAAAGAAAAAGAAAGGAGAAGAAGAAGAAGAGGAAAGGAAGAAAAAAGAAGUACAGGUAAAUUUUUUUUGUAUUAAUUUAAAUUUUUUUGUAAUAUUUGUGUAAAAAAUCUAUGUUAUGUACAUUGUAUGUGUUUUAUUAUUUUAUUUAGCAUAUAUAUUUUAUGAAAUUUAUUUAGUAUGAAAAAAUCCAUGUUAUGUACAUUAUAUGCUGAUUAGAAUUUUUUUAUGAAAUUUAUUUAGCAUGUUGUGUAACAGCCCGAUUUUGACCCUAAACGGACAAAGUUGUUCCAGGACCACAAAUCUGAGUCAAAAAAUAUUUUUAAAUUAUAUUUGGUAUUUGCAGUAUGUGAAUUGAUAUGUGUAAAAAUUUCGUAUAAAAAUUUGAUCGUUUGAGUACUCAAUUUGAUAAAAUAACUUAAUCGCGUAAAAUGAAAAUUUAGAAGGUCAAACUUAAAAUCACCCAAUUGUUGUUGUCUUUCAAAAAUGAGGGUUUUAAAUGGCAAUUAGGCCAUUUAGUAGAUAGUGGGCAGCAAUGGUCAAUAUUUCCCUUAAGUUAUAUGUUUUAUAAUUUAUUUAAUUAAGGUUAAUUUAGUCAUUAAGUAAAUUAUAAUAUUAUAACUAAAAAUAAGUAAUGAAAAGAUGAAUAUUUCAUCUUUCUUAGCCGAAUAGUGAAAAUGAAGAAACCUUCCAUGGCUUUUUAAAGUUUCGGCACUUCCAUAGCAAAAUUAAGGUAUGUUUUGGUUUCGGUUUUUGAUAAUUUUUAUGUUUUUGAGAUCGUUGCUUUGUGUACUACAAGACCCAUACUUUAAUUUUAGAAUUUGAUGGUGAUUUUGAGAUAUGCCAUUAAUGAAUGCUUGAGCUUUGUGAUAGUUGAUGAUGAAAUAUGAAAGAUAUGUAAAGGAUUAACAUGUUUUGUCUUUGAAUGUUUAGUGAAAUUGAGUAAUUAGGGUUAAAAUUGUGAAAAUAAAUUUUUGAGGGACUAAAAUGUGAAAUAAAUGAAAUGUGUGGACUUGUAUGAAGCCUAUGAAUAUCCGGCCCUAGCAUAGUGUGGGUAAAUUUUGUGUAUUUCGUGUUUUGUGCAAAAAAGACUAAAUUGUAAAAAGUGUAAAAUGUCAGGGGCGAAAUGAUAAAUUGCCCAUUUAUGUAUUUUUGGAUUUAAUUGAAUGUUUUGAUGAAUAAAAAGGUUAAAUUUGAAUAUGUUUAGAUCAAGAACGAAGAAAACGGAAUUGGAUCGGGGGAAAACGAAAGUAGUUGAGUAAUCGAUCGUGUCCGCCGAUAUCCGAGGUAAGUCAAUUAGCAAGUAAAUGUUAUCUAAAUUGAAUAUAUAUAUAUAUAUAUAUAUAUAUACUACUUUUACCUACACAUAUGAUAAGUUAGAACUUAAAAUGUGUAAAUUAAAUAAAACCUUGUAAUUUACCUAUAUAUUAUAGCUGAAUAUAAGAAUUAAUAUUAAUAAGUUGAUGUUAAUGAUUUACGUUUCAUGUAUGUUAGCUAAAUAUGCUAUAAAUUCAAUGAUUCGAAACAAAUGGUGGAAUAAAUAUACAUAGAUGUGUAAAUUCGAAUGUAAGGCUUAAUUCUUUGGAUUGAAUUUAAGUUAUGAGUUAAAGAUAUGGUUCUAAAGUAUAUUAUAAGUUCUUGUAAUAAAAUUUAAAUACUAUGAAAUACAUAUAUUUUUGUGCGUAUUGUUAGAACAUAGUUAUAUACGUAUAUUCAUGUUCUUGAGCUGGAAAAUUAAUGUAUGAAUUUUAUAGGUAUAAGAGGGUUCGAACAUAGAUUACAAAAACAUUUGUGCUGAAUGUAAUGUUUUUUUUUUAGUUAUACCUACGUGGUCCGAAUGUAAGUUUACUAUGAAGAAUCGAAUAUAAUUCAAUGUUACGGAUAUGCAGUUGCUGAGUAAGACUUAUGUAAUUAUAAAUAACUAUACGAAAGAGCGUCUUUGUAUUUGAGAUUCUCAGGCUUGUGCCUAGCAGGCUUAAUGCCGGUGAAAUAUUCAGACUAUACGUCUAGCAGGCUUAAUGCCGGUGAAAUAUUCAGACUAUACGUAUAACAGGCUUAAUGCCGGUGAAAUAUUCAGAUUAUACGUCUAGCAGGCUUAAUGUCAGUGAAAUAUUCAGACUAUACGUCUAGCAGGCUUAAUGCCGGUGAAAUAUUCAGACUAUACAUCUAGCAGGCUUCAUGCCGGUGUACGGAAUCAGGCUUUAAGCCUAGCAGGCUAUGUGCCGGUGAAUUUAUUUAAAACGUGUGUUCAGAAAGUUCUUGUUAAUGUAAUUUUAAAUGUAGUUGGACAUGUGAAUGAAUUAUAUCUACAGGUAUGUAUUAAUUAAAUGAAUGAAUGGAAAUAAGGUAAGUUGUCUAUUCAGAAUGAAAUAUCAUAAGUGUUUGUAAUAUUAUAAGUUACCAAUUUUAUUUAGAGAUGUAAAUUGGCUUAGUUGAUAACUAAGCUACCAUAACGAAGGCUUAUAUAUAUAUAUGUAUAAUGGUGAUUUAUCAAAAUGUUUGACAUUAAUGAUGGGGUGGUUGUUGUUAAAUAAUGAACUUUGCUUAAAAGUAUAUUUGACUUGUUAAAUAUAUAAUAUGAGAAUAAUAAAGUUGAAAGUAUAUAUGCAGUUAGUGAGUAGAGAAUAUUAAAUUAUUGAGUUAUAAAUUUAUGCAAAGGUUGAAUAAAAAAAUGCUAUGUACUGGACCUGUAUUAGUAAAUAUUAUAUAUAUAUUUGUAUAUAUAUAUUCAUAUAGAAUGUCUUGAAAUUUGUUUGAUUCAAGUAUAUAGGUGAUAAGAAAUAUAAUUAUGUAUAUAAGAUUUACUAAAUUGACACGGAUAUAUAUAUGUAUAAAUUGCUUUAUGAAACUUAAGUUUUUCAUUAAAUGAGUAUACGUAUAUUAUUUAUAUUCGAGUAUACCUUUGAUUAAAUUUGGUUGCGUUGAUAAGGAAUGCAACUAUGUAAUAAUUUGAAUUGUCCAGUAAGUAUAUUUAGCAUUGUUCUUGCGUGUUUAAGAUUGUUCAAUAAUUGUCUAUAAUCAUGUUAAGUUCAGUAAUGGCUUGUAACCCUAAUCUGGCGACGGGCACGGGUUAGGUGUGUUACAUUUUAUUGGUAUCAGAGCUACGGUUUAGUCGAUUCUAGGACUAACGUAGCGUGUGUGAGUCUAGCUAUACAUGCUAUAUUUUAUGUUGCGAUAGUGUGAUGAUUUCUGACAUCUAAAAAUGUGUUUUCGUAUAGUAAUGGAUCCUAAUCGAGCAGUAGCCGAUGAUGUUGAGAGUAUAGCGCAUGUUCCUGCGCAAGGGACAGAGCAGAUAGAUUCUAGACCUACCUCGAGUAACCGGGAGGGGGAGUCUAACCAAGCUUUUUUUUUCCAAAUAAUGAACGACUGGUUUACUCAAUAUAUCCGGACUAAUCCGGCUGCACAACAACCUCCACCCUCGACUAAUCCAUAUCUGAUACCUGUGGUACCUCAGAUGAUUGAUCCGAUGAGAUUUAAUAAGCUCCCUGUUGAUAAAAUUAGAAAAUACAGGGCUGAAGAAUUUAGGGUCACAGUUAAUGAUGAUGCUGAGCGGGCUGAAUUUUGGCUCAAUAACACUAUCCGUGUAUUCGAAGAAUUGUUAUGUACUCCCGACGAGUGUUUGAAAUGUGCCAUGUCUUUGUUACGCGAUUCUGCCUAUAAUUGGUGGAACACUUUAGUGUCGGUGGUGCUGAAAGAACGGAUCACUUGGGAAUUCUUUCAGAUUGAGUUCCAUAAGAAAUAUAUCAGUCAGAGAAUCAUUGAUCACAAACGUAAAGAAUUUCUUGAGCUUAAACAGGGUCGUAUGACUGUUACUGAAUACGAGCAGAAAUUUGUGAGACUCAGCAGAUAUGCCCGAGAGUGUGUUUCGACUGAAGCUACAAUGUGUAAACGAUUCGAAGACGGGCUGAAUGAAUAUAUUAAACUGUUAGUUGGCAUACUUGAGAUAAAAGAGUUUGUGGUACUUGUUGAAUGAGCUUGCAAGGCCGAAGAACUCGGGAAAGAGAAGAGAAAAGCUGACUUUAAAGCUAGAGAUUCCCGUAAAAGAACAUUCAAUAAAUCAUUUCAGUCGACCUCAAAGAAAUUCGAAGAGGAUCAUAGCCGAUCUAAAGCUAUUGCAGGGUUUUCUAGACGAGAUCGAGAUCGCCUCCUGUGAGUUCACGAGCCACUUCGAUUGCUAGUGUUGGCAAUGUUUGGCAGAAUAGAUUCGAGUGCAAGCAUUAUGGUAAAUGGCAUUCUGGAGAUUACAGAUUGCAUGAUCGAUCUUGUUUUAAGUAUGGAUCGAAGGAUCAUUUUAUCCCGGAGUGCCCGAUGUUAGCCGAGCAAAACACUGUUCAGAGCACCAAACUGAGUAAUAUGUCAAUGCGAGGUAGACCACCCAGGCAUACAGGUAAUGUAAGUGGCAGUUAGAGAGGGACGAAAGAUAUGACAGUUAGAUCUGAAGCUCGUGCACCUGCCAGAUCAUAUGCUAUACGCGCACGAGAGGAGGCCUCAUCCCCAGACGUUAUUACUGGUACUUUCACUCUUUAUGGUACUAAUGUUAUUGCAUUGAUUGAUCCUGGUUCAACUUAUUCAUAUGUGUGUGAGACUUUAGUAUUCAGUAAGACUUUGCCUGUUGAGUCUACUGAGUUUGUGAUUAGAGUAUCAAACCCCCUGGGCCGGUGUGUUUUGGUUGACAAAAUGAGUAAAAAUUGUCCGUUGAUGAUUCGAGAUUCAUGUUUUUCGGCUGAUUUGAUGUUGUUGCCAUUCGACGAGUUUGAUAUUAUUCUAGAUAUGGACUGGUUGACUUUACACGAUGCUGUGGUAAAUUGUAAAAGGAAGAUGAUUGAUUUGAGAUCUCAGAAUGAUAAGAUUAUUCAGGUGGAAUCUAAUGAUUUGAAUGGUUUACCAGUUGUGAUAUCUUCAAUGUUAGCUCAGAAGUAUGUGAGAAAAGGCUGUCAAGCUUACUUCGCAUAUGUGAUUGAUUAUCAUCCAAGAAAGGCUAAUGUUGUUGCGGAUGCCCUACGUCGAAAAUCAUUGUUUGCUUUGCGUGUAAUGAACACGCAUAUAGUUAUGUCUGAUGAUGGUGCGAUAAUAGCUGAGCUAAAAGCAAAACCAUUAUUUUUUUAACAGAUUUGUGAAGCUCAAAAAGUCGAUGACGAUUUAAUUGCAAAACGGACUCAAUGUGACUUGAAUGUUGAUUCAGAGUUUCUAGUUGAUGCUGAGGAUUGUUUGAGAUUCAGAAAUCGAUUAUGUGUUCUGAAAAAUUCAGAGUUAAUUUAGAUGAUAUUGAAUGAAGCUCAUGAUAGUCGAUUAUCUAUUCACCCGGGUAGCACGAAAAUGUAUAACGAUCUGAAAUAGUACUAUUGGUGGCACGGUAUGAAACGAGACAUUUCUGAAUUUGUUUCGAAAUGUUUAAUAUGUCAGCAAGUAAAAGUCGAGCAUCAGCUACCUUCUGGAUUGCUCCAGCCGAUCAUGAUACCUGAAUGGAAAUGGGACCGAGUCACGAUGGAUUUUGUAUCCAGUUUACCGUUGACACCGAGCAUGAAAGAUGCAAUAUGGGUUAUUGUUGAUAGAUUGACAAAAUCGGCUUACUUUGUUCCGGUCCAUACAAAGUGUUUUUGAAAGUCUCGUCAUGGAAGAAAAUACUCAGAUUCGGACGUAAGGCAAAUUGAGUCCAAGAUCUAUUGGACCGUAUGAGAUUAUAGAACGUAUCGGACCGGUUGCUUAUAGAUUAUUGUUGCCACCUGAGUUAGAAAGAUUCACAAUGUAUUUCAUGUUUCGAUGCUUCAUAGAUACUGAUUCGAUCCUAUAUAUGUGAUUAGUCCGUCGGAGAUUGAGAUCAAAUCGGAUAUGUCAUAUCAAGAAGUACCGACUCGCAUUUUAGCUUCUGAGGUCAAAGAAUUGCGAAAUAAGAAAAUUUUGUUUGUAAAAGUGCUGUGGCAUAAACAUGGGGUCGAGGAAGCAACUUGGGAACUAGAAGAUUCAAUGAAAGAAAGUUAUCCCAAUCUAUUCACCAGUAAAAUUUUCGGGGACGAAAAUCCCUAAGGGGGGAGAGUUGUAACAGCCCGAUUUUGACCCUAAUCGGACAAAGUUGUUUCGGGACCACAAAUCCGAGUAAAAAAAUAUUUUUAAAUUAUUUUUGAUAUUUGCAGUAUGUGAAUUGAUAUGUGUAAAAAUUUCGUAUAAAAAUUUGAUCGUUUGAGUGCUCAAUUUGAUAAAAUAACUUAAUCGCGUAAAAUGAAAAUUUAAAAGGUCAAUCUUAAAAGCACCCAAUUGUUGUUGUCUUUCAAAAAUGAGGGUUUUAAAUGGCAAUUAGGCCAUUUAGUAGAUAGUGGGCAGCAAUGGUCAAUAUUGCCCUUAAGUUAUAUGUUUUAUAAUUUAUUUAAUUAAGGUUAAUUUAGUCAUUAAGUAAAUUAUAAUAUUAUAACUAAAAAUAAGUAAUGAAAAGAUGAAUAUUUCAUAUUUCUUAGCCGAAUAGUGAAAAUGAAGAAACCUUCCAUGGCUUUUUAAAGUUUCGGCACUUCCAUAGCAAAAUUAAGGUAUGUUUUGGUUUCGGUUUUUGAUAAUUUUUAUGUUUUUGAGAUCGUUGCUUUAUGUACUACAAGACCCAUACUUUAAUUUUAGAAUUUGAUGGUGAUUUUGAGAUAUGCCAUUAAUUAAUGCUUGAGCUUUGUGAUAGUUGAUGAUGAAAUAUGAAAGAAAUGUAAAGGAUUAACAUGUUUUGUCUUUGAAUGUUUAGUGAAAUUGAGUAAUUAGGGUUAAAAUUGUGAAAAUAAAUUUUUGAGGGACUAAAAUGUGAAAUAAAUGAAAUGUGUGGACUUGUAUGAAGCCUAUGAAUAUUCGGCCCUAGCAUAGUGUGGGCAAAUUUUGUGUAUUUCGUGUUUUGUGCAAAAAGGACUAAAUUGUAAAAGUGUAAAAUGUCAGGGGUGAAAUGAUAAUUUGCCCAUUUAUGUAUUUUUGGAUUUAAUUGAAUGUUUUGAUGAUAAAAAGGUUAAAUUUGAAUAUGUUUAGAUCAAGAACGAAGAAAACGGAAUUGGAUCGGGGGAAAGCGAAAGUAGUCGAGUAAUCGAUUGUGUCCGCCGAUAUCCGAGAUAAGUCAAUUAGCAAGUAAAUGUUAUCUAAAUUGAAUAUAUAUAUACAUUUUUUUACCACACAUAUGAUAAGUUAGAACUUAAAAUGUGUAAAUUAAAUAAAACCUUGUAAUUUACCUAUAUAUUACAGCCGAAUAUAAGAAUUAAUAUUAAUAAGUUGAUGUUAAUGAUUUACGUUUCAUGUAGGUUAGCUAAAUAUGCUAUAAAUUCAGUGAUUCGAAACAAAUGGUGGAAUAAAUAUACAUAGAUGUGUAAAUUCGAAUGUAAGGCUUAAUUCUUUGAAUUGAAUUUAAGUUAUGAGUUAAAGAUAUGGUUCUAAAGUAUAUUAUAAGUUCUUGUAAUAAAAUUUAAAUACUAUGAAAUACAUAUAUUUUUGUGCGUAUUGUUAGAACAUAGUUAUAUACGUAUAUUCAUGUUCUUGAGCUGGAAAAUUAAUGUAUGAAUUUUAUAGGUAUAAGAGGGUUCGAACAUAGAUUACAAAAACAUUUGUGUUAAAUGUAAUGUUUUUUUUUUAGUUAUACCUAUGUGGUUCGAAUGUAAGUUUACUAUGAAGAAUCGAAUAUAAUUCAAUGUUACGGAUAUGCAGUUACUGAGUAAGACUUAUGUAAUUAUAAAUAACUAUACGAAAGCCCGUCUUUGUAUUUGAGAUUCUCAGGCUUGUGCCUAGCAGGCUUAAUGCCGGUGAAAUAUUCAGACUAUACGUCUAGCAGGCUUAAUGCCGGUGAAAUAUUCAGAUUAUACGUCUAGCAGGCUUAAUGCCAGUGAAAUAUUCAGACUAUACGUCUAGCAGGCUUAAUGCCGGUGAAAUAUUCAGACUAUACAUCUAGCAGGCUUCAUGCCGGUGUACGGAAUCAGGCUUUAAGCCUAGCAGGCUAUGUGCCGGUGAAUUUAUUUAAAACGUGUGUUCAGAAAGUUCUUGUUAAUGUAAUUUUAAAUGUAGUCGGACAUGUGAAUGAAUUAUAUCUACAGGUAUGUAUAAAUUAAAUGAAUGAAUGGAAAUAAGGUAAGUUGUCUAUUCGGAAUGAAAUAUUAUAAGUGUUUGUAAUAUUAUAAGUUACCAAUUUUAUUUAGAUAUGUAAAUUGGCUUAGUUGAUAACUAAGCUACCAUAACGAAGGCUUAUAUAUAUAUAUAUAUGUAUAAUGGUGAUUUAUCAAAAUGUUUGACAUUAAUGAUGGGGUGGUUGUUGUUAAAUAAUGAACUUUGCUUAAAAGUAUAUUUGACUUGUUAAAUAUAUAAUAUGAGAAUAAUAAAGUUGAAAGUAUAUAUGCAGUUAGUGAGUAGAGAAUAUUAAAUUAUUGAGUUAUAAAUUUAUGCAAAGGUUGAAUAAAAAAAAUGCUAUGUACUGGACCUGUAUUAGUAAAUAUUAUAUAUAUAUAUAUUUAUAUAUAUUCAUAUAGAAUGUCUUGAAAUUUGUUUGAUUCAAGUAUAUAGGUGAUAAGAAAUAUAAUUAUGUAUAUAAGAUUUACUAAAUUGACACGGAUAUAUAUAUGUAUAAAUUGCUAUAUGAUACUUAAGUUUUUCAUUAAAUGAGUAUAUAUAUAUUAUUUAUAUUCGAGUAUACCUUUGAUUAAAUUUGGUUACGUUGAUAAGGAAUGCAACUAUGUAAUAAUUUGAAUUGUCCAGUAAGUAUAUUUAGCAUUGUUCUUGCGUGUUUAAGAUUGUUCAAUAAUUGUCUAUAAUCAUGUUAAGUUCAGUAAUGCCUUGUAACCCUAAACCCUAUAUUUAUUUUUGUAGGUGGAGUGUUUGUCCGGGUAUCAGGAGGUUGCACACUAUCCCAAUAUACCGACUCAUGAUUGAACAGCAUGCCGGGAAAGGGGUAAACUAUUAUAAUAUUCGUGACAUCUUACUUUCUGUAUCUUAGUCACACAUUAUGGCUAAUUAUAACCAUGUUAUUAAUCAUGUAGUUUAUAUGGAUGCCAUAUCGUAGCCCGGUAAUUACAGCUGUGAUGCCCUCGUCUGCAUACGUUCAUUCUGAAAUGUGGUGCACUAACUCACCAAUUAUAAAUUUCAAUAUAGUUGAGUGGUACCGUGGGGAUUGGGUGCUACGACAGUUUGGUUGCAUCCAAUAUAUCCCGGAUCUGCCUUGCGAGGUGGGGGCGGUUCACGGCAUCAACAAAAGAGGAAAACUGCAAUUGGAUUGGAGGGUUAAGCACUAAAAAUUUGUUGCGCUGUGGAACGAUCGGAUGGGUCGAAGACCUCAGAUGGUUAUGGCUUCCGAUUUGCAACCAUCAUUAGAGUACAUACAAUGGUACUAUAGUUGCGAAAAGCCAUAUAUACUUAAAGGGCAGUUGACUAUAGUCCCCCCGCACAUGUAGCAACCUGGGGGAUCGUACCCAACGAACCCGAUGAGGCGGAGCUUGCGGCAGAUCAUGAUCCCGAACCAGAGCCCGAGCCAGAGCCCGAGCCAGAUCCCAAGCAGUCACAUUCACAUGGGGAUUCACAUUGCUAUCAUCCAGAUUUGGCAGGCAAUGACUAUAUUUUGAGCUUCUCAAGGGGCGAAUACGCAUACGAGUUUGAUCUCUUUGGAUUCUACGCGCCGAAGUACGACACUCCUGACCUGUAUCCACAGCAUCAUGGGACUCCUUCCGGUUCAAUUUCGUCGAUGCCGAUCAAGCCACAUGAUUUUUCCUCUAUGUUUACCAUACCCUCACCUACGCCAAAUGAGGAUGUUGGUCGUUGCGAACACCCAGAACGUGACCGUCGACCUCCGCAUAGGUAUACCCCUAGGACCAUACCUUGGAAUCAUCAAUUUUAGGGGUUUAUUGAACUUUUUUGUACAUUUAAAAGUUUGUACUUUUUGUAUAAAUUUAAUUAUUCUAAUUUUAGGUAUGCUUACUACGGAACUUUUCUUCCCUUUUUGCAUUAUAUUAAAGCUGAAUUUAAGGUUAAAUGACUCUAUUUUCGAUAUAAUUUUAAUUAUUCCAAAUGAAUUAUACUUUUUAUAACUUAAUUUGGAUACAAUUUAAGCAUAAGCUGAAUUUAAGUUAAUGGGUGUUUAAACAACAUUGCAACAUUACAUCAUUACACAUAACAAUUUGAUAGCAUUAGGUCAAUUCUGACCCGGUCCUGACGACUGUCCAACAUGAUAGUUUCGCUGAAGACAUUUAUUCCGACUAUGACCACUUAAUCUGCAUAAUGCACAAUGCUUACCGUCUGAUUUCUCCCUAAUGUCCAUUUCAUUACGGGUUCUGGUUGAUUGCAGACGAACUCUUGGAUUCCUGCAUAGCCCUCUGUCUGGGAGAAGCUCGAAAGUCAUCGGAGGCACCUCCCACGUAGACAGGUUAGGCAGGACGGGGAACUCAUUUUCCCAGACACGCAAUGUGCACUCGAGCGUGUACAUAUCAUCGACAUAUUGUUCAACAUUAAGGUUCACUUUAGCACACGCUGCCACAGCAUGCACACAUGGAUAAUGAAGUGUUUCGAACCUCCUGUACUCGCACCGUCUGUUCUAGAGAUAAACUCCAUAGGACUUAGGUGGUAUACCAGGUCGACGACCGAUGGUCUCACUAACUCGAAACGUUUCCAGACGUCGUGAAUAUAUUUCUACAUUCAUUGACCUCGCCAUCUGACGGUUUGCAACCAUUGCAUCCCUGACAUUUUCGACAAACACGUGUCCCGCCUCCAUCUGGUCGACUUGUUGCUGACCUAUUCUUGGCAUCAAGGUAGCCAACCUGUAGAAUGUAGCAGAGAAGACAGAUGCAAUCGGAAGAUGACGUGUUUUCAACAACACAGCGUUGACCCCCUCCACUAAGUUUGUGGUUAUUUGACCAUAACAAAAGCCCUCGUCAAAUCUUUGAGCCCAUUGCCACGGCUCCAUUGUACCCAACCAUUGUCGGAAAGAUGUGUUUGUUUGACCCUCCAUGUCACUCUCAAGUCGAAUCAUUCUUUGGCAGAAAAUAUGUGGCUCUAACUCGUACGCUGUAUACGUAUUAAGAAAAGAUUCCAGUAACUCGAUAACAUAAAACACUACAAUUUAUAUUAAGAAGAUAAGGUUAUCAUUUACCCAUUGCCACGAUUUGUCUCUUUCAGUCUGCAUUCUUAUAAUCUUUAUGGAAGUUAGACGCAAUGUGAUGGAUGCAGUAAACGGAUCUCCAUGGCACACCGGAAUGCCUAAUUGCUAAAAUUAAACAUUUCCCUCUAUCGGAGAUGAUGCAAAUAUUAUUGUUGCUAAUAACAUACCUUCGUAGGUUAGUGAGGAAGAAUUCCCAAGAUUCCAAGUUCUCCUUAUCUACGAUGGCAAAUGCUAUCAGAAGCACGUUUCUAUUGCUGUCUUGAGCAACCACAAGAAGUAGGAUCUGUGUAAUUUUCCAUAUAGCCAGGUCCCAUCCACCUACACAAAUGGCUUGCAGUAGGGAAAUGCCCGCACACAUGGAUCAAACGUCCAGAACAUCCAAUGGAAAAUCCUUUUUCCCCGCUGUAACUGGUCGUCCGGGCCAUAAUAAGGUCUUGUCUGUAACUCAAUCACAGUCCCUGGUACGUACUCACGCAUAGUAGCUAUCCAUCCUUCUAGCUCGUUAUACGAAGAAUCAUAAUCCCUAAAUAAUUACUCCAUUGCCAUCUGUUUAGCUAUCUAUGCUUUUCUAUAUGAUACUCGAUACUAGAAUCGUGCUUACAUUUCGGCAAUCAGUACCAAAACUUUAAUGGUCGGCAUGUCCUUCACCAUUGGCAUGAUGCACGUACAGAUAGUUUUCGAAUCAAAUUUUCCAUAAUCUUCUGUCAUACGUGUUGAUGUGCAUGUAUGAGGACCAACAAAUUUUCAUAUCUCUCACAUCUACGAACUUUUAAUGAAUGCAGCUCGUACCCGCCAAUUGCAGCCUUCCGCUGCCUUCCAACAUUCCCCAAUACAUAUUGUUAGAGUAGACAUUGUAACUUUAUAAUCCACUGAUAUGCCGUUUAAUAGUAAGUACGCACUCUUCUUUACUUUCGAAUCUCUGGCCUAUGAAUAACUCCUCAUGAUCAGAAUUUACAGCCAGCCGGUGAGGAUGAACUAUUUCAAGGUACUCCAAAAACUCAGCUACAUACGCUGCGUUGGGGUCUAUGAGCAACAUGUGUGGCCUAGGAUUAUUGUGUAUCAAAAUACGUCGUAUCUAGUUCCCGACCGAAGAAACAUUAAUGUUUCCAUCGUUAUUCACAUCUUCAUCGUCAAUAUCAUCAGGUACAUAGUCCACAUCGGGAUCACCGUCACUAUCGACCUCUUCAUCACAAUGAUCGCUACCACCUUCUUCUUCACCACCAACCACAUCAAUAUCGGGUGUAAUAUUCAGAUCAAUACCGAUCCCACCUAUAGUCGAUUCACUAUCAACGUACGAUAUUAGAGCAACUGUCCACGGUUCUUGAGCUCCGUGUUCUUCACCAUAUGCAUUGACAUCUUCAUUUUGCUCCAUACCGACUAACUCAGCAAAUAAGUGAAUCGGUGCAUUCUUGUCACUCCCAUUCCCACGGUAAAGAGUGACCAUUGUCUCCACGUCUUCGUCGUCUACAACUUCCAUUUUGGUGAAUUUGAUCGGAUUUGUCGAAACUGUAAACUUGUAGAAAAAUUUUGAUAUCCUUCUUCCACAACGUCUAACAAUUUUUGCAUUAAUCCUUCCCUUCAUAUCAUCUAACGACACAUUUCUAUUAAAUCUCAUUGUUAUUUGUUACCGACAUUCAAAUAUACAUCCAACAGUUGUUGUCAAGAUGAUUCCAUCGAAAUAAACGCAUACAAAAAAACUUAUCAUCCAUCUUCAAUAUUCAAUCUCUCAAAAAAUAAACAAAAUCUCAAAAAACAAUCUCGAACGGUAAAUAAAUUAGGGUUUUUACUAAUCCUAAUAACUAACCAUAUUAAUAGUAAUAUUAGUUUUUUUACUAACAACAAUCCUAAGUAACAAUAAUUAUUAAUAUCUAAACCCUAAAAACUAACAAUAAUAAUACUAACUAAAACCAUCAAUUUGAGUUUUUAUUAAUCUUAACAACUUUCUAUAAUAACUAAACUAACAACAAAAAAUAAUAAAAAUUAUACAAAAAAACAUAAUAACAAGAUAAUACAUUAUUUUUUUUAAAAAUACCUUAUUUUUUCUUCUCUUUCUCUCUUUUUCUGACACCACCACCACCUCCUCCUCCUCUUCCUCCUCUUCCUCCUCCUCCUCCUUCUUCUUCUUCUCCUUCAGCUGGAUAAAUGCUGGACUUAUAAUACAAGUGGUGCCGCCUCUGCCAUAGCCACCUUUGGUGCCGCCUGUGACAUCCCAUUUUUUACUGUUUUAUUUUUUUCUUUUUGUAUUAUUUUGGUAAAUAAAAAAAUUAAUAUUAUUUUGGUAUUUUUUUAAAAUUUUUUUGUAAUAUUUUUGUAAAAGACCCGUCUUUAACUUUUACAGCAAAAUUAUUUCAUGGAGAAUUAAGAGUAAAAUUAUUAACAUCUUCCAUAAAGGCAAAGACAAGAAAAAAAAAACAUUAAAAGAGUGGGAAAAACAAGCACUUCUCUAGUGGCUUAUUUUAACUAACUUGAACAAAUACAAAGAAAAACUUCAUUCUUAAGAAUAACUAUAGCCCACGACAGUGGUGAAGGGUAACAGGGUUUUAGAGUUUCUUUCAGAGAGCAUAGUAGUGACACCAGUAUUCCUCCAGGCGUUUGGGAAAAUCCUUUUUCUAACAUCUUAUAUUUUUACCUACCUUUAUUGGUUGCUGCCAUUACAUUUUCAUAAGUUUCGUAAGAAGGUAAAGAAGACAAGAGUGAAAAUUAUUAUAGAUUUGUUCCAACUCAAACUUUGAGAAGAAAAUUUUAGCUGCUUUGCUUCCAUCAGGAAAGUGCAAAAUAUGCUAUGUUGGAUUCAACAAUAGAUUGGAGAGAUUCGUGUGGUCAUUUACCAAACCAUGGUCGUAAAAAUAUGCUAUAUUGGAUUCAACAAUAAAUAUGCUAAAUUUUAGUCCCUCUAGAAAUAUUUAUAAAUUAAUAUAAAGAUAAAAUUGUAUUUUGAAAUUCUAAAACUUUUAUAAUUCAUGUUUGGUUAAAAAUAUAGGUCUGAAAUAUGUGUUUAGGUAAAAAAAUGAGGCUCGUUUAGAAAACGGGCCAGGUCUCGGGUAAAACUUUUUUGGCCCAAGUUCGGCCCGAAUUAUAUAUUAAAUAUAUAUUUUUAUUUUUAAUCAAAUAUAUUUUUUAUUUUUAAUUUAGAUUAUAUUUUGCAAGUUUUUGAUGCUAUUUUGGUGUUGUAUAGCAUGGUUCAAGCGUUUUUUUGGUUUGGUAGUAUAAUAUGGUUGUUGGAAAUUUGAGUGGAUUAAUUUAUUUCAUAUUUUUCAAUCCCACACGCCCGUGUGUGAUAGUUCCAGUCUCCACUUGCUUAUGUCAAUUACCCACAUGACCGUGUGGGUUUUGAGGUUUUAAAUUUUUGUCUAUUUAAAUUGGUAUUCUAAUUUUUUUAAGUUACAAUUUAGUCACUAAUAAUAAAACUUGAAUUAAACAUAGUAAACGAACUGAAAUUUAUCCUGAAAAUUUUAGACUUGCAUAAUUUGACUAAAAGAAUGUUAGUAAGCACUUAGAUCUAAAAUCGGGUUAGUUUUACCAUAGGUGGUAAAAUGACGUAAAUGCCUUUAGGUUAAAUUACCUAGGAAAAGUUUAAAAUUUGCUCAUAAUUUACUUCGCCAUUAAUAAAUAACUAAUAAUUAGAUAAGAUUGAGGUGUUAUAAGGUUAGGGUGUGUCUUGGGUGGUCGUUAGCUAGAAAGUCACUUAGGUGGCUAAUGCAAUGUUUCGAAUUCGGCUGAUCUGUCCCGGUCGGCUUUGGGGUGUCACAAUCUAUCAUAGGGUUCAUCUCUCUUAGGUAUUUAGAAAAUUAGUUCAUGAUUAAAAAUAAAAACAUCCAAAGGGCAGUAUAACUAAAAGAAAUAAAGAAAUUCAUGAUAAUCUCCUAAGAAAUCAAUUAGGAAUCUUCCAUCUUAAUGAAAAUCUGCUUCAGAGUCAGCUUUAGUGGUGUCUUUGGAGUUGUUUUCUUGAAUAUUCUAGGAAGGUUCUCUCCUAUCUUCUUAUUUUUUUCAUAUAUACAUCUUAGAAUGCCCGAAAAACCUAGAAUUCUACUUGUCCAAAAUUUGAAUGUGAAACAGCAAAUUCAAUGAUAUAAGAAAUGCAUAAAUGCUGUACAAGCCCAUUUGCCCGGGCCCAACAAACAAAACAAAAACACCCAAACCCAACUACCAAUACACAACAAACCAGGCCUACUACCCAACUAACCACAAACCCAAUGCCCCAGGCCCAAAACCAUUUUUGUCAAAAUAGGGUUUUAGCUUUUCUGAAACCCUAGUACUGCCGCCGCACAUCUUUUCUGCUGCAACCACCAUUCUGCCGUCGCCACCGUUCUGACACCACGUCGUCGCCCCACUUGCACCACCACCUGCAAAGAAAAAGACAAACAAGAAACAGUAGCAAAAUAGGCUAUAAAAGCCAUAAAAAUGUAACUAUUCAGGGGGUUUUUUUGGGGUUUUCUUUUUUUUCUCUUCCUUUUCUCUUCUUCUGUAACAUUUUGAUAAAAAAAGCAAAAAAAUCAAAGGUGACUCUUUUGUAUUUUCGCAUUUCUCAUCUGUUUACAUCUGCUCAUUUUAUUUUUAUACGUAUAUACAUAUAUAUAUAAUAGUUUAUAUUUACGAAAAAAAAGCAAAUUUUUACCUUUUUGAAUUUUCCAGCCACCGCGUGCGGUGGCCGGCACGACGGCGUCGAUGGCGGUUCCUCUCGCCGAAUUUUGGGCUGUGGACUGGAGGGAGAGAAGAUUUUUUUUAAGAGAAUUUGUUUUUUUUUUCUUUGAAAGAGCAAAAAAUGAAGUUAAAAAAAACUUUGAUUUUAUAAGCACUUAAAACGGCGCCAUUUUGCGCCAUAGCCCCAGGCGUUAAAACGACGCCGUUUCACCCCCCAGAUCCGCGCGUCGACCCGAUCCGACCCGAAGGGUCCGCGUGUUUUCGCUGGAGGGGAUAUUUGCGUGCGAGGCCCCUCUUCCUUAGCGCCCUGGUGCAAUUUAGUCAUGUUUUGUUUUUUUUAAAUUCGGUCGCAUAAUUUCUCAUAUGUUUCAUUUCAGCCCGUGUCAAAACGCUGCGUGUAGGGCUUGGGAUAUUUUCCAAAUCGAUCCUCUGGACUUCGCGUGCGUUAUAAAUCAGUCCCCUUUGUAUUUUCCGUGUUUAAAUUCACCCAGUAUUUUUGUUUUUACUUCGAUUUAGUCCCUUUUUUAGCACUUUUAUUAUUAUUAUUAUUUCUUCAUUAUUUUAAUGUUAUUAUCUUUUAUUAUUAUGAUUAUUAAUAUUAUGAUUAUUAAUUAUUAUCAUUAUUAGUUUUAUUUGCCCUUUUACUUAUUCGUUAGUUUUCUUUUAUUUUUUUAUUAUUUAUUCUAUAUAUAUAUAUAUAUAUAUAUCUGUAUAUAUGCAUUAUGCUUGUACAUAUAUUUUUAUAAUUUAUUUAUAUAUACAUACAAAUACGUACGUACAUGUAUCUUUUAUAUUUAUAAUUUCCAAAAUAUGUAUAUAUACACAUAUAUUUUAAAAUGCAUACCUGCUCGUACAUACACACUUUUUAUAAUGUACAUACUUAUAUUUUAUAUAUUUUUGUAUUUUAUAACCUAUUUAUAUAUAUAUAUAUAUGUAAAUACUUAUAUUUUUAUAUUUUAUAAUUCAUAUGUGUAUAUCUUUUAUUUAUUUUCUUCAUUUAUUUAUUUAUUUACAUGUCCGUUAUUAUUAUUUGUUAUGCUUUAUAUUUGUUUAUUAUUGUAAAUACGUGAUUGAUUUUAUUUAUAUAUAUGUGACUUCUUAUUUACUUAUAUUUUGUUUUCCUCGUGAUUAUUUUGCUUACAUCAUCAUCAUUUCAGUACACCCAUUUUUUAGAUUUCAAAAAAGAAAUUUUAAAAAUAUAAGUAAUAUUCGGUAUUUUGGAUCUUCGAGAGAAUCGAGCCCUAAUGUAUUGGGUUUCGAUUUUCUUCGUUGAAUUUAAAUAAUCGAGAUUACUCUUUUAAAAAUGAUAAAAAGCUCAUUAUCGAGAAUUUAAUACGUUGUGUCCUAACGCAUUGGAUGUGACACGUUGUUUUCUCGAGACGAGGAUUUUUCGAAAUAAAUGCAAUAUUCAAUGUUUAAUAUUUUGAGAAAUUGUGCCACUAACUCUAAAAAGGAGAUGAAGGAGACCAUUGUCGUAACCAUUUUUUUGUAAAACGGUGUCGACGUGGAUUUUGAAAACAAAAACGAAUACGAGAGUCACCACCAAUCUUUUUUUUUUUUGAUGAGGUGUGAUCGGGUUACCUCGAAAAAUAGUUAUUUUUAAUAAACAGUUUGGAUAUAUUAAAACAAUGCUUUUGAUUUGCGAAAUUCAGAAAAACAGGUUCGGGAGUCUGUUACGUACGAAGAAGGAUUAGCACCCUCGUAACACUCAAAAUUGGUACCUAGUUGAUUAAUUAGUGUCUUAGUGUUGAAAAUUGAAAACCUUGAAGAGUUUGAAAAUACGAUCAUUUGUUAAAAUAUCGCUUAAUUAAAAAAAUUUAGAAAUGAGCGUAUUUCACGUUAAUCGAGAAAAAGAAUUAUAUCCCGUAAGUUAGGAUACAAUAUCUUAAAUCCCUAAAAUGAGAAUAAACACCAAAAGUUUUAUUACUUUUAAAGAUAUUUGAUUAUCUCGAUUUUAGAAAUAUAAUCAUAUUUCGUAAGUUAGAACAAGAUCUUUUCUUAAUUCCCGAGAUUAUUAAAAAUUUUGCUUUAAAACGUUCGUUUAUUUGAAUUUAUCAAGAAAAUCGAAACCCCAUCAGUUAGGGUACGAUAUUUGGAGCCUUAGAGAAUAAGCUUGCCUUUAAUUCAUUGGAAUUUCGUAUUGUGAAAUUUAAAAGGACAUUUUACCAUUUAUGUUUAACGAGAAAAUUAAAACCCCGUAAGUUAGGGUACGAUUUCCCGAAUCACCAAAAUGUGAAAUGUUACCUUAUAACAAGAUUUCUUUCAUUUUUUUUGAAAGUUUAAAAGGGUACUUUGCUAUUUAGGUUUAACGAGAAAAUUGAAAUCCUGUAAGUUAGGAUACGGUUUUCUCGAAUUGCCAAAACGUAAAAUAUGGCCUUAUGCUGAAAUUUUCAUUUUUUGCUUGUUUGGAUAAAAAUUAAUAUAACGUUUAAAACGAUGUAGGGUACAUUGAUGGAUGGAAACAAUGUGAACAUACGAAUAAACGAUUCAUAACACGCAUGAUGACAAAAAUCGCACAAUGUACAUUACUUUAAUGCUAACUAAUAAUCAAAAGCAAAUGAAAUAAAAUAACAUAACAACAAUUUAAAGUAAAUAAUAAAGAUUUAAAAUGAAUAAUAUGAAAUGCUCAAAAUUAACAAUAUAAAAUUUAACAUAAAUAAAACAUAUGAUAGUUUGAAAUAAACAUGUUUAAGCAAUUCAAAAUAAGCAUUACAUAAAAUAGUUUAAAAGAAAUGAUAUGUAAAAAAAAAUCUAAAAUAAAUAACAUGUGAAACCAACUUAGAAUAGGUAAUCAAACAAUUUAAUAUAAAUAAUAAAAAUAAAAUAAAGUGCAGGCUGUUAAUGAAGAAUAAUAGGUGUAAAAAUUGAAAUGAAAUAAUAAAUAACAAAUUAAGAGAUUAAAAUGAAACAGGUUAAGGACCAAAUUGGAAUUAAAAUAAAAUCAGUGGGAAAAUUUGAAAUAAAAAAGAGCAAUUUGGGGUUGAUCGAAACACGUGCAAAGACAUAGGGGGCCAAAUGGGAAAUUAAUCCUCAACCCUUAAAGCGCGUCGUUUCGCAUGGGACCAAAUUGAAACAGGUACAAAAUUUACGUGGUCAAAAUAUAAAAAUAGUAGCGAUCAGAUUGCACUAUACUGCAAAAGUGGAGGGGCUGAACAUGCAAUUAGCCUCUCCCAACAAAACACACGGAUCUUCAGCGCUUAUUGGGUCGGGUCGUGGGUCUUAUACAAAUCGACGUCGUUUUGGCUAUUGUUAUUUAAACCCAAAACAGUGCCGUGUUGAAUCCCAUAUAAAUAACAACAAUAAAAAAAGAAAACCAUAUCAGCUUCAUUCUUCAACAAAAAAUCUGAGGGGUCUCUCAGAUUCUCUCAACCCGCUCUUUGGCCGGCCAUAAUCGUCGCCACAGUGCCGCCGUGGGCGGUGGCAUGUGACUCAAAGGUUAUUUUUUACCCCGUUUUAAAAAGGGCCAUUUGAAGAUCGAGCCUUCUUGGCCCAAAGGUUGAAGGAAAAGAGACCCUUGUGCCCUCCAUUGGUCUGAUUUUGGCAGCCACAAAGGGGCUCCGGCGAUGAGACUUGCGGGGCGUUUCCAGGUAAGUCCCUCAUUUCUCUUUUUCUUUUAUCUUCUUUUAUUAAUAGUUUUUUUAACAAAACGAAUUUGUAAAAAAAUUAUAAAUAAAAUAAAUAAAUGAAUCGAAAAAAAACGAAGAAAACAACAACCUUUUUUGUUCUCUUUUCGAUUUCUAACGUCCGUGAAAAAAUUUACAACGAGAAUAUUUCGGCUUUUAUAGCCGAGUUACAAUCUUUUAAUUUCUAUUUUUGUUUUUUUAUAGUUGUUUCUUCUGCUGUUUGCAUUGAUUUCUCUCUGUAGGUGUUAGGUGCACGUGGGGCGUAGAUGUGGCUGGUGUGCGGCGGCCAGGAGCAGGCCUAGGGGUGGCGGCUAAGAGUAGACCUAGGUGCGGUGCACCUAGUGUUUCUUUUGGCUAAAAAGUUUUUAGUUUUGGGCUAGGGUUUAGUUUGGGCUGAGGGUUAAUUUUGUAUUUGGGCCUGGCAUAAUUGGGUUUAAUUUUGUUUAUUAUUUUUUUGGGUCUUUUAUUUGUAGCGGCCGGGCAAAAAUGGGCUAUUACAGCAGCCCCUCUUUGCUCGUUGUCGUGUAACGAGAACAGAGCAAAGACACCAAAAGGGACCAAUUUUGCCCGGUGUCACUGAAUCUUGACUUCUUGGUGCUCAUCUUCUUCAAGUAGCCUCAUUCCAGUCCACUGUGUCUUGUUUCUUCGAUUCACUCUACUGAAACUUCGGAGAGAUACGACCUGUAGCUUCAAUCUACUUUUAUUUGUAGCUUCGAUUCAUUUUUUUGGGUCUUUUAUUUGUAGCGGGCCGGGCAAAAAUGGGCAAUUACAACCAUAAAAGUAAAUAUAUAUUUAUUAUAAUUUGAUUACAUCAAUUGGUUGAAUUAAGUAUUUCACUAUUCAAUAAUCAAUUCGCUUAAACUAUUAUAAUUAAUUUUAAAAUUGAUUUUACCAGGGGCAUAUAGCUAAGGACAUGGGCUUGACCGAGCCAACUCAACCUAUAUCAUCUGUUUCUAGUGAGUUUUGCUCGACCCUAAGAAAUCAAUUAGGAAUCUUCAAUUUUAAUGAAAAUUUACUUCAGAGUCGGCUUCAAUGGUGUCUUUGGAGUUGUUUUCUUGAAUAUUCUAAGAAGGCUCUCUCCUAUCUUCUUAUUUUUGUCAUAUAUACGUCUUAGAAUGCCCGAAAAACCUAAAAUUCAUAUUUUUUUCGUAGUUCAGAGUGCAAACCUACGAAAUUGACAUGGCUUGCCACAACUGUGUGGGUCACACGGUCGUGUGGAAUAGGUCCGCCCGUGUGGGUCCUAUAGUUUGCCACUAUUUUUCAAUUUUCACUCAUUUUUUGCUCCCUUUCCUCCCAAAUGUUCUGUUAAGCAUAAUGAUGGCAAUUUGUAACCCAAAAAUCUCUCUAAAAUUUAAAAUUUGAAUUAAAUGUGAUCCAAAAAUUUUUAAGUUAUUAUCCCCAAAUCACCCGCAAAUAAUGAUGGCAAUUAUGGAAAAGGCCCUCAAUAAAUGAAGUAUAAUGCUAAAGACCCGUUUAUCUUAAAAUUAAAAGUUUUUUUCAUCCCAAAAGAUGUGGUGCUAUUGAAUGCAAUAGAUUGUGAUUGAAAAUUCAAGUGAAGUUGAUGGAAAAUAGGUUAGAAAAUUCUACUUGUCCAAAAAUUGAAUGUGAAACAACAAAUUCAAUGAUAUAAGAAAUGCAUAAAUACAUUUGGAUUAAACGAGAUGAAGAAAUGUUGAAAUUGGUUUGCUCAAAUAGAGACCCACAAUUGUGGAAAACUGAGUCAAUACUCAAAUAGUGUAAUGCCCCAAAAAUCCAAGUAUUUAUUUUUGCAUGUUUUUAACACAAUUACUUGUUUGCUUCAGUGGUUAAGUGAUUUGGGUGUGUUUGGGAGUGAUUGAGAAGUCUUGGGUUCAAACCUGGGCUUGUGCAAAAAAUUUUGUUUUUAAGGAAGAAAACUCUUGCCUAUAGUUAGUAGACUUUUAAAUUAUUGUGGGUAAAGCAUGCCAUAAAAAAGCCUGCUGGUCUAGGGGGUAAGUGGCGUGUUACCUAUGCCAGUGGUCUAAGGUCUGAAUCUUGCUGGAGGCAAGGGAGUGUUUAUUUUGUUGCUAUGCUGUGAGGAUGUUCGAGUUUGACUAAAACACUGAAGUGGUUGAGAAGAAUUCAAAUUGAGUGGUUGAGGCGAGGUGUGAUCAAGUGGAGAGAUUUGACGAGAGAUUUUAGGAGAAAAUCAAGGGAAGUGAGGGGAGAGGGAGUUUUGUGUCGAAAUGGGUCUCUGAGGCACUCAAGAAUUCGACUAGAGGGGUGCUUCUCAUUUCGAUUCUAUUUUUUUCCCUCUGUCGAAACCUCUUCUCCCCUUUUUGCAUUUUUUUCCUCUACCAAAACCUCUUCUCCCCUAAACCGUUUCUCUUCUUCCUCUCUCUCAGGUUUUGUGUUGUCGAUUCCUAAUUCUGAUCACUGUCGAAACCAUUCCUCUCCUUCCCUCUUCUUUAUCUCUUUUCCCAAAUAUUUCUUGCGAUUGUUGUUGUUUCUUCCUUGCUGAUUAUCUUUUCUUUUUACCCUCAUUGUGCCAAUUCUGUUCUUACUGCUUCCUGUCGAUCAAUGUUCCUGUGUUCCCUCUCACUGGACUUCCCAAGAAUAUUACUCUUCUGAAAAAGCCGACUGCUUUUCCCAUCUCUACUGUUUUGAUUAUCAUUCUUUAUUUGCCAAUAAGUCUUACACUUCGUAGUGGGUACUCUUCUCACGUUACUGGUAAGUGAAGAUAGUAAUUUGUUAUUUUUUUGCUGAUCGAUUGAGUGCUUACCCAUUUUUAGUUUGUGCCUAGGAACUUUUCGAAGAGUUGAAGGUUUGUAAUCAACAGUUGGGUAGGCAAAACUCCCCUCUUUACUCGGUCGAAGGUAAUGUGGUGUGAGUUCAACGAUUGGGAUCUUGAAUGUAUUCGAUUAAGUAUAUGUUCAAAUGAUUAAUUGGGAAUUGUUGGUCAAUUGUAGGUUUCAAAGGUGGGGGCGGUUUUCUCAACAAAUAGAAAUCAGGCGUGUAAACACUGCCCAAAUCGUAAACUGGCAAAAGCCAGAAAAUAUGACAAAUGACGAUACACGAGCAUGUGCUUGCUCGUGUGGUAAUUCGGACGCAUAAAACGUGGGCGCUAGACUGUUGAGGCCACCAUGAGCGAUUCGUUUCCAUUUUUUUUCAUUUUCAAAAAAUUUUGGUUUUACAUUUUAGGCAUAAUGACAAAUUUAGCUCUAACAUUUUUUUUCAUUUUACUUCAAUUUUUUUUUAUUGCUAUAGCCCUCAACAGUAACGAAGUAAAAAAAUAAUUUAGCCUUUAUGAAAAAAGUGCACUAAUUGAGUACUCAAUUAUUCCAAAAAAACAAAUAUUGACCUCUUCAUUUAACAAAAAACUGUGAGUUGAACGAUUUAACCGUUGAUUUGACUAAUGUUACGGACAAAAAUACUAGAAGUUAUCACAUUAAAGUACGAUAAUGUGGAUAGUACGAUAAUGUGGCAUGGCACAUAAAAAAUAAAAAAAAAUAUUUUUAACAAAAAAAUUAAAAAAACAUUUUUAAAUUUACUUGCAACAACCUUGAGUAACAUCAUCCACAAAAGCUUGAAGGUUCAUAUCCAUAGAACCACCUUUCAUGGUGGCUUCCCUCACUAACUCUUUCCAUUUCUCAACAUUUUUCUUCACUUCCAUCCCUUUUCUCUUCAUCCCCCAUCACCAAAUCCAAGCACCUAACAAUCUCACCACGUGAAUUUAUUGAAAGAAUAUUUUAUAAAUUAACUUAUUAUUAAUGUAAGCACUAAAUUUUUUCUGGUUCGGGUUUCGUGUUUAAAUUUUUUUCCAAAUUACGGGUUUGGGCUUGCUCCAUUGGGCCCAAUCAUUGGGCUCAUUGGGAUUGGGUAAUUAGGCUUGUUUGGACUUUAGCUUAUUAGUGUUUUAUUUUUGUUUUCAUAUUUUAAAUAAUAAUAAUUUGAAAAUUACAAAAAAAUAUAAAUUACAUUUUAACCCCUAACUUUUCUAAAAUUACAUAUUGACCACUAACUUUUUUAAAAUUACAUUUUAACCCUAAACUUUUCCUAAAAUUACAAUUUGACCUUAAAAGUUUUACACCCUUUGCAAUCUAGUCCUUCUGACACAAAAUCCCUGUCGUCAAGCGUGAUUUGCGCACCUGCCCAUGGUCCCCCUCCUCCAACUACUACCUGCAAAAAGAAAAAAAAUCAGCAAUAAAAGGGACUUUGAUCCCCAAAAAUCAACAUCAAAUAAAGAAAAAUUAAAAAUGAAGAAAGAAAAAAACAAAGAAAAAAAUUAAAAAAAAAGCAGCAGCAAAAACACGGCCGUGCCCCACGACCACUGCCACUGUAGCACCACUUUUGAAACUAGCAAGCCGAGUAUAAAAAAAUUGACACGAAAGAGAAGAAAAAGAGAGAAAGAAGAGAAGAAAAAGGGAAAUGAGAGAAGGAGAAAAGAAGAGGGAGAGGGAAACGUCAGCCAUCGUCGCACCGCCCGGUAGAGGGAGCAUCGGCGACGGCCAAAAGGGCUAGGGCCGAAGGAAAAAAAGAAAGAAAGAAGAAAAAAGAGAAAGAAAGAAAAAUAAUAAUAAAAUAAAAAUCGGGUCUGACCCUACUCAACAACACUGACCCAACCCAAACAGCAGGCAGCAGCAACCCACAGCAUCUAGCCAACAGCAGGCUCAGCGACCAGCAGGCCCACCAGCGCCUAGCAGCCCAGUAGCAGUAGCAAGCCACAGCCGGCCCACUGCAGCAGUAGUCCCACCAAAGCUCAGUAGGCUCGACAAAAAAAAGAAAAAUAUAUAAAAAAAUAGUUAGGUUUGACCCAACCCGACCUGUGCAAUUCGACCCGACCCAACAUACCCUAGCAGCAAGCAGGAUGCUAAUAGCAGUAGCAGGCCCACUUCCCAGCAGGCCUAAGCCAACAAGUCAGUAGGCCAGCGCCUAGCCCAGCAGCACAACAGGCCUGCAGCAGGCCAGUGCCCAGCCCAGUAGGUCGACCCAACGGCCCAAUUUGCAAGAAAAAGGAAAAAAAAGUGAAAGAAAAAUAAGAGAAAAGGAAAAAAAGAGCCCGAGUCGUGUAGCCCAUUCGAUCAAGCCCAUAAUUUUAGGUUUUUGGUAAACUCUAGAUUUUUUUUAUUUUAUUUAUUUAGUCCCUGUAUUUAAAUAUUAUCCCAUUUUUAAUUAAAUUAAUAUUUUUAAAUAGAUUUUAGAAAUAUUUUAUUUUACAUUUUAUUAAUUUAAAUAAUUUCAAUAUAUUAGGCAACAAACCGAUUUAGCAUCAAAUCAUUAAUUUCACUGCUAUGUUAGGUGGACAUCAGUGAUUUUUGUUAAAUACGGAACGCCCUUCUAAAAAUUGAUUUAUCAAAAUUUACUUGUAAAUCAUCAAAAUUUAAUUUUAAAAUAUAUAAAAAAACAAUAAUAUUUAAUUUAUCAAAAUUCUCGUUUUUCAAUCGGAUCAUGAUUAAAUAUUAAAUUGAGCUCGUAUUUUUGAAAAUUAAGACAAUGCACGUUUAACAAGAUACUAAUAUUUGGGUGUCGCGAGGGUGCUAAUACCUUCCUCGUGCGUAACUGACUCCCGAACCCUAAUUUUCUCUAGUUUUUGACGUGGACCUAAAAUUGACCCUUUUUUUUAUAGAAAAUUUUAAAAAUAAUUUUUUCUUCUAAAAAGAGAAUUUAGUAGGUGUCCGAUCACACCUAGAAAAAGGACUGGUGGCGAUUUAUCUUUUUAAAAAAAAUAAAAUUGAGACUCUGUUUUUAAAUUUUCAAUAAUCGCCUCAACUAGCGCCCGUGCAAAUUUUAGGUCACUACAGCUUGCGACUUCACUGGGGACGUGUUUUUGAGAGUUGAGUCUGAUGUUAAAUGCAUGUUGUCAAAAUUUUUAAAAUUCCUUGUUCAAAUUAACAUUUAAUCGUGAUCUUUGAAUUUUGUUUUUGAAAAGUCAUGCAUCUACAUCAUGUUGUAAAUAUUUUUCUUACUCGUUUUAUCUUUUUGCUUUUCAGCUCUAAAUUUUACUGUUUUAGUUUUUUUAGUUAAAAAACAACAAAAAGGGUUGUGAGUUUCUCUCCACACACCGUGCACUUUCAUUGUUGCAUAACAUGAGCUCUCUACCCAAGCUCCGUCCGUUUAAGUGGAAGUAAACGCUCGCCUUCGUAAGUUAACUCAUCCCUCUGUACAGGCUAAUGAAAUACUUCCGAAUUACAUAUGACUUAUGCUUUCAUGAGUUAAGUCAUCCCUCUGCAUAGAUAUAAGUAAAUGUAAUCUCUCGAAUUGAGCUCACGAGCCUGUGAUACGUGAUGACCGAGGCUCCGUACUAGACUUAGUAGGUGACAGUAUGUACAAUUUAAGUACCUUUCUAGAAUCAAAACCACAUAUAGUGAACUCUAUGAGCAACCUAAUUAGAGCUAUGCCGAACCUUUGUCCAUUGAAUAAUCACCAAAUAAGUACAUGGGAGAAACGCCUCUUACCUUUUAUUACAUUUAUACUUGUUUUUGCAAGAGAAUUAGGUCUGUUUAAUAAAGUUGAAUCAGAUAGAUUACCUAGUAAAUAUGUGGGGUAGGUUUACUUCGUAAAACAUGAUUGGGUAAAAAUGUGAGUUAGUUUCUCCAAAAUACAUGAUUAAAUAGUUUAAUAUUUAUUAGAUUUAUCAUAGUUUCUCCUCUGUUUAUAUUUGUUGUGAUUACUAACCAAGGUUAUUUGUCUUCAUUUUAUUUCUCAUCAUUCAUCAUAGGCAUCCUAUUAGGAAGGUUUUGAUUAGAGGUUGGUUGCCAAAAAAGGGUUUCUAAUGGAGGAGUCAAUUAUGCAAGUAACUGGGAAAAAAAUAGUGAUUCGAGACCGGUCUUUGAGGACCCAAAAAGCAAAAGGGAAUAGUUUAAAUGAAGGAUAUAUCUCCAAUCUUCUCAGGCAUGUGACUUCGAAUGCUUGUCAGAAUAACCUCGAAGAUUUGACUAGAAUCUGGAAACAAUGGAAAUCAGACACUAGGGUCAUUUUCAUUGGAAAAUACAAGGAUAUAGUUCAUUUGAUAGCAAUCAAUGUGGACGAGCAAUUGAUUCAAGCCAUGAUUCGAUUCUGGGACCUAGCCUAUCAGUGUUUCACUUUCAAUCAGAAAGACAUGGCUCUAACCAUAGAGGAGUAUUCUGCUCUACUUCGCAUUGACAAUGUACAACUCAACAAGAUAUACGUGAAAGAGCUUAAACCAAUGACCUUCAAGAAAAAGCUAAUGAAGUUGAUAGGGAUAACUGAUACAUGAGCUGAAAUACAGAUAAAGAAGAAGAAUGAAGUCAGUUGUGUUUCGUGGUUUUCUCUUUGAAAGACAUGGAGAUUCAAUCAUCUUUCUCUCUUUAACCUCUUUCCCUCAUUACUGAAGCGAGUGUUCGGGCAGGUGGAUCAACCUCGUCCCAACUAUCUUGGCCUAGACUUUUAGAUCUUUGAGUAGUUGUAGGAGGAAAGGGGAAGGGCAUUUUAUCGAACUCACUCAGUUACUUAAUGCUUGGAUUUUUAACCACUUUUGGAAAGCGGAGCGCACACAUUUCCAUAUGUUUUCAAAGACAUUUGUUCUGUUGGAAGCAUACCUUGAAAAGGAUUGGCCAAAGGAUUCACUGAAUAGCACUGGGUAUUGAUUUUUCAGAACCUUUGGGCUGAGGAUAUAACUUAGAGAGCACCUUGGAUCCGUCCUUCUGUCUUGUUAUACAAGUGUGGAAACCAAGAUUGGGUGCCUUUACUAGGAUUAUAGGGUGGGGUUAGAUAUGCUCUGUUGAUGGUUCAAAGACAAUUUGCUUCGCGAUAAUUCAUACCAGCUACUGGAGAUUUGACACAAUCUGAGUUCUCCUUUGCGGGUGAGGGUUACAUGAAAAAGUUUCGAGAUACUGCAAAUUCUUAGAGGGAAAUCUACCUAAUAGAGUUAGCUCUCUAUACUGAUACUAUCGUUCUAGAUUAUGACACAUGGAGACAACGACGAGUGAAGAGUCAACUAACCCCGCCUAUUGAUUUUGCUUUUUAGAAUCCAUUCUUAGAAGAAACACCAUCCAAGAUGGAGAUAGUAAGACAUGAAUUUGAAUUUGAAAAACCCAAGCUAUUACGAGAUAUUAGUUCUCUUCAGGAGGAAAAUUACCAGCUGAAGAUUGAUGUUCAAAUUGAAAAAUCCAGAAUCGAGAAAGUCCAGAAAGAAGCUGAGAUCACGAGAAAUGACUUAAGGGAUCUUCAUUUGGAAAAUAAGAAAUUAAGAGGCACCAUAAGGAAUAGUUGAUUGGGCAAAUCAUCGGCAGAAUGGUAGGAAGAAAUAAGUAGCAUCAAAAGUGGGAUGGAGUUCUGGAGAAAGAAAGCGAAGAAAGAAGAGUAAAAAGUUACACGUGCUAUGAUAGAGUUAAUGAAGAAGAAUGUUGAAUUCGAAACCGUGUCUGCAGAAUUAAUAAUUAGUCAAUCUGAGAGCUAAAAGGAAAUAUAUGAGAUUUAAAAAAUAUGCUGCAAGCUCAUCAGCAACAUUUGCAUGACCUCUUGAGAGCUCUAGAGAAAAAGAACAGUCAGCACGAUAGAAACAUUUACGACUAUGAAAUAUCUCUCCAAGAAAAAUAUAUUUCAUAUCGGUAGUUUGGUUAAUGAAAUUCGCAAGGCGACUGUGCAAAUAGUGCAGUUAUUGGAUGAAGCAGAAGUUCUCAGUUGCCAAUUCCCUCUAAGUCUAAAAUCAAGCAUACCGGAGUUCCUAGAACAUGUGAGGAAACAAGGUGAAGUGGCCAAGAAAUUUGCGUAACUGUUAAAUCAGAUAUGACAGAACAUUUUGUAAUAGACUCUUUUGAUUAAUGAAAUGCCUAAGUAUGGGGCUAUCUUAAAAUUAACACCCAUUUUUGUAUAGUCACGCAUGACCAAUAUUCAUUAGUCAUUUAUCCAUACAUUCAUUGUAUGUACAUAUCACCCUAAUCAUUCACUAAGGCUAAAACUGUAUAAUCCACAAUUGCGAUACUACAAGUCUGGAAUCACAUCAUUCUUAUAGGACGCGUCUAAGAGCUAGAGCUAUGGAUGCUAAACUCAACGAAAGAAUUGAAAGGAUGAAAAGGGCCCAAAGAGAGUUGCAAGAGCAGUUGGCCAAGUCACAGCAAGAGGCGAGAGAUUUGAUGGUAAGAUCUCAAAAGGAAACGUUCGAGCAAAGGGAUCAUAUGGCCAAAAUGAUGGAGAUGAUGACAGCCUUGGUCAAAGGAAAGGGACCUAUGUAGAGCCUUGAUAUUAUGGAACCUCAGUCAAGAGCUAAUAAUGAUCAGGAUCCAUUUUAUCCCCCAAGAUUCACUCCACCUCACGCCCAUACAAUGCAAAAAGGUUAUCCUCAAGAGGAACCUACAGUCCUAAAGCAACGUCUUGCACCACUUGCUCAUCUAGGGCAAAGAUUAUUCGUAUCGAAUCCCAGGGCUAAUCUGGCAGAUCCAAUUGUUCCAGAUCUAGACGAUCCUGUAAAAAUAGCCAGGUUGAAAAUUGAUGAUCAUGACGCUCAAGAUAAGUAUAGGAUCAUAUAAGAAAGGCUAAAGAUAAUAGAAGAUACUGAAGUCUUCUCUGCGUUGAGUGCCAAAGAGCUCCAUUUGGUACCCGAUCUGGUUCUACCCCUGAAAUUCAAGGCACUAGAUUUUGAAAAUUAUGCUGGGGUGAGAUUUCCAAAGGCACGUCUUAUCAUGUUUUGCUGGAAGAUGACUGGCUAUGUAAAUGAGGAUAAAUUGUUGAUACAUUGUUUCCAAGACAACUUGGUCGGAUCGGCUCUUCGAUGGUAUAAUCAGCUCAGUAGAGAAAGGAUCCGAUCAUGGAUAGACUUAGCAUCAACAUUUUUUGAGCAAUACAAGAGUGGGAGGAUGGAAGACCCCGAGAGUUCAAAAAUGGCAACACCCGUAAGAAACCCAUAUGGUUGGGACCGAAAGCCACUAUACCUCUAAUUCUUACCCAGCCCAAUGAUGAUCUCACUAUCGCUCACCUUCAAACUUCUACUUUCCUCCCCAAGGUCCUUACUGUCAAGCACCUCCUCCUUACCCCGUCUACGCCAUGAAUAACCAAAGACCAUUCACCAUGUUCCUACUAAACACUAUGCCUAUACAAAGCCAACCUAAAAAUUAACAAACACUAGUGAAACCCAAUUCUGAAAAACCUCAGUUCACCCCAAUUCCCGUGUUAUACGGAGAAUUGUACCCGAAACUAUUGGAGAAACAAUUAAUAUCCCCACAUUAUAUGGCACCCCUGAAGCACCCAUACCCAAAAUGGUAUGAUCCUAACGCUAGUUGCAUGUAUCACGCUAGAAAUCAGGGCCAUUCUACAGAAAAUUGUCUUACCUUUAAAAGGAGGUUCAAGGUCUCAUCGAUGCUAGUAUUCUGCGAUUUGAUGGCGUUAGUAAUGUGGCUGGAAAUCCUAUUCUUAACCAUACUGAUAGGAAUGUGAAUGCGAUGACAAAUAAAGACGAAUGGUGAGCCACAAGUUGUGUUGCCAAAGUAAGGACACCUUUGAGGAAUGUGUAAAUGGCCCAAUUUGCCUGGGCCCAUGCAGAAGCAAGAAGCAACAAACAAAAAAUAAAACCAAAUAGAAAGCAAACAUUAACAGUCCAUUUACAGCAAAUUCCAGCAGGCCCGUAUGACCCAAAACCCAAAAAUAGCCCAAUAACAAUUAAGUCCCAAUUAUAAUAAACAGAAACCCAAUAGCCCAACAAAAAACCCUAAGCCCAAACCCAACAUUUUCAGCAAAAAAAACCCUAGGCAGGAAUAUAAUUACCGCCGCCGCCGCUCUCCACGUCAGCCCCACCACUGAUCCUCCACGUCAACACCUCCGUACGGCCAUCUACUUGCAAAAUAGACUAAAAUAAUCUAAAAGCAAAAAGAAUGUAAAAAUAAUAAUAAGAGAAUAGAAAAAUAGAAAAAUCAUAUUUUGGGCUAUAAAAGGAGCCCCGAUCUUUGUAUUUAGAGGUUUACAGAUGAAAUUAAAAGAAAAAACAAAAGAAAAGUCAAUACAAAAAAAAUACAAACGUUUUUGAAGGUAGAUCUUCACUGUUUCUUUAUUUUUUUCUUUUCCCGUUUAUUUUCUUUUUAUUUCAUAUAAUAAAUAAAUAAAUAAAAUAAAAAGCAUACCUUUUUUUUCGUCGAGAAGUUGAAAGGCCCAAAAAUGGCCUUUUUUCAGUUUUUCGGCCACCGCGGACGGUGGCGCCGUCGCCAGCGACUGGUGGCCGCCACGGUGGUCUGGCGCAGGAACUUGGCCAGACUUGGGGCUAUUGCAGAGAAAAAAGAGAAGGGUUUUUCUUUUUGUUUUUUUGAGGGGUGUGAUGUAAAAAAGGAAUUUUUUUAAAAAAAUUUGGUUUAAAUAGAACAAUAAAACUGCGCCGUUUUGCAAGUGAGGUUCAGGUGCCAAAACGAUGUCGUUUUGGCCCUAACCCAGAACCCGACCCGUCUGCCCUUAGGAUUCGCAUGUUUCUGCAGUGAAGGGGAUAUUUGUGCGAGGGAUCCCUCCGCUUUUGCGUAGUAGCGCAAUCUGGUCCCAUUUGUUUCUUUAAUUUUGGCCGCAUAAUUUUCUGUUAUUUUUUUUGGUCGACGAUGAAACGUUGCGUUUUGGAGGGUAGGAAAUAUUUCCCAUUUAGUCCCCCAUAUUAUUCGCGCGUUACAUUUUGAUCCUUUGCUUUAUUUUAUUUCAUUUUUUUCUCUUUAAAUUCUGUUUUGAUUUCAAUUUAAUUCCUGUUUGAUUAAUUUGAUUAUUUAUAUUUGAUUUAUCAAUUCAUUUUUUUAUUUAUCAUUCUCUUACUUUCAAAAUAUUUAAAUUUAAAUAUUAGGUAUUAUUUUAUCUAUUUAUUUUAUUUUACUCUUAAAAUAUUCAAACUUAACAUUAUGUAAACAAAUUUUAUCUAUUUCGUUUUUUUAUCUUCUAUUAUUAUUAUUAUUAUUAUCUACUAUGUAUUUAUUCACAAAUUGCUCAUUUAACUUUUUUUUAAGAACUGUUUCGUUUAUUUUAUUUGUUUAUUUAUUUAGUUUCAAAUUUUUUUAAUCAAAUGUCUUAUUAAUGUUAACGUAUUCAUUUAUUCACUUAACAUUUCUUUUAUUUUAUUUUUAGAAUCAGCUUUUUUAUUGAUUUUAUUUUAUAGUGUUUUUUUAAUUUAUUCUUUCAUUUAUUUGCUACUUUCAAUAUUUUAGAAUUUAGAUAUUAUUAUUAGUAUCAUUAUUAUCACAAUUGAUCAUUUUCAUUGUUAUUAUUGUCCUAUUAUACAUAAUGGCAUCGUGAUCUAUCGUUAUUAUUAUUUUUAUGUUUUAUUGUAUUACUACAAAAUUACGUGGCAUUAUUGUUAUUCAUUAAACAUGACAUUUUUACGUUUAACUAUUUUUUUACUAUAAUCAAAUAAACUAAACUUAUAUCAUUUUAAUAUUGCAUUAAAUUUUUUUACCUAAAUUUGUAAAAAGGGAAAUUUAAAAAAUAAUGAAUGCAAUAUUCUGUAUUUAGAACUUCGAGAAAUUGUGCCCUAACUCACAGGGUUUUGGUUUUCUUGUCAAACCUAAAUGGCCGAAUAUUCUUUUAAAUUUCAAAAUACAUGGAAUUUCAAUAAAAAUUAAAGGCAAGCUUAUUCUCAAGGGUCCAAAUGUCACGUCCUAACUUACGGGAUGUGGCAUAUUGUUAUCUUGGGACGAGUGAGCCUUUAAUGCUCCUUGCAAUUUAAUUUAAGCAUUUUUAAAAUUAACAUUAAUAAAAAGGGAUCGUAUUUUAAAAUCUUUUCAAAAUUUCAACUUUCGACAUUAAGACAUUAAGUAAUCAACUAGGUACCAAUUUUGGGCGCAUCGAGAGUGCUAAUCCUUCCUCAUGCGUAACCGACUCCCGAGCCCAUUUUUCUUGAAUUUUGUAGACCAAAAUCAUUGUUUUAGUAAAAUCAAAAUCUUUUAUUAAAACGAUUGAAUUGCAAGGUGAUCCAAUCACACCUCAAAAAAUAUCGGUGGCGACUCCAGUUUUUUAUUUUUAUUUUCAAAAUAAAAGUCGACACUAUUUUGUUUUAAAAAGUGGUUUCGACAGAAUGUAUGGGAGAUGAUGGUUGAAAAGGGUUUGUUUUAUCCAUUCAACAGAAUUUUCAAGGAAGGAAAUAAAAAAGGUCAAAGUUUUCGUGACUUCUAUGGCGUCGAAGGGCAUGACAUUCAAUCUUGUGAGGAAUCUAGAAAACUACUUCAAGACAUGAUGGGGUUAAGAUCUUUGAUAGAAUAGAGGAGGGCAAAGAGGGGGAAAUAUAUGUCUCUGAUAAUCAACCAUUAGUUAUCCCUUAUAGCGUCGAUCGGCCUUUGGUGAUUUAUUACGAGGCAAAGACAGAGGAAGUUAACCCGAAGGUGUUAAUCGAAGUGCCAUCUCUUUUCCCUUACAAGGACAAUAAGGUGGUACCAUGGAAAUAUGAUGUCAAUAUUGUCGUGCCUGAAUGUGAAAAGUCAAAGGCUACAACUGGAGGUGUUAGCAGAGUGCGACACUUUACUCACAACGGGAGAUGUUACUCCCCCGAGAUGGUUGAACCAAGAAAGAAAGCCGCUAACUCGAACCAGAAAGGAAAGGCACCAAUGCAUGAGGUUGAGGUCGAUGUUGAAAUGCCAUAUGAGCAGGAAGUUAAAAGACUUGUGAAUGAGGAGGAAGCACAUGAAUUUUUGAAGUUCAUUAAGCACAGUGAAUAUAGCAUCAUGAAGCAAUUAAACAAGCAGCUGGCACAAAUCACGGUAUUAUCUCUAUUGUUGAACUUAGAGCCACAUCGAAAUGCCUCGCUAAAAGUGUUAAAUCAAGCUUAUGUGGUGAGCGAUGUAUCUGUAGAAAAGCUUGAUAGGUAGGUAAAUAAUCUGAAUAUAGAUAAUUUUAUCUCUUUUAGUGAUGACGAAAUGCUGCCGAAUGGUAGAGGCUUUGUAAAAGCGUUACAUAUCACAACCAGUUACAAGGGUUAUAUAGUACCGAAUGUGCUCAUCGAUAACGAGUUUGCACUCAAUGUCAUGCCUCUGGCCAUACUUUCCAGGAUGCUAGUUGAUAUGUCUUAUCUAAGGCCUUGUCACUCCACAGUAAGGGCAUUUGAUUGGACACGAUGAGAGGUUAUGGGAAAUAUCUGAAUUCCCCUAGAGGCAUAUGAUAUCGAAUUCCAAGUCAUGGGCAUCACGCCUUAAUACAAUUCCCUUUUAGGGAGGGCUUGGAUUCAUUUUGCUGGGGCUGUUCCUUCAUCUCUCCAUCAAAAAGUAAAGUUUAUCAUGGAUAGUCGUUUGAUUGCUGUCUCGGUGAGAAAGACAUUGUCAAAUCUAUCUCUACUGAUGUACCCUACAUUGAAGUAAGCAAGGAUGCCGUGGAAUGUUCCUUUUGUUCCUUUAAGUUUAUAAAUGCCACAUUCAUUGCUGAAGAGAAUAAGAUUCCCACACCGAAGUUGUCAAAGAAUACAAAGAUGGGAAUAAAUUUGAUUAUCGGAAAGGGAGCUCGAGCGAGGAAAGGUUUGGGAAGAUAUCAGUAAGGGAUAGCCAGAACUUUGAAACUAAUACACCACAAGUCUCGAUGCGGCUUGGGGUUCGAGCUAGAUAUACGUCAGAGAAGAAAACAAUUGCAAAAAAAUAAAGAAAAAAGAAUCGCAAGAGCCUCAGGUCAGGAAUUGGAUUGGGAGCCAAUGAUGUAUCCUCAUUUGUUAGAAACCUUUACAUCUGCAGGAAUGAUGUACCUAGGGUAAGACAAUCCGUGAAGCGCUUCGCUAAUGAUUGAAAAGGGUCUUCAAAAAAUCAGCAUAAAUGUUGUUGAGAACGAGAGUGAUGCAAUUGAGGAUGUUUCAAUGAUACGUUGUAAUACCUCUUACCUGUAUUCGAUGCCGAAAUAGGGUACAAGGCAUUACUAAAACACAUACACUUGUAUACGUAUUAAACCGAUUUACAAAUUUUCAUCCGAAUUAAGAUAUUUCACAAAGCAUGAUUAUCACCCAGCAUUAUCUAUGUACCAAAAUGACUAAUUCACAAGUAAUAACAAUUCAAUGUUUUAUUUCAGUUCCAUUCAAUUCAUAACUGUUCGUGUUCACAAUUCAAAUUAAUUUCUCAAUCAAAUUUGCAUUUCAAUACUACAAUAAUUCUUUUAAUUCAAAUCAUAUCCAUAAUAGUUCUCAUUCAACUCACAAACAAUUCAAUAUCGAUAUUUACCUUAUGUUUAUUACUAAACAUAUUAUUCAAAUUUCAACAAUUUCUAUUAAUAAAUUCAAUACCGAUACGUCUGUCGAUUAUAACGAACAUUUGGCCAAUUAUACACGAAUUAUUCAUUUAUUUUAUUUUUCCUCUUCCUCCUCUCCAUUCCACAUCCUUAGUGUACAUAACACUUUUAGAAAUAACAUUCUCCAUAGUUUCACUAUCCAUUCAACUUCAAAUAAGUUGUCUAAUCAAGUUAUAGUCACUAAAUUAUUUUUAUCUGGAGCUACAGAGCUCCAAAUUAAGUUCCAUUAUUUUUUCCCGAAACUAGACUCACAUAUCAUCUUACCAUAAAAUUUUUAGAAUUUUCGACUAGGCCAAUUAGUACAGUUUAUUCUUUAGAAUCACCCCUGUUUCACUUCUCAACAUCAAUGCCCUCUCUUCACUAAAAAUGAAUUAUCUCAUUGUACAGAUAUUGGAUGAUAUUUUCGUUUGUUUUUUUUAAAGUAGAUUCAUUAAUAAUUCUAAACAUAUAAAUUAUAACUCAUAAUUAUUUUUGUAAAAUUUUUAAUGCUUUUUCCAAGUCAGAACAGGGGAUUCUGAAAUCAUUCCAACCCUGCCUCACUAAAAUUUAAAUAUCUCAAAAUAUACAACUCUUUUGCUUGCUCUGUUUCUUUUAUAUGAAAUUAUACUCAUUAAGAUUUAAUUUCAUAUCUCAUUCAACCACUAACUCAAUUUCUACAAUUUUUGGUGAUUUUUCAAACUACAUCAUUGUCACUAUCCAAAUCUAUUCUAUUUCAAAUUCACUCAUUCACAUAACACUAUAGCAAUUUAUUUUGUAAGCACGGUACAAAACUUCAUCACUCCAGUGACUCUUUGGCAACUCAUCGCAUUUUAAUCACAUAUUCAUAUUUGUUUGCAAUUUCUCAUAUCCCAUUGAACAUGUUGGUAUAAUAACAAAUAUUUGGUGGUUUGCACAUAGUACCACUCGAUUAACUAUUAUCAUUCGAAACACGUAGUAGCCCUCACAUAGUACUACACACGUGAUCAAACUUUUCGAUUCACGUAGUAGCCUGCACAUAGUACUACUCACAUGAUCGAAGCUAUCCGAUACGCAUAGUAGCCUGCACAUAGUACUACACAUGCGACCUUUCAUUCCGGUACACGUAGUAGCCUACACAUAGUACUACACACGUGACCAUCACUUUACUUUCAUAUGGUGGCCUACACACAAUCUGUGCCACAUAUGUAAGCAUUUCUGUCAUUUCAUUCGUAUCCCUUUUCAUUCCGAAUAUUCAAUCGGAACAUUUCUCACUUUUUCUCAUUUUUUUCUUUCUCACUAAUCAAAGUCAAUUCCAUGUCUUUCUUGACUUAUAAUAACAUAUUUAACUUAUUUAACACUCACAUUAUCCAAUCUAGUCCAAAAAUCACAUUUUGGAAAAAUUACAUUUUUGCCCCUAAAGUUUCACAAAAUUACGAUUUUGCCUCUAGGCUCGGAAAUUAAACUUUAUUCUUUUUUCUUAUGUUUUAUGACAUGCUGAACAUUUUUCCCUCCAAUGACAAUAUCAAAUUCUUGCUCUAUAGUGCACUUAUGCACAUUAAGUAUUUUUACCGAUUAUGUCAAUUUACUCAUUUUCACUAAACAUCGUUUAGACAAAAUUGUUUAACAUAAUUCUAAGCUUCAUAUUCCAUAAUAAAACAUCAAAAUUCACACUUUUCAUCUAUGGGUAAUUUUCCAAACAUAAAUUCUAGCUCGAAUUAAUGGAAGAAUUAGCUUAAGCUAGUUACCGGGAUUCUAAAAAUAUAAAGAAUAAGAAAAACGGGGCUAAAACGGACUUACCAUGAAGCUUGAAAGAAUGAAAAAACCCUAGCCAUGGAGUAACCUGAUAUUCAGUCAGCCCCCUUGAGAAGAUGAUGAAAUUUUGGCUUAUUUUGUCUUUUUAAUUUGUUUUAAUUUCCAAAUUACCAAAAUGCCCUUAACUUAAAAAUAUCCUAUUUCACCCAUUUCAUGUCCAUUUUUGUCUAUAACAUAACCAAUGGUCUAAUUACCAUUUAAGGACCUCCAAUUUAAAAUUUCAUAACAACUAGACACUUCUAACAUAUAAAACUAAACUUUUGUAAUUUUUACAAUUUAGUCCUUUUAGCUAAAUUGAGUGCCCAAACGUCGAAAUUUUCGAACGAAAUUUUCACGAAAUCUUUUCGUGAAAUUGUAGACCAUAAAAAUAUAAUUAAAAUAAUUUUUUUCCCGUCGAAUUAUUGGUCCUGAAACCACUGUUCCGACUAGGCCCAAAAUCGGGCAAUUACAACUCUCCCCCUUUACAGAUUUUUGUCCCCGAAAAUCUUAUCAAAAGUAGAUUAAUGAUUUGUUUCCCUUCAAUAAAUUUCAAAUUCAGACAUUACUUUAGAUUUUUCACUGACAUUAAACAUUUUAAACCCUUAUAGUCAUCAAAUAUGUCACAUAACUCUUUUCCUGCAACUUUAACUAUAAGAAAUCACAAAAUACCUCUGUACACUUUUUCACUAGAACACUCUUCAAACAGUUCAUUAACGUAUGUUGAUAAUCAAUAACUCCUUAUUCAAUUCAGGCUAAAUCAUAACAAAUGUUUCAGUUGACAAUAUUUUCGUGCAAAAGAAAGUUUCAACAAUUAGAUUAACUUUAAUUUAUCACAACAUUUCUCAAUUAGAGUCAUUAAGAUAGAUAUAAUUCUAUAUUAAGUCUUCAAGAAUGCAAAUUCUUCUUUCAGAUUAAACCUCAAUCUAUAUAUACACUCAAAGUUUAUUUCAAAUCCGGUAGAUAUAUUCAAACUCAUAUAACCCAGACAUAUCAUUAUAUAGAAGCCACAACCAUCAUAUAAAAUAAUAUCAAUUCCGAUGAUAUCCCAAAAGAUGUCUAAAAAGAUCAAUGUCUCUCAUAGAUAUUAGAGUCUAAAGUAACAGAAACAAUAUAAUCUUCACGUAUAUUCAACAGAACAAUAGCCAAUAGAAACAAAAUAUUAGCCUUAUACAAACUUUACGGUCGAUUUUCAUAUUUUCACAAGCGAAUAAAUACCAGAAAAAAAAUGACAAUGUCGAACAUAACCUAAACAGACCAAUAAUACCUUCAUCUAUUAAUAUGUUUAGCUAAUAUUCUCAUACGAUAAGAAUUCAGUCUAAACUAAACAAUCACAUAUAUUUCUGAGGAUAAUCGUACAAAUAGAGUAUUCAAAAGAAAUCAUAGUAACUACCCAAUUAUAGCCACUGUACUCGGCUAUCAAUCCCAUACAAAUAUUAUUCUACUAUCUAAUUCUGUCAUUAAAAAUUUUCACAUUAUCUCUUUACUAACAGAAAUCGUUCCAGACAAACUUCCGGUUAAUUCUUUCUUUAAAUAACAUACCUGAAUAAAUCAUUUAAUCGGAUUUAACUUCUUUUGUGACAGUAACUUUGCAUAAUCUGAGUAGUUUUCAGAACUAUCUAUAUCUCUCUCUUUUUAUAUUGUCUUCAUUUGCUAAUUUGUUCACUUUUCCGACCAAUUAUUAAUCUUUCGUACACAAACUUCUGUAACACUACACUCGUAAGCUUAUUCAACCAAAAUCUUACAAAUCCAAUUGUAACAUUUUACUGAUAUGGGGGGUGAGUGUAGUAAAGCCUCAAAAUUAUAUUACACAUAAAUGCGCAUAACACAUACUAUCAGAAAUAGCCAAUUCAUUACUAAUUUCACAUUCUCAAAGAAUUUAAUAAGCAUUUGCUUUUAAUCACUUUUUUUUUCUCAACACCUAACUCAUAUGUCAACUCAAAUCACUAAUUCACAAUCGAAAUUUCUAUAUAGCAUCAUAAUCCAAAUAUCAUAACUCAUGUGCUCAUAUAAUUAUAGCAUUUAUCAAUAACAAAAUGUUAUACUCUUUAAUCCAUACUUUUAUGAGUUUCAACUCAUAAUCAAUACAUUUUCAUUCAAACAUUUAAGUGUUUACUUCUAUAUUGUCAGAAUUAAUUCAGUUGAAAAACAUAUCUGUCUCAUCAAGAUAAUUUUUCAUCAUAAAACAAUACUAAUGAGGGGGUGAUAUGAGGUUGUAAAGCCUCUAACUUAAUCUCAUAAAUACAUAUAUAUAUGACUUAGCUUUCAUUAUCAAUUUAAUACCGUCAUAACCACAUAGUUCAUUCUAAGCAAAUUAACACAUGUAUUUAUUACAAAUAUUUUCUAUCACUCACAAUUUCACACAAUGGAUUUACUUACUCGAGCUCAAUAUUAAUAUCUAAUUAAAUUCCAAUGCUUAGCUUCCAUUUUACUUGUCGACAUUUGUCAAAUUAGAGAACGACUUGCGGAAUUGAGUACUUCCUUUUCACAUUGCCAUAGUAUAACUAUGGUCUCACACAGAAACACAUAUCACACUGAUGCCAUAGCUCAGCUAUGGUCUUAUACAGAAGCACAUAAUCACAUUUUCAUAUAUUGUCAUGGUCAAACCAUGGUCUUUUCCGUCAAUUCAUCACAUAUUACUGAACGAAAGUACUCAUUCCUGCGUUCUACUCAAUUUGAUCUUCCAAUCCAAUUUUCAUACUAUUGUAAUUUUCAUGGUUCAAUAGUAAAACAUAAAACAAAAUAUCAAAUUAUCUCUAAUUUAACAAUUUAACAUAAGAUUCUACCAUAUGAGCAUACUGAUUUCACUUAUUCAAACAAAUGUACAUAAACACACAUUCCAUCCAUUUAAGUAAACUUUCUUACCAUAUUCACUUAAUCAAAUAUGUUGAGCACAUAGCAUCAUAUAAUCACCAACAUUCUCGGAUGAGCUUAUCACAACAUAAAAUUUUUUUUAUCUUAUGAUCAUCUCUUUUCAUACAUGAACACAAACAUAAUACAUAUUUUUAUUCUUACUUUUCCAAAUUCCAACAUAACGUGAACAUAUUUCAUUUAUCUUAAUAUCAUUUUCAACAUUAUCAAAAAUAACUCAGUUGAAAAUCAUCUCUGUUUUAGUAAAAAAAUUUCACUAGAGCCCGGAGAUAUCACAUCAUCACGAGUAAUAACAUAGCAUGUAUAGCUAGACUCACAAAUGCUACGUUCGGCCCGAGAACCGACUAAAUUGUAGCUCUGAUACCACUAAAUGUAACACCUCUUACCCGUAUUCGAUGCCGGAAUAGGGUACGAGGCAUUACUAAAACACAUACACUUGUAUACGUAUUAAAUCGAUUUACAAAAUUUCAUCCAAAUUAAAACUUUUUAAAUUAUUAACGUGCUUUUAUAAUUCUUUACAACCUAUCCUCGAAAUAUUAUAUUCAUAAAUAAUAGAGCCUAUAAGACUCGAUACAAACUCAUUCAUAUACUCAAUUUAUCCAUAAAAUUAUUUCAACCUUGAAUAAUUAACAUUAUGCUAAAAUCAACACUAAUAACAAUCAUAAAUCUCUUCAUAUUAAUUUCACAUAUUACUACAUUACAUAUCUCGAGCAUAUGCCAAAAAUUCGUAUACACAACCAUCAACAAACUCAUUUCUCCUUUAGUCGACUAGUAAAUUAGCCUUAAUAUUUGUAACACCCCUUACCCGUAUUCAACACCGAAAUAGGGUACGAGGCAUUACCGAAGUUUACUAAUUAAUUUUCAGACAUUUCAUUUUUAUCUAGCAUUCAUAUUUAUAACCAAUCAAAAUCAAAACAUUAAUGAGCUAACGUUAACCAAUUUAACUUAUACAUGCCAUGAUAACCAGAAUCAAAUCAUCCAAAAUUACCGAUAGAACCAAUGGAUACUGUGAUAUAUCUCCAACAAGCUUCCAACUCAAUCGAGCUUCUGAUAAUCAUUUAAAUGCAUCAAAUAAUUAUACAUAUUACCAAUAAUAAUUCAAUUCCAAUAAUAAUAAACACAUAUAUAUAAUAUUCAUUACCAAAUAGCAUUCACUUCAAUUAAAAUUAUAUAGAAUAUAGCUCAUUCGAGCUCACCAGACUAAAUUGCAGAAAUACCAAAAUUUAGGGACAUUUUGGAAAUUUUCUAUUUCUCAUAUUUUCACCCAGUCUUGUUUUAAAUUUCAUUAAAUUUUGUAAUUUAAAUAAAUAAACAAUCCAUUUCAUGCAAUUUGGUCAUUUUUGACAAUUUUUACAAAAUUACCCAUAAAGUUUUACUUUUAUUCAAUUUAGUCCCUGAGUCUAAAAUGUGCAAAUUAUCCAUGCUAACUAAAUAUUCAUAUUUAUAUAUUUUUCUCCUCCUCAUCUCCAUUCCACAUCCUUAAUUUAUAUAACAUGCUUAUAAGUAACAUUAACUAUGAUUUCACUAUUUACUUGUAAAUUUAUUCAAAGCUGUCCAUUUAAGUCAUAGUCACUAAAUUAUUUAUAUCUUGAGCUACAGAACUUCAAAUUGAGAUCCGUUAAUUUUAGCUGAAACUAGACUCACAUAUCUUCUUACCAUAAAAUUUUUAGAAAUUUUUACUUAUCCAAUAAGUACAUUUUAUUCUUUAAACUCAUCCCUAUUCUGCUAUCUAACAGUUCCGACCCUUCUUCACUAAAAAUUAAUUAUCUCCUCGUAUAGAAUUCGAAUGAUGUUACCGUUUGUUUAUAUUAAAAAUGGACUCAUUAAGGAUUUAAACAUAUAAAUUUAAGGCCCUAAUUAUUUUCCCAAAUUUUUUAUGAUUUUCCAAAGUCAGAACAGGGGAACCCGAAUUCAUUCUGACCUUGUCUCACAAAAUUUAUUAUAUCUCAUGAUUUACAAUUUCAUUACUUACACCGUUUCUUCUAUGAGAAACUAGACUCAAUAAGAUUCAAUUCCAUAUUUUGUUCAUCCUCUAAUUUCAUUUCCACAAUUUAUGGUGAUUUAGUGCAAGAUAUUGAUUACUAAGUUUAUAACUUCCUUAUUCCCUUUCUCUAUAAUAUUUCCCAUCACUUUCACUUAUUUCUCUUCACUAAUAUAUCAAGAACAUAAGAAUUUAUAUAAGAAAACUCUACUAUAACAUCAUUUCUAUGCUUUUUCAAUAAUAUCAACUUUAAAAUAUAUUGAAAUCUCAAUGUUCUUACCUUGUCAUAUUGAUUUCAACCUUUAACUUGAUUUUCUCUCUCCUCCAGCUUCUAUUUCUUGAAUCCAACUUGAUAUUCUAGCUCUCCAUAGUCUCCUUGUUAUCUUUGUCUCUUAAUGGCUAUGGAAAUUCUUUUGAUUUCUAAGUGAAAAUGGUGAAUUUUUGGUGAAAGGACCAAUUUUCUCUCUUCUCUUCAACGUGAGAUGCAUGAAAAAGAUGAUGAUUUCUCAUCAUCUUUCCUCCCUUUUAUAUAAAAAUUUAAUAAUAAAAUAAUACUAAAAAUAUUUAUAAAAUAUUAAUUAAAUAAUAUUUAUCUAAUUAAUUAAUUAAAAAUAUCACAAACAUCAUCAUUACCUUCUAGAAUUCUCUCUCUUUCUAAUUGACCAUUUUUCCCUUUAUAAUCUUUUUGAAAUUCCAUCCUUGAGUUAUCACUUAAUUUGGUAAAAUUAUAAUUUAGUCCCUCAAAAUUCUUCAUAUUUUCAAUUUGGUCCUUAUUUAUCCAUUUUCCUUAGUUUCUAGAUUAUUCCACCCUUAAAGUAUUUACACUAUUGGCCCUUCAACUUUUUCAUAUUUACACUUUAACCCCUCAAAUUUUAAGUAUUUACUCUUGGGUAACAAAACUUUUCUCACUUUUACGAUUUAAUCCUUUCUUGAACUACUAUGUCAUAAUAUACUUCCCAAUAUUGACAUAACUCAAAAUUAUCCUUUUUAUCACACUAUAUCAGGAAUAUUAUCUUACUUUCUUACUUUAGUAAUUUUCGGGAUAUUACAAUAUUCAUAUCAACCAUUAAAUCUUACCAUUUUAUAACAUCUCAUAACCAAAUAAUUCUAAUAACAAGAUAUUUUAUAAUCAUCCCUAUGACUACAGACAUUUCACAAAGCAUGAUUAUCACCCAGCAUUAUCUAUGUACCAAAAUGACUAAUUCACAAGUAAUAACAAUUCAAUGUUUUAUUUCAGUUCCAUUCAUUUCAUAACUUUUCGUAUUCACAAUUCAAAUUAAUUUCUCAAUCUAAUUUCCAUUUCAAUACUACAAUAAUUCUUUUAGUUCAAAUACUAUCCAUAAUAUUCUCAUUAAACUCACAAACAAUUCAAUAUCGAUAUUUACCUUAUGUUUAUUACUAAACAUAUUAUUCAAAUUUCAACAAUUUCUAUUAAUAAAUUUAAUACUGAUACGAAUCUACUAUUCAAUUUAGUGUCUAUCGAUUAUAACGAUCAUAUUGCCAAUUAUACACGAAUCAUUCGUUUAUUUUAUUUUUCCUCCUCCUCCUCUCCAUUCCACAUCCUUAGUAUACAUAACACUUUUAGAAAUAACAUUCACUAUAGUUUCACUAUCCAUUCAACUUCAAAUAAGUUGUCUAGUCGAGUUACAGUCACUAAGUUAUUUCUAUCCGGAGAUAAAGAGUUCAAAAUUAAAUUCCGUUAAUUUUAACAAAAACUAGACUCACAUAUCUUCUUAACAUAAAAUUUUCAGAAUUUUUGUCUUGUCCAAUUAAUACAAUUUAUUCUUUAGAGUCACCCCUGUUUCACUGCUCAACAUCAAUGACCUCUCUUCACUAAAAAUGAAUUUUCUCAUUGUAUAGAUUUCGAAUGAUAUUUUUGUUUGUUUUAUUUGAAAAUAGACUCAUUAAGAAAUCUAAAGAUAUAAAUUAUAACUCAUAAGUAUUUUUUAAAAAGUUUUAAUGAUUUUUCCAAGUCAGAACAGGAGAUUCCAAACUCAUUCCGACCCUGCCUCACUAAAAUUCAAAUAUCUCAAAAUAUACAACUCUUUUUCUUGUUCUGUUUCUUUUAUAUGAAAUUAUACUCAUUAAGAUUUAAUUCCAUAUCUCAUUCAACCACUAACUCAAUUUCAAAAAUUUUUGGUGAUUUUUCAAACUAACAUCACUGUCACUGUCCAAAUCUGUUCUGUUUCAAAUUCACUCAUUCACAUAACACUAUAACAAUUUAUUUUGUAAGCACAGUAAAAACUUCAUCACUCCAGUGACUCUUUGGCAACUCAUCGUAUUUUAAUCACAUAUUCAUAUUUUUUUUCAAUUUCUCAUAUCCCAUUGAACAUGUUGGUAUAAUAGCGAAUAUUUGGUGGUUUGCACAUAGUACCACUCGAUUAACUAUUAUCAUUCGAUACACGUAGUAGCCUUCACAUAGUACUACACACGUGAUCAAACUUUCCAAUUCACAUAGUAGCCUGCACAUAGUACUACACACGUGACCAUUAAUAUCUAACACACGUAGUAGCCUGGACAUAGUACUACACACGUGAUCGAAGCUAUCCGGUACGCAUAGUAGCCUGCACAUAGUACUACACAUGCGACCUUUCGUUUCAAUACACGUAGUAGCCUACACAUAGUACUACACAUGUGACCAUAUGUAAGCAUUUCUAUCACUUCAUUCGUAUCCUUUUUUAUUCUGAAUAUUCAAUUGGAAAAUUUCUCACUUUUUCUCAUUUUUUUCUUUCUCACUAAUCAAAGUCAAUUCCAUGUCUUUCUUGACUUAUAAUAACAUAUUUAAUUUAUUUAACACUCACAUUAUUCAAUCCAGUCCAAAAAUCACAUUUUGGCAAAAUUACAUUUUUGCCCCUAAAGUUUCUCAAAAUUACGAUUUUGCCUCUAGGCUCGGAAAUUAAACUUUAUUCCUUUUUCUUAUGUUUUAAGACAUUCUGAAAAUUUUUCCCUCCUAUGAAAACAUCAAAUUCUUGCUCUAUAGUGCACUUAUGCACAUUAAGUAUUUUUACCGAUUAUGUCAAUUUACUCAUUUUCACUGAAAAUCGUUUAGACAAAAUCGUUUAACAUAAUUCUAAGCUUCAUAUUCCAUCAUAAAACAUCAAAAUUCACACUUUUCAUCUAUGGGUAAUUUUCUAAACAUAAAUUCUAGCUUGAAUUAAUGGAAGAAUUAGCUUAAGCUAGUUAUCGGGAUUCUAAAAAUAUAAAGAACAAGAAAAACGAGGCUAAAACGGACUUACCAUGAAGCUUGAAAGAAUGAAAAAACCCUAGCCAUGGAGUAACCUAAUAUUCGGUCAGCCCCCUUGAGAAGAUGAUGAAAUUUUGGCUUAUUUUGUCUUUUUAAUUUGUUUUAAUUUUUAAAUUACCAAAAUGCCCUUAACUUAAAAAUAUCCUAUUUCACCCAUUUCAUGUCCAUUUUUGUCCAUAACAUAACCAAUGGUCUAAUUACCAUUUAAGGACCCCCAAUUCAAAAUUUCAUAACAAUUAGACACUCCUAACAUAUAGAACUCAACUUUUGCACUUUUUACAAUUUAGUCCUUUUGGCUAAAUUGAGUGCCCAAACGUCGAAAUUUUCGAAUGAAAUUUUCAUAAAACCUUUUCAUGAAAUUUUAGACCAUAAAAAUAUAAUUAAAAUAAAUUUUUUUCCCGUCAAAUUUGUGGUCCCGAAACCACUGUUCCGACUAGGCCCAAAAUUGGGCUGUUACAUACGCCCUUAUCCUCCAGGAUAUGUUUUGAACAAUUGGAUUGAUGUGGACCUUCUUGUAGUUUCUAAGUUCUCUUUAAAGUAAUGCCCAAUGUUAAUUCUCCAUUUUUUUAUGUCUCUAAAUAGUGGGAUUCCUUUUGUAAGCGUUUAUAUUUUCUUUUUAUCAUUUCAAUUAACAUUAAUGAAGAUAUAUUUUGUCAUAGUCUUUUCACUUCCAUUAGCUUUGUAAUUAUCCCCUCUUCUCAUAGCAUUUCCCUACAUAUAUCUCAUAUCAUUCUAUAACAUUGUGUUUUUUGAUUCCAAUACUUUGAUGCUCCUCUAUAGUUUUCUUUUCCAUUCAUCUUUCAUGUGCUCAAAUAUCAUUGGCAUGAACAAUCUCGUUACAAAUCUUGAAAUUGAUUUCAAGAAAGCUGUUUGUUUAGGAGAAUUCGAACCGAAGAAAAUGUUGAAGAUUGUGUCUUGUCUCCUGCCUUACUGAGGAUGGUAAAACAAGAAGAGAAAAAGAUUCUACCCCAUCAAGAACCUGUUGAGAUAGUAAACUUGGGAAAUGAAGAAAAGAAACAAGAAGUGAAUAUUAGGACUUCCAUUUCAGAGAAAACCAAAUAGAAUUUGAUCGCCUUGCUCCGUGAGUACAAAGAUGUAUUUGCCUUGUCUUAUCAGGACAUGCCAGGGUUGAACAAGGAUGUAGUGGUCCAUAAGCUCCCACUGAAACCAGAAUGCAAACUCGUUCAGCAGAAGUUAAGAAGGAUGAGACCUGAAAUGCUGUUAAAGAUAAAAAAAAGUCAAGAAACAAUUUGAUGAUGGCUUCCUACAAAUCUCUAAAUAUCCAGAAUGGGUAAGUAACAUAGUCCCAGUACCGAAGAAAGACAACAAGGUGAGAAUGUACGUGGAUUAUCGUGAUCUAAAUCGAGCGAGCCCUAAGGAUAAUUUUUCUUUGCCACAUAUCGUUACAUUGGUGGAUAAUACGACAAAGCAUUCAUUGUUUUCUUUCAUGGAUGGUUUCUUGGGUUAUAAUAAGAUAAAGAUGGCUCUCGAAGAUAUAGAGAAAACCACAUUCGUGACAAUGUGAGGAAUGUUCUACUAUAAAGUGAUGUCGUUUGGAUUGAAGAAUGUUGGGCAACAUAUCAGAGAGCCAUGGUGAUGUUGUUCCAUGACAUGAUACACAAAGAAACAGAAGUUUAUGUCAAUGAUAUGAUUGCCAAAUCUUGGGAAGAAAAAAAGCAUGUUGGGAAGCUUAGGAAGUUGUUCAAAAGAUUAAGAAAGUUCCAAUUGAGGCUUAACCCAGCCAACUAUACGUUUGGGGCUGCCUCGGGAAAAUUGCUAGGUUUCAUUGUCAACGAGAGAGGUAUUGAUGUUGAUCCAGAUAAUAUAAAAGCCAUACAAGAACUGCCACCUCCACACACACAAAAAGAAGUCAAAGGAUUUUUAGGAAGGUUGAAUUACAUCGCUCGAUUCAUUGCUUAACUUACCAUCCAGUGUUAUCCAAUUUUUUGACUCCUUCGAAAACAUAAUCCAAGAGAACGGAACGAGGAGUGCCAAAUAGUCUUUGACAAAAUAAAAUAGUAUUUGUCUAGUCCCCCGGUGUUAGUACCAUUGAUGCUUGAAAAACCCUUAAUAUUGUAUCUGAUUGUGUUAAAAAACUCAAUGGGUUGUGUAUUGGGACAACACGAUGAGUCAGGGAAAAGUGAAAAGGCAAUUUACUACCUCAGCAAAAAGUUCACAGAGUAUGAGGUAAAGUACCCGUCAAUCGAAAAAUUUUGUUGUGCAUUGGUUUGGGUAGUUCGAAGGCUCAGACAAUACAUGUUGUAUUAUAUGGCAUGGUUAAUUUUAAAGCUGGACCCAAUAAAGUACAUGAUGGAAUCACAUGCACUUUCAGGGAGAAUGAGACGAUGACAUAUCAUAUUGUUUGAGUAUGACAUUGCGUAUGUAAGCCAAAAGUUUAUGAAAGGAAGCGAAAUAGCGAACUUUUUGGCAAGUCGAGCAAUGGAAGAGUACGAGUCUUUGAGAUUUGAUUUCCCACAUGAAAACUUGAUGUGCAUUUCUGGAAAAGAGGGCAAGCUGUCAAAAGAUCAAUCAUGGAAGAUGAGCUUUGAUGGUGCAUCGAACGGAUUGGGGCACGGGAUAGAAGCAAUCUUAGUGUCACCGAAAGGGAACCAUUACUCGCUCACUGUCAGAUUAAAUUUUUUCUGUACCAAUAACAUAGCGGAAUAUGAAGCUUGCAUCAUAGGACUUCGUGCAGCCAUUGAAAGGAAAAUCAAAAUUUUAAAGGUGUAUAGGGACUCAGCAUUAGUGAUUUAUCAAAUCCGUGGAGAUUGGGAAAUAAAGGAUUCAAUGGGAAAUAAAGGAUUCAAAAUUAGUUAGAUAUCGUGAUCUCAUUGCGGAACUGUUUCCCAUGAGAAGAAAACCAAUUGGCUGACGCCCUAUCCACCUUGGCUUUAAUGUUUAAAGCAAACAGAGAAACUAAAAUAAUGCAUCUCCAAAUGAGUAUAUAUGAGGUCUUCGCAUAUUGUUUUAGCAUUGAGAGGGAGUUAGAUGGACGACCAUGGUUCCAUGGUAUCUUGCAGUAUAUCAAGAAUCAAAGGUAUCCCGAGUAAGAAAAUGAGAAUUACAAAAAAAUAAUUAAGAGAAUAACGAUUGGAUUUGUUCUUGAUGGGGAUAUUCUAUACAAAAGAAUACUUGAAGAUGUCCACGAAGGAAUUUGUAGAACACAUGCCAAUGGUUUCACUAUGGCUAGGCAAAUUAUGAGAAUUGAUUAUUAUUGGCUGGAGAUGGAAAGGGAUUGCAUUAGUUACGCAUGAAAGUGCCACAAAUGUCAAAUUUAUGACGAUGAAAUCCAUGCAGCUCCUUCGCCCCUUCAUGUCAUGACUUCUCCCUAGCCUUUUUCCAUGUGGGGCAUGGAUUUUAUAGGGUCAAUUUUCCCGAAGGCUUCUAAUGGACAUUGAUUCAUGUUUGUGCUAAUAGAUUACUUCACAAAAUGGGUAGAAGCCACUUUAUUUGCUAAUGUGACAAAGACUACAGUCUGUAGAUUCCUAAAAAAGGAGAUCAUAUGUCGAUACAGUUUGCCUGAGAGAAUUAUUUUAGAUAAUGCUUUGAAUUUGAACAACAAGAGUGUGUGAGCAAUUUCAGAUAAAGCAUCAUAAUUCCUCACCCUAUCGCCCCAAAAUGAACGGAACAGUAGAAGUAGUUAACAGAAACAUUAAGAAGAUUAUCGGGAAGAUGACUAUGACAUAUAAAGAUUGGCACGAAAAGCUACCAUUCGCUUUAUACGCAUACUGCACCUCUAUACGGACAUCUACGAGAGCAACUCCUUUCUCCCUGGUCUACGGGAUAGAAGUCGUUCUACCUAUCGAAGUGGAGAUACCAUCGCUACGUGUCUUGAUGGAGUCAAAACUAGAAGAAUCAGAAUAGGUUCGAGCUCGAUAUGAUCAACUAAACCUUAUUGAAGGGAAACAAUUGAAGGCAAUUUGUGAUAAACAAAUGUACCCGAAGAGAAUGAUCACAACCCAUGUUAAAAAGGUGCAGCCAAGAGAAUUUCGCGAAAAGGAGCUCGUACUAAGAAAGAUCCUCCCAAUACAAAAAGACUUUCGAGGAAAAUGGUCACCAAAUUGGGAAGGGCUGUACGUUGUAAAAAAGAUAUUCUCGGGAGGGUUCUGAUUCUCACUAAGAUGGAUGGGAAAGAAUUACCUAAUCCAGUGAACUCAGAUGCUGUGAAGAAAUAUUAUGCCUAAAAAAAAUCAAGUCAAGAUGAAAACCUGAAAAUGGCAUCUUGAUAAACAAAAAGGAUUAGGAUGAAAACCCAAAAAGGCAUCCUAAUGAAAUAGCUUCGAACUUAAAGAACAAGACAACUUGAACGGGGAGUCAAAUGACGAAGUUACAACAGUUGAAGUAUUCUCAGAAGCUUGAAAUCUUCUACACAAGAAGCCAUGCUCGAAAAGAUCUUUGAUGGAGAAAUAUUGAGAAGUUCAUGCGUUAGAUAUCUAGAGCAUUCGUGACCAUUAAAUUCAUUUAUUUUCUUCGUGACGUUUCCUUUAUUGAACUUUUCCUUGUUAAUCUUCUUUUUCUGUUGCUUUUGAAAUAAAAUAUGAACGUGAUGUUUUCCCUUCAUGCUUACUUUGUCAUUUUUCAAGCAUCUCAUGUUUGGUUCAUUUAAAUAAUAAAUAAUAAGAUGACAUACUCUAAACAAAAGGAAUGUUGAGCAUUAUCCAGAUGAGAAUUUGAUUUACAAGGGCCCCGAAGCAAGGAAAAAGUUCAACAAGGGGCAGAAGGGUGAUAUACGAAAAAUGUGGGAUUACUCACAAAACUUUAAGAUGAGUACAAAACCUGAGAGAAAAGUCAAGGAUUGAAGCAAUAAAUGCAAACCCUUACGAAAAAGAGGGCACGUGACAAACAAUCCAGGGUGUAUGGAAUGAUCAUGUAGGCAUAAAAAGAUUUAGGACAAACACGUGCAUAUCAUAAUAACAUCAAACAUGACAUAUACAAGUAUCCCAAUAGAACAAUAAAUUUUGGGAGGUAGCUGCACUAAAUCAAUGAAAAAGAAGGCUUUCGAGUUUCACCUGAUAAUCUUUUUUAAAUUCUGGUUUUUUUCAAAAUUAUUACUUUUUUCGUCUUUGAAAAAAUCAACUCAUAAUCCGAGAAGUGAGUUGAGCCUCGGGUCGCACAUUGAGGUAUUUUCAAGUUCUAUUUUUCAAAAAAUAAACUCAUAAUCUGAGAAGUGAGUUGAGCCUCAGGUCGCACGCUAAGGUAUUUUCAAUUUCUGUUGUUUUUCAAAAAUGAACUUAUAAUCCGAGAGGUGAGUUGAGCCUCAGGUCACAUGCUGAGGUAUUUUUAAUUUCUGCUUAUCAAAAAUUAACUCAUAAUCCGAGAAGUCAGUUGAGCCUCGGGUCGCAUAUUGAGGUAUUUUCAAUUUCUAUUUUUCAAAAAUCAACUUAUAAUCCGAGAGGUGAGUCGAGCCUUGGGUUGCACACUGAGGUAUUUUCAAUUUCUGUUUUUCAAAAAUCAACCCAUAAUCCGAGAAAAUGAGUUGGGCCUCGGGGCGCGCGCUGAGGUAUUCUCAAUUUUUGUUUUUCAAAAAUCAAUUCAUAAUCCUAAAAGUGAGUUGAGCCUUGGGUCGCACGCUAAGGUAUUUUCAAUUUCUAUUUUUCAAAAAUCAAUUCAUAAUUCGAGAAGAUGAGUGGAGCCUCGGGUCGAGCACUGAGGUAUUUUCAAUUUUUAUUUUUCAAAAAUCAACUCAUAAUCUGAGAAGUGAGUUGAGUCUCAGGUCACACGCUGAUGUAUUUUUCAAUUUAUAUUUUUCAAAAAUCAAUUCAUAAUCCGAGAGGUGAGUUGAGCCUCGAGUCGCGCGCUGAGGUAUCUUCAAUUUCUAUUUUUCAAAGAUCAACUCAUAAUUCGAGAGGUGAGUUGAGCCUCAGAUCACACGCCGAGGUAUUUUUCAAUUUCUAUUUUUCAAAAAUAAACUCAAAAUCUGAGAGGUGAGUUGAGCCUUGAGUCACAUGCCGAGGUAUUUUUUAAUUUCUAUUUUUCAAAAAUCAACUUAUAAUCUAAGAGGUGAGUUGAGCCACAGGUCGCGCGCUAAGGUAUUUUAUAUUUCUGUUUUUCAAAGAUCAACUCAUAAUUCGAGAGGUGAGUUGAGCCUCGGGUCGUACGCCAAGGUGUUUUCAAGUUCUGUUUUAAAAUAAAAAUAAAAAUAAAAUAAAAUAUUUUUUUGACAAUCGAACAAAAUUCAGUGCUUUUAAGUCUUUACUCUAUCCCUGUUUCACAGCGAUGAGCGAAGAAGCACUAAAUUUUGUCCGAUUCGGGUUUCGUGUUUAAAUUUUUUUCCAAAUUACGGGUUUAGGCUUGUCUCAUUGGGCCCAAUGAUUGGGCCCAUUGGGAUUGGAUAAUUGGGCUUGUUUAGGCUUUAGCCCAUUAGUGUUUUCUUUUUGUUUUUAUAUUUUAAAUAAUAAUAAAAAUUUGAAAAAUACAAAGAAAAUAUAAAUUACAUUUUGACACCCAACUUUCCUAAAAUUACAUUUUGACACUUCAACUUCCCUAAAAUUAGAUUUUGACCCUAACUUUCCUAAAAUUACAUUUUGACCUUAAAUUUUCCUAAAAUUACACAUUAACCCCAUAAGUUUUGCACCCUUUGCAAUAUAGUCCUUCUGACACAAAAUCCCCUGCCGACAGGUGCAAUUUGCCCACUUGUCCCUUGAUUUUUCGGUGGCCGGCCUAGGGCAUGGCCCUCUUCCUCCAACUGCUACCUACAAAAAGAAGAAAAAUCAACAAUAAAAGGGACUUUGAUCCCCAAAAAAAUUAGCACCAAACAAAGAAAAAUGAAAAAUGAAAAAAGAAAAAGACAAAGCAAAAAUUAAAAAAAAAACAGCCAAAAGCACACGGCCAUGCUCUACUGCCACCGCCACUGUCCCACCACCGUUGAAAUCAAGCAAGCUGAGUACAAGAAAAUCGGCACGAAAGAGAAGAAAAAGAGAGAAAGAAGAGAAGAAAAAAGGAAAGGAGAAAAGGAGAAGAAAAGAGGGAGAGGGGAGAGCCGGCCACCAUCAUGCCAUUGGGCGAAGGGAGCAUCGGCAACUGCCAAAAGCGCUAGGGUUGAAGGAAAAAGAGAAAGAAAACGAAAGAAAAAGAAAGAAAGAAAGAAGAAAGAAAGAGAAAGAAAGAAGAAAAAAAGUAAUAAAAUAAUAAAAUAAAAAUUAGGUCCGACCCGACCUAACAACACUGACCCUAGCGACGAGCAGGCCCAUCAGCGCCUAGCAGCCCAGUAGCAAUAGAGGCUACAGCCGGCCCACCAGCGCCCAACAAAAAAAAAAGAAAAAGUAAUAAUAAAUAGUUGGGUUUGACCUAACCCGACCCGUGCUAUCUGACCUGACCCAUCACACCCCAGCAGCAAGCAGCAGGCCAACAGUAAUAGUAGACCCACUUCCCAGCAGACCUAAGUCAACUGGCUAGCAGGCUAGCGCCCAGCCCAGCAGGUCGAGCCAACGGCCCAAUCUGCAAGAAAAAGGAAAAAAAGAAAAAAAGAGAAAAAAAAGAGCCCGAGUCAUAUAGCCCAUUUGAUCAAGCCCAUAUUUUGGGUUUUUGGUAAACUCUUGAUCUUUUUUAUAUUAUUUAUUUAGUCCCUGUAUUUAAAUAUUAUCCCAUUUUUAAUUAAAUUAGUAUUUUUAAAUAUCUUUUUUUAGAAAUAUUUUAUUUUACAAUUUUUUAAUUUAAAUAACGAACCGAUUUAGCAUCAAGUCAUUGAUUUCACUGCUAUGUAUCAGUGAUUUUUGUUAAAUAUGGAAAGCCUUUCUAAAAUUUGAAAAUUUCAUAAUUUUCUCAAAAAAUAAAAAAAGUAUUUUUUUACUUGUAAAUCAUCAAAAUUUAAUUUUAAUAUAUAUAAAACAAUAAUAUUUAAUUUAACAAAAUUUUUGUUUUUCAAUUGGAUCACGAUUAAAUAUUAAAUUGAACUCGCAUUUUUAAAAAUUAAGAUAAUGCACGCUAAACGAGAAACCAAUUUUUGGGCAUCGCGAGGGUGCUAAUAAAUUUUAAAAAUAAUUUUUUUCUUCUAAAAAGAGAAUUUAGUAGGUGUCCAAUCACACCUAGAAAAAAGAUCGAUGGUGACUCCUCUUUUUUUAAAAAAAUAAAAUUUACUUUUUUUCAAAUUUUCAAUAAUCGUCUCGACUAGUCCCCGUGUAAAUUUUAGGUCGCUACUAUUAAACAUUUAAAAAAUAUUUGAAAGAAUACUUAUGAUAUAAUAUAUUUAUAAUAUUAUAAAUAUAAUUUAUGCUUUAAUUAUAAGGAAAAUUUUGAAAGAUGAAUUUAUUAUAAUGUGUAGAUAUAUAAUUAAUGAUUCGGAAUCUUAAUAUAUACAGAAUAUAGAUGAUAUAAUUUUUUCGGUUAAUAAUUAAAUAUCAUUAAAUUAUUUUGUAAGUUUAUUAUAAUUUUUAUAAAUGAUACAAAAACUAAUUUAAAGCAUAUUAUUCUAUAAAAAUAUUAAAAUUCAUAAAUCAUAUUAUAAUGAAAGGUGCAAAAUAUUACAAUUCUUGCUGUAGAUAUAUAAUUUACUAGUAAUAUUUUAAAAUAUGUUAUUAGUUCUUGUAUUUCAAUAAGUUCGUUCUUUAUACUUUAAAAGUUAUAAAUUUAAUCCCUUAUUUUUUCAAUUUAAAAAUUUUAAUUAAAUUAUUAUCAUCUUUGAUAUUUUUUAUUAGAACUUGUCAACUUGUUUAUUUUGUGUUAGUCAUAUACCACGAUAUAUAAGAGAAACCUAAUUAAUAUGUUAAAUUGACAAAUUUUGACCAAAAAAAAAACAAUAUUAACGAUAGGACUAAGAUUUUUAAAUAAAAACAAGACUUAAUUUUUAAUCUUUUAAGUAUAAAGACUAAAUCUCAAAUUUUAUCAAAGUAUAAUGACAACUAGAUAAUUUCAACCUUAUUUUGUUUAAAAAGUUUUUUACAUUUACCGGAAAGGAGUUACCAAUGAUUUUUUUUUUUUUGUUAAAUGUGAUUGGUCACUUAAAAAAUUUGUCUUUUAUAAAGAGAUUUUAAAAUUCUUUUAAAAAGAUAAAAUGCAAACUCUAGAGAAAAAAAAAUGGGUUCAAGAGUCGAUUAUGUAUAGGGAAAGUUAUAGCACCCCUACAACACCCAAAAGUAGUACUCGUCAAUUACGUAGGUGUUAAAAAAAUAAAAAUGAGAAAUCUAAUGUUUUAUUGUGAUCCUUUAAAAUAAAACACUUACUUUUUGAGUGAAUUAAAAUUUGUUAGUAAAAUAAUUUUUGGUAUCUCUUGAUAUCUUUUUUACAAAAAAGAAAACAAAACUUGUGGAUUCAAAAAGUGAUAUCUUCAAAUUAAUUUGAUCAGUGGGAUAGGAAUAAAGAUAACUCUACGCUAGUUGGAAGAGGAUGCUACAAUAAUUCUUGGAGAGUAACAUCAACUAUCAUGCUGGUUGGAAGAAUUCACCCAAAGUAAAGGAGUGACUAAUUAUAGAAAAGUUUGUCUAUGUUAAAGUAUCAUAUAACUCCAAAGACGACCUGUCUUAAAUGCAAUGUGAUCCAGAAAUGUUCAACCUCUUAUCCCAAGUCACUCAGGCAAUUUUUUAUUCAAUUAUAAAUUUCAUAAAAUGGCUAGUCUUUCAUUUCUAUUAUUUCAUUUUUGCAGUGAUGAAGGGUUUAAAACUAUUCAGGUCAUAAUUUUAGGGUUUUGCAUAGAAUUUAAGCUUUAUUGUUGCAAAUAGCAUGGGUUCAAAUCUACCUUCAUGUUAUUGAUGUUCAAUUAACUUGUGACGCAAACUCAAUUAAAACUUAAAUAAUAUCUCUAUUUCAUACCAUCAUUUCUGUGUAGAAGCCGAGAAUGUACAUCCUAUUUGCAAUGUGAUUUAAGAAAAUUACAAUAAUAUCCCCCAACUAGUUUUAGUUAUAUUUUUGUCACUUAUUUAUUAAUUUUUUAUUUAGUCAUUCAACUUUUCAAAAUUAAAUAUUUUAGUCACGUUUUUAUUAGUUUUUCAAUGUUUACAUAUUUUAUCAUUUUGACCAUAAAUCUAAAGGAAUCAACAAAUUUAGCCCUCAAUUAUUAGAAUAUUUUGUUACUUUAUUUUGAAUUCUAAAAAUUAAAUAAAUUUAGCUCUCAUCAUUUAUAAAUUUUUUUUCAAUUUAGUUCUAAUUCUAAAAGUUUCAAAAAAAUAUUUUUUAAUAUUCAUUAACAUACCUCCACAACCCACCGAAUAAGAAAAAUAUUUAACACCAUUCGAAUAGUGCUCAUUUCAAACUAGUGCCACCUUUGUGAAUAUGGUAAAAAAAAACCAAAUUAGCUUAAAUCCAAUUAUCUAAGUGUCACAUUUAAAUUAAUAUCAUAUUAUUUAACUAAAUUCCUCUCAAAAUAUUAACAAAAUUUGAAACUAAUACAUAACAAUUGUUUUGAAAUUUUAUUUUUUUAAAUAUAAAAAAACUUAAUUUUCGAGUACAGAAAACAAUCCAAUUUAAAAUAAAUUGAUACAGUUUUCGUUUUCUGGAUUCAUAAUACAAUUAUUAGUUUGAUUCAUGAAAAGUAAGCGUAUGGUUUGAACAUUCAACUGCAUGCCAAACUAAUAAUUGUCCAUAAAUACCGCCCUCAAAACACCUAUUUUCACCACUCAUACUUACAAUUUCUCAGCAUAUAUUUUCAUUGCAAUAUUCUUAGCAGAAUCAAACCUGACAUGGAGUUUUCAAAGGUUUCUACCCUAGCUCUUACUUGUCUCGUGGGGUUAGUCUUGGUCCUUCCCUCCCAUGCCCAAGACUCACAACAAGACUACCUCAACGCUCACAACACAGCUCGAGCGGCUGUCGGCGUUGGUCCCAUGACUUGGGACAACACCGUAGCUGCCUAUGCAGAGAACUAUGCUAAGCAGCGCAUCGCUGAUUGCAACCUUGUGCACUCCGGUGGACCUUAUGGUGAGAAC